rnacentral:lncRNA from 1 species
UUUUUUUUUUUUUUUUUGGUUAGGGCUUGUGAAUGCGAGUGCAAAUUACAAUUGUAUUGAUUGCAUACCAAUUGUAAUCAGUCAGUUAACAUCAAUUAACUCUGUAGCUUAAAGCAUCACAAAUCCAGUUCCAUAUGUAUUUGAGAUCCUGGAUAUAACACUAGUAUCUAAUGCCAUUUCAAAAACAUAAUGUUAAGACUUUUGAGUAAUUUAGGUCAGAAUAUAUAAAGAUCACUUCAACAACAUAAUGUUAAGAAUUUUGAGUAAUUUAGGUCAAUAUAUAUAUAUAUAUAUAUCACUUUUGUGCUCGCUAAAACAUCUUUGUAGUUCUCUUAUGUUCAAAACUAUAUUACCUAUGCUUUCCAAAAACACUCUCCAUGUACUACUCGAUCGUGCAAAACCCAUUUAUUUUUUACAUUAUCCUUUCAAUAGUCAAGCAUAAGUGAAAAUAUUUGACGAUAACUGUGAUUAAACAAUUAUAAUUCUUUCAGAAAAAAAAAAUUGAAAACAUUAUGGUCGUUACCAGAUGGCUUACUGAUUUUGGAUUUGUUUGAUUAUUAGAAUUAUAUUCUUUGAAAAAAAAGAGUUAAAGGUGUGGAUGUGGUAACACUGUAGUGGGCCUAAAGGGCUGGUUAGCAUAAUUAUAUCCAUCUCAUUCAAUUUACCUCCAUCGUACAAGUUCCUUUGUUUGAAGCACAAGUAGAAAAGAUGUUUCAAGCUUUCAGCACACAUACAACUCCAAUAUUAACAAAUAUUCUAACCCAUUCAAUGAAGUCACAUAAGCAGCUAUAUCUAAGUCCAUAAUAUAACAGUAUCCAACAUGAAAGUAUGAGCUGCAAUAUGCAAGAAAAUCUGGGGCCACAAUAAAUCAGGAUGGCCCAGUAGAUAAUUGUGACAUCAUGUUUGAAACCAAAAAAUCUCAUUUUUUCUUUUCGUUCAAAACAACAAGAGUAGCUGCUUAGGUAUGCAACCCUUACCGUAAUUUCUUUGUCUGCGUUGCCAACUGAAAGGAAGUUGUUAUUUACCUGCAUUAAGAAGAUAAAGCAUAAAACAUACCUUAGACUUGCAGUAUGGCACAUCAUAAUCAAAAUAUACACAAGAAAUGGUAAACAAACUCCCGUUACAAUCAUCCACUGAAAGUGAAGGGGAACAGGCAUACUAGCUGAUUGUAAAUACGAAAAACAGCACUUGAUUGAAAACAUGGUGGAUUCGAGUCCAAUGGGGAAAAAAACAAACAAAGUCAUUAACAACUUGGGCUAAGUAGAACAAAUUGGAUAAAUGAUUAUGAAACACAAACUUCAAGCAUGUAUUUACUAAGUUAUCUAUCAUAGAAAAGGACAGUGUCCUUUCAGAAAGGCUACAUGUUCUUAAAGUUCGUGUACACUUACAGGGUGGAAACGAAUACACAGUUGUGGAGAAACUCCAUAUAUUACUCGUAUGCAUACACCUUUUGAAAUCUCCCAUACUCUCACAGUUUUAUCCAUUGAUGAGGAUGCAAUGUACUGAUUGUUUGACGAGAAAUCAAAGUCUGAAAAUAAACAAGAACAUGAUGUUUAGGACAAAGACCUAUGCAAGGAAAUUGGGAAGACUAUGACUUCAAUUAUUGAAUCUUCCAACAUAAUAGAUUUCUAAAUUUAUACCAAGGAAUCAUUUGUCAACAUUAUAGGUUGUAUUGCCACACAGAAUCCCAAUUGAUAAUCUAAGGGACUAUCUAGAAUCUACUGAGGAAAUAACGUUGAGCCCAUAACCAAGCAGAGAUGGUGAUGCUGGAAACAAAACCUCACUAAAGAAAUUUGCAUCCACUACAGAACAAUGGAGUUAAUGUUUAAUCAUUUGAACAUUAAUUGUGAUGUUUCAGUUAACUUGUUGAUUUACUAAACUGCUAAGGCCUAGCACUUCUCAUUACUACUUUUUCUUAUCUAUAUCACUUUGAAUAUAACUACUAAAUUUUUGGCCAUACGAAUAUACUUCUUAGAGGAGGCAAGAAACUUAGAAACACACAUGCUAAUGCAAAAGUAAGAGAAAAUAAAACAGUAAAAAAUACCAGUUAAUCCAACCUGUAACAUCUUUGGAGUGACCGUUCAGAUGCUUGAGAAUUGAAGGAGGAUCAGAGACGGUGCAUACAGUCAAGGUUCCAUCUGAUGCUCCAUACGCAAGCAGAUCUGAGCUCAUGUGCCCAAACUUCAAAACAGUAACUGUACAUAGCAACCAAUGAGGAUCAUUUUUUUUGUGAAAAAAAAAAACAUACAUGUUCACUUAUGUUCCUAAUAUAAAAAAUUACCAGAGGCUCUGCACUGGUCGAAGAUGCAUUGCAUUCCUACAAACGAGUACGCAGGCUGUUCACCCCGUCGACGUGGACGAUCAGUAUCACUAGUAGUCGAGCUAAAACUUCUACGAGAUGAAAGUAUACUGGGACUAUGCAAAUCCUGCAAAGAAACAGAGCUCCACUCAUUACAAUUCAAGCCAUUUAAAAGAAACUUUCGCAACCGAAACUGAGGCUGCAUUGCAUCAUACCCUGCCAGGAGUCCAGCUCUCGACCUCGUAUAAAAGUGCACGCGGACUCGGAGGUUGAAUCCAUCGCCCGCUGAUGCAUCAAUCAGCCUGACGUCAGCAAUACGAAUUUAACACAAAUUCAAAGCACUGAAUAAAAAUCAAGAAAAGCUUGAGAUGAGUUUUGAUGAAGACUGUACCUGUUUCCCGGAGUGGUCUGCAGGCUCGGAGUCCGGAGACUAUCCUUGUCCCAGUUCCUAGGCCUCCGAAUGAAGUUCCGGAACGCCACGUAGCCCCUUUCAUUGCAUCUCCAGUCCUUUUGAAAUCCACAACAACUCUGAGACUCAAUUCACAGCAAAAGAUGAAUGAAAUGUUACGAAGAAGAAGCUUACGAGGCGGCGAUCAAUGGAGGACGGCGACUUGCGGGAGAGGAGAAGGCGGCGAAUGCCGAUGUAUUCGGGAUCGGAGUCUGCGGGGCAAGGUUGGAGCAGGCACAUCAGCAGGUCGGGAUCGGAAUGCUUCUUCUUCUUCUCCUCGUCGUCGUCGAUUUUUUUCUGCGGUGGAGCACAGCCGUCAGCGGCACCGUGAUUCGUAUCAUCUUUCUCUUUCUCUUCGUCCUCCGGAUCGCCACCGCCAUUUUUCUCCGCCAUCUGGAUUCGCAAAUGACUUUGGCUACGUGUCUCUCUCUGUGGCUUAACUAAAAGUGUGCGAGCACAGCUUUGACAUUGACUUUGGCUCUUUUCUUUCAAAUUUUUAUUUUUUUAAUUCAAGUUUCUUUUGACGAAAACCUAUAAAAACUCUUAAGUUGAAGACUAGUUAACGAAACAAGACAGAUAGAAAAUUUCUAAAGAGAGAGGCUCUUCCUUCGCUCUAGAAGUUUUCUCCACCACAACCAAUAUUCUGAAGCCAACCGCUUCCACCACCACCACCACCACCAUGCCCACCACCAUCAUCUCCAUCUCAUCCACCCACUCCAUCUCCUCCGUCCCUUGCACACAACCUCCCUUUUGUAGACCUAUUUUCUCUUUCCUCUCUCUUCUUCAACUACAUCACCCUUCUACCACUUCUAUCCAUUCACAAUCAAUGUUCUCAUCUAUCCUUCACUGUUGAGAGUACAUCUCACUCUUAACACCUUCAAUACUCCUCCACUUCUUCCAUUCUCUACACUUAUAACCCAAUUAUGCUCUCUUAUCACCAAAGCUCUUGUCCUAUUUUCCAGAUCUACUACCGUCUCAUCAGUAGUGUUUUUCUCCUCAUGGAUGGAAUUGGUCUAAAUGGUUCCGGAUUUGCUUCGUUCUACCCAUAAACGAACUUGCGCUCGUUGGCGGAUUUGUCGUCCUACAAAAGCGAGUGGCUCGAUUGCGUUCGUAAACACACUCAGCUAGGUUACUUGGUGUUUCUUAGGCAUUCUUGAGCCCUAUGUUUGCUCCAACUGGUGUAGAAGGAGGCGAGAAGGUGCUAUGGGGACUGCUCCUCUUUAGGCUAAGACAUGGAGGCGGCGACGGCGGUAGUUUUCUGAAGGUGUGGGUGUGCUCCUCUUGGUGGCUGCUAGAUAGCUUUCUAGGGUUUUCUAAUUCUGAUUAUGGGCUCCUAACUUUUGUUUGGGUUUAUGUUCUCCCAACUUUUGUUUGGGCUUAUGUGUUCCCAACCUUUGUUUGGGCCAAGUCUUUUAGAGGCUUUAUUUUUCUUUUGCUGGGCCUAUGUGUCUUUGUUUCUUAUUUGUACCUCUUGUAAUGUUAUGGGUCCAUUGGAUGAUCUAAUACAACUUUACAUUUCAACCAAAAAAAAAAAGUUGAGGAUUAGUUAAAGACUUUUCAGCUUGUCCCACUUUUCGAUCUUAUAUCCACAUCUUGACCAUUCAAUUUAUAGGUAUUUAUGAGUAUAUCAUUUAUGCAAUUUUUAGCCAUAUUGGAAAUCGUUAAGACAUUUAUAAGUGUGAUUUACCAAUUAUGAACUUGAACGAUUCAUGUCUGACAGAUUUGGUUCGUCCAUUAAUUUGAUAUAGUUUGUUACCUUAACGAUCACUGAUUUGGCUGAAAAUUUGUAAGGUUGAUCUACACAUAUGGACUUAAAAACUAAACGGAUAAGAUGCCAAGAUGUGAUAGAAAAAUAAGUCUUUUAAACCAUAAACCGAAAAGUCAUCAACUAGUCCUCAACUUAAAGGUCUUCACUAAAAGGGCUCCCGUGUUUAGAUAAAGAAAUUUUAAUUUUCACAUAAAUUUCAAAAUCAUAAUCAUAUACUUGUCACAAUACGCUCGACUCGACAUCUCAUUCACUAUAAACUUAUAAUGUCAAGUUCUCUUUUAUAGUUUUUUAACUCUCUUCCUAACGAUUGAGCAGCAUCACUCCUUCUUAGAUAAGUGUGAAGGAAUAUCAAGAUAGUGACUAGAUGCGCCCACAAAACACCAAUGUAAUGACAUUAAUUCCUUCUUUUAAUGCUUAAUAGUAUGAAAUGUUUAGGCUUAUUUUAUCCCAGCACAAAGACAAGAAUUAGUAUUUAAACUAACCUCAGGAUUUUUGAGAAGAAACUAACCUCAGUUAAAAAAAGAUGAUGCUAUUAACACACGUAUUUUGCUAUUAACACAUUUCAUCUAUUUUCUCAUCCACACAUUUCAAUUUUAUUUACAAUCUUACCACUUGAAAUUAUUUUAUGAUUGGCUAUCAUCAUAAAUGAGGUGUGUUAAUCGCAAAAAAUGGUGUGUUAAUAGCACCACCCUAAAGAAAUUGAUAAUGAUGUCUAUUUUGUGAGAAAUUCAAGCAUAAUUAUUUUCCGGUAAAAACUGUUAAUUCAAUAAAGAAUUGAAAUUUGUUUAGUCUUUGUGGUUUGAAGUCGACAUUUCUUCCGUCCUUGUGGUUUUAUUUUAAUCCGAAUAAUCUUUAAAGUCAAGAUUUUUUUAUCUAAAUAAUCUUUCUGUCCAUUUUUUCUGUUAGAAUAUUGACGUGGCUGUUAAAGACAUUGUAAUUUUUAACGGUCACGUCAGCAAUUUAACUGAGAAAAUUGACAUAAUAACCAUUUGGAUGAAAAAUCGUGACUUUAAGGACUAUUCAAAUUAAAAUAAAAUCACAAGUAUUGAAUCGAUGUCGACUUUAAACCACAAGGACUAUACAAUAUUUUACCCUUCAAUAAAAUAAGAGUCCAAACGGUGGAUAUAAUCUAACUUAUGAUUGGUAAGCAAAAUCUUCUACCAAAACCAACCGCCGAAGUUGGUAUACCGACUUAGUUGGUGUCAGGACCCACCCCGAAUUUCACCCUGAAACCCGAGUAAAUCCUGCGGGGACCAUCUCGGUAAGGUAAAAGUUUACCUAAAAUCGGUAUAACCUCCCUUAAAAAUGGACAAGUUUUCUUUAUAAAACACCUGCAAACACUUCUAAAAAUCCAAACUCAACCUUAUACUCCUGGAGCCUUCGUACUCCCCAAAGUCACAACACCUCCCAAUUUAUUUACUAAUCUAAUAAUAAUCCCAUAACCACCCAAAUCAUAGGUUCAGAGCAAUUCUAACAGCGAAGGUAAGAUAAAUAUAAAAAUAAACGGAAGCUGACACGACCCACCCCGAAUUUCACCCUGAAACCCGGAGUAAGUCGUGCGGGGACCACCUCCAAGGAAAAUUUACUGAAAAGAUUGAGAAAAUCUCCCUUGUAGAUGGACAACCCUAACUCGAAAAUUCCAAAUUUCACUCUUAAUUCAACACUUCCAAACAUCACAUAAUAUACAAUAAUCCUAAAGUAUUCAGAGCUACUAAACACAAGCGGAAGCAAGAAAACACGAGUAGGUUGAACAGGUAACCUACUGAUGAAAACUGGCAGAAAUGCGGGUGACUAUGCCUCGCCUCCUACUAGAUCCAACCCGAACUCUGCAGACUGGGCAAUUUAAAACGAAAGGCCCAGGGGAAAACAUUUAAUAACGUUAGAGUGAGUGAACAAAAAUAAAAUAAAGGAAAUAAUUCUUUAUGCUUUCCCAAUUUUUACUUUUCCAUAGAAAAGAAAAUAUGCUGCAUGCGACAGCUCAAAACGCUCAAUAAAAUACAGCCUCUUAGGCUAAAAUAAAAUAUGUAUGUAUUACACUCGUCAUAUCCCUUGUAUGAAUUUUCUUGAAACAACUAAAACAAAUAGUAAAUUCACACAAGGCUACAACGCUUGCGUCUAACGCUCACGUUGCACCAUAAUGGCAUUUUACCUCAUUAUGGUGGAAAAGACGGUGUAUAAAUAUACGCGCAUAUCCCCUAUAUAAAUUAUUAUUUUUAUAUAGGGCUACAACGAUUGCGUCUAACGCUCACGUUGCACCAUAAUGGAAUUUUACUUCAGUAUGGUGGAAAAGCACGUAUAGCUAGCUAGCAUUCUCUCAUAUACAUAUUAUUCUCAUAAUCAUCCACAUAUGGAUAUAUAUAUAUACACUCACCGAAAUUCUCAAUUUCGGUUAUUCUCCAACAACAUAAAUUAUUUCGCACGCACAUUAUUUAAAACAAAAGUCCACUCACUAAUUAGGCCUAAGCCUGAUGUCGAUCUGGGGCCUCGUCAGCUCAAGCCUCCUCACGACCUGUUCCAAAUAUAAUAUUAAGUUCCCAGCCGAAAUUCCAAUAUUUACACAAAAUAGGCAGAAAUUAACCGAGAGCCAUUAACACGCUCAUCAUUGCCUAACUUCGAAAUGGUCCACAUUUCAACCCUAGAACCAGCAGCUGUAACUACACCUUCCCACAGAUUAAACAACUUAAUCCAACGGCCGGAUUCUACAUAAAUUAACCGCCAAAAAUACUAACUUCGGAAAUUCAUAAACCUAUCCAAAACUCAUCCAAAAAUUCCAUAACUCACUUCAAUAAACUCCCCUUAAUAUUCCAAAUUUAACAACAUUAAAAUCUCCCAACCGGCGGCGGCCGGAGGCCAAUUCCGGCGACCUCCAAUUCCUAUAAAAUUUUAACAGCCUCUUCCUCUCAUCAUACUCUACAAUUUUCAUAACUAGCACAAACACCAAUUCCAAGCCUAACUAGGGCAAUCGACUAAAAACAUCAAAAACACCAUAAAACUUCCACCUCAAAUUUCUCCUUACCUAGCUCAAGAGGGAGUGAGUCCUUUUAGUGCAAGGCUGCUAGGUUGGAGGGCUACAAAUCCGUACCAAGCUUGCCCGGAUUGGUGGCCGGAGGAGGGAGUUCCGGCGAAAUGCUUCCCGGCGUUUCCGGCGGGUUUUCUCCUCUUCCGGCGGGUUAGAGGCUCGGGGGCUAGGCCGGGGAGGGAGAGGAGGAGAUGGGGGUCCGAACUGGGGUGGAGCGGCGGGCGAGCUGGUGGCCGGACGGCGGGCAGGAGGACGGCCGGACGGACGGCGAGCGGGGAGGAAAAAAAUCGGGAGAGAGAGAGAAACGGGAGAGAGGAAAGAGAAAAGGUUGGGCCUCACACCCCAAACCGGUCCACACCACUUACUAACCAAUCUACCAAAAAUAAAACCAACCCCGAAAAAUAACUAACCCGAAUUAAAACUUUACCUUUUACUAGACUUAAAACUUUACCUACUUUUACCGUCGUCGUUAUUUUCCUCAUACGAAUAAUCCUCCGCACAUAAUCGUCCCCGAAACCCCUCUAGGGACCAAUUAAAUUAUUUACUCAUGAUCGAGACGGUAAAAUUCUUAUUAUAAUCACGCUAGUAAAUAAGGUAAAAAUAUAAGGGUCGGGAUGUGACAAAAGCUAUAUAAUGGAUUAUGCCUCGACUCCAUGUACGCCUGACCUCAACUAUGCUAACCUACAAACUGGGCAUUUAAAAACGAAUGGCCCAAGGGAAAACAUUUGAAAACGUUAGAGUGAGUGGACAAAAGUAUAUUUAAGAGAAAUGAGCAAUAAAUAUCUUUAUGCUUUUCCCAAUUUAAUUUUUAUAGAAAAGCUAUGCUGCAGGCGACAAGCUCAAAAACUUUUAACUUAAAAAUUGACAAAAACGUGACUAGCCUCGCUAGUCUCCAAUACUUUAUAAUAUAGAGCCUCUCAAGCUAUAGUAUGUAUGUAUGUAUUUACACACGUCAUACUCCUUGUAUGAAUUCUUAUGAAAGAUAGAAAUUCAUAUAAGGCUACAACGCUUGCGUCCCACACUCACGUCACACCAUAAUGGGAUUUCAAACGCUACAUCAUUAUGGCGGUGGCGGAAAAGAUAGGUGUAUAUACGUGCAUAUCCCCUAUAUGAAUUCCUAUUUUCAUAUAGGGCUACAAGGCUUGCGUCACACGCUCACGUCACACCAUAAUGGAAUUUCAAACUCUACCGCAUUAUGAUGGAAAAGCACGUAUGACUAGCUAGCAUUUAUAUACAUAUUAUUCUCAUAAAUAUCCAUACAUAUCUCCACCGAAAAUAUAAAAGAAAGCAAUAAAUGUAUGACUCCACCGAAAAUCUCAUUUUCGGUAACUUUCCAAAUAGUGAAAUUAACAAAUAAAAUAUGAAUAUUCACUUUCGAAAAUACUUCGUAGAAACCAUUCAUGCAUAAAAGGAAAUUUAUUCCACAAAUUAAGAUAAUAAAAUAAACUCAAUCAUUAAAUAUGAAACCAUCACAUGCAUUUAAUUUAAAACAAACGUCCACUCACAGAUUUAGGCCUAAGCCUAACGUUGAUCCGAGAUCUCUUCAGCUCGAACCUCCUCACGUCCUGAUCAAAGGAUACUAUUAAAUUCUAAUCCCAAUUUAAAUCAUAAAAUUAACAAGUAUGAUUGUGAGCCUAAAUCGCUCUCCUUAGCCCAUUUCCUCAAAUUCCAAAAACGGUUCGGGCCGGACCCGUACAAAAUCCUUGACAUAAUAAUUUGAUGGAUUUAAGCUAAUUCCAAAGCUAUCCCAACCACCUAUUUCUCAUCUAACAACUAACAAAUUAACCAAUCCCCGAUUAAUUCCAAACCUUAUCAAAAACUUCUCCAAUACUCACAAACUUAACAUUAUUCUCCUCCCUUCAAAUACAACUUAUAAAGCUCGGAAAAACACUUCAACAUGGCGCCGCCGCCGUCUACACCGUCGGCAAUGACGGCCGGCAGCCUAACUCCGGUCACCUCCAAUGCUCACCAAAAUUUGACACAAUCUUCCUCUCAACACGCACAACAACUUUCUUAACUAGCACAAACACCAAUUUCAAGCCUAGAUAAGGUAAUUGAACCAAAACAUUAAAUUGAACCCUAGAAUUUCAAUUAAUCGUUUCUCCUUACCAAGAACGAAUUGAGCCAAAACCUUUUGAGGGUUUACUAACCUAGAUGAGAGCUACAAGAUGGGAUAAGAAUCGCCGGCUAUGGCGGCCGGAGGAGGGAGUUCCGGCGAGAGGGCAGCCAAGCUUCUAGGGACAAUUUCCUUCAAUCGGCAGUGUUGCAAGCUUGCUCACCAACCUAAGAAGGGAGAGGAGGUGACGGUGGUUCAAUCAGGACCGGUGCGGUGGCUCAGCUUGGCCGGACGGUGGCGGAAAACUUCCGGCAGGGAGGGAGAGAGACUCGGGGAAGGAAGAGAGAGAAAGAGAGAGAGAGAGAGAGAGAAGAGCCUUCUCUCUCAAUUUUUCCAACGCAACUCCAAAAAUACCCAACACCACCAACAAAUCACCUUUUACCUUUUUACUAUCUAAAAGUUACCUUUUACCGUCUUCAACAAUUUCUCCAACAUAAAAAAUUUCCCGAAUUAAUCAACUUACAACAAUAUCUCUAGGGACCUUUGAAACUAUAAAAUCCAUUAACGAAAAUGGUAAAACUCUUAUUAACACCAUGCAAGUGAUUAGGGUAAAAAUUAAGAGUCGGGAUGUGACAGUUGGUACGGUUGGUAAUAGGUCACUACCAAGUUUAGAUUGUGGUCCAAAAACUGAAGUAAUAAAUAUAAUUUUUGCACAAUUAUAAUGUAAUGAUAGCUUUAGUCGGGUGGUAUGUGGUCAUAUUUUCCAUCAGAGCAGUCAUUAUUUCGUAAUAUACAUAUUGCGAAAAUUUAAGCAUUUUAUAUUUUAAUUGUAUUUAUAUCUAUAGGAUAUUAUAAAUAUAAAACAAUACAUAUAUUAUAAUAAUGGCGCCUUGUGCUUUAGUGGUUGGGAGUGAGAGUUGUUUGGAAAAGGGUUAAAGUUCGAGUCUCACAUCCGCAACGGGUUCUUAAUAUUUUGUAUUAUUUAUAUAUGUAAGAUGUUAUAAAUAUAAAAUAUGCAUGUACCAUAAUGAAGGCGCCUUGUGCUUCAGUUGUUGGGAGCGAAAGUUGUUUGUAAGAGGUUGGGGUCCAAUUCUCAUUUCCUACAUAAAUAUGGGUGUAAGUACACAUAUAUGGUUGAUAUGGUAUACUAAUGGUAUGAAAAUCUUAAUACCAAGUAUCAACCAUAUUACCAAAACCGGUACGGUAUACCGUACCAAAUAAGUUGGUAAUCAAGUCUUUAAUAUACCAACUAGGUUGGUACUCAAUUAGUUGGUUUCGACAUGGUCCAAAUUACCUGCCCAUAUAGACCACCCUCGUCCAAAAACACUGGUAAUGUUUUUUUUUUUUUUAACAUGUAAACACUGGUAAAGUUUAAAGCCUAAACUGAGUCGUCUUCCAGCACCCAGCCUAGUCGGUAAUAUCAAAAACACAGCCAGUUACUACUAAAAACCAAAGCCCAAAUAUCUCCUCUCGAUCCAUAUCGGGUAGCCACUCUUCUUUGUAAGAUGCACUCUGCAGUUUUGUGAACUCGAUACGCAGCAGAUCACAUAGAUUUGGAGGUACAAAUUAGUUUCAUCUCUUCUAUAAUUGCAUUAUCCAGUCUUUUAAUUUCUUAAUGAAUGCCCAGAAACAAGUAUAUGAAACACCCAUUAGUUUUAGCCUGUUGCCUAUUACAUUGGGUUUGGUUAGAAACAACUCUUUUGUUUGGGUUUGUUUUGUGUUUUUGGUAAGUUGUCAAUCAAUUUGAUCAAAUACUUUCUAUUCUUAUGUUAGUAGAAGCGUGAAAUGCUGAAACGUUGAACUGAAUAGAAGGAGCAAAACAUGCAGUGGAUGUGAUGGUGAAACCCAACAAGAAGACAAACUAUGUUGUUCCAAAUCCAUCUGUAGUUAGAGUUGGUAAGCACAAUGUAGAAUAUAAGUUUGGUGUGGUUAAACCCAAAAUGUUGCGAUGUCGUCCAAAGCUGUUUAAAGAUGUCGUUUCAAAAUUUUCUGUUGAAAAAAAAGUUGCAGUAGAAGAAAUGGGUUUUGGGCUGUUGUUGAAGCUCCAGUGUGAGCAACUGCAGCUUGGUUUGUGUGGUUGGUUGAUUGAUAGGUUUGAUCCCAGCAAGUCUUCCAUUGAGGUACACGGUAAGAGAUUCAAUCUUGGUCCGACCGACUUUGAGAACAUAAUGGGGGUCAAAGAUGGGGGACAUGAUGUUGAAAUUCGUGGCUCAAAGGCUGAAAUACAAGAAUUAAAGAACAUCCACUUUGGGAGAAGCAGACAUCGAAUCUCUGGUAUGAGUAAAAUGGCUGAGAAGUUGAAAGAGAAGAAGAAUGUAGAUGACACCUUUAGAGUCAGGUUUGUUCUAUUUGCAUUGGCUACCUUGCUUUGUCCAAGUAUUUCAGGUGAUUUGACUGAAAAGUAUCUACAUCCACUAAGGGACAUCGAUGGUAUAAAAUUAAAAAAUUGGGCAACUUUUUCAUUCAAUUAUCUAGUUGAAGGUCUUGGUACAUUCAAGAAGAAAAACACAUCUUGUAUCAGCGGGUGUGUACUAUUCUUGAAGCUGUUUUAUUUUGAUCUUGUUGUUCAUGGAAGAACGUUUGUAAAUAGAUCAUUGACACCUAUUGUCGCAUGGGGGGAAAAGGAGGAAGUUAAGUUAGUGGAGUGGAUUGAAGAAAAUGGGGGGUUUAAUGGUUUGGACAUUGCUGUUGCUUAUGACCGUAUAUCCUCAAUCCCAAUCAGUGUUGAUGAAGAUGAGGUGGUGGCUGUGAGCAAUGAUCACACAGAGCUUGCAACAGUUGAACCACAGUCGCAACAAAAGGUACUAUUAGCACGACUACACUCAAUCAGUACUUUUUUCUUUAGUCUUUCAUAUGGUUUCUGCUUUCAAGUUUCCUUGAUCAAGCAAGUGUCAUUCAUGUGGAUAUAUAAUAUAUGUUGAACAUAUGCAUACCCUUUACAGUGUGCUGGACAUUGAAAUUACUAUGUCCCUAAUUUUUUUCCAAUCUUCUACUGUUUUUUAUGCAUUAAAUGUCAUCAUAAUAUACUGGAUUUUGUUAUGUUUGUUAAAUGAGUAUGUAAUCAUUCAAGCGCUCAUACAUCUUAAUUUUCUAACCCUUUCUCAAAUGUCUAUGCAUUUUCUUUUUAAGUUGUGCUGACAUGAUGUACUCAACUAGUAUUCAACUUACUGUUUGUAAUCAGAAUAUAAUCAGCUUUCUUUUGGUGUUAAUUGUUCUCUGGGUUCAAGUAUAGUAUAACAGUAUGCUUUCAGUAUCAUGCUUGAUAAUAAGAUGUGAGUUUAUCCAAAUUAAUGACAGGAUCCUUCUUGGCUUCUCCUAAUUAGAAGGAGCUAUUAUAUUGGGUUUCUUUAGGCCAUUAGGACUGUGUUGAAUAUGAAAAGAAACAUUGAUUAACAACUGCAGUAAGCUGUCAUAAUUAAUUAAUAAUACCUAAUUAUGAACAAUAAAUCUUUUUUUGUUCCUUGGUGUUUGAGUCAUGAAGUUCUGAUUUUUUUAUUUAGUAUCAGACUAUACUAGUGGAUACUAUGAUGUCCUAAUUGUCAUUAUUAUUUUUUGGUUAUGCCAUGUAGACAAAUGGCAUUACCCUUGUUUACAAGUGUAGAGCCUCCGCUAGAUUUGAGAACAGUGUGGUGACCCUAAGGAAUGAUCUUGCAACUUUACACACAAAGGUUAUCAAAUGUGAACAAGCACUACGACAGAAGUUCUAACAUUGCUUCAGUUUGCUGUUUCUUUCUAUCGUUCUUUCUUUCUUUCUUUCUAUAGUACACAAGGCGCCCACCAUAUAAGUUUCGUUGAAACACCUGUAAGAAACUACUAAAGCAAUACAACGACAGCAGUAAAACAAGAAUAGAAAAAUAAACUAACAAGUCCCUUCGGAUAUAUUUUUAGUGAAAGUUUGUUGGGUUUUCUGAUGUAAAUUGAAUGAUUUGGAAUACAUGAUUCGUGAUUUUAUGGCUUCCCUAAAGUAUCUAUAUGGCUUCCGCUACUUUUGGUGUGGCAUAUACACUUUAACACAUUGUCUCAGCUAGAAGUAAUUUAUUAUGUCAUUACUUGAGGGUUCUGGAGGUUUUGUUUUCGACUUCUCGCAAUGUAUCGUUACCUCUUUUUUGUUUCUUUUUUUAUUUUUGCUUCUGUUAGGUCUCUAUGGAUUUGGGAUUGGUCAUGGAAUUGGAUUUGUUCAUAUUAUUUUUAAAAUAAAUGUAAAAUUUCUUAAUAUGAAUGUGCAUUCGUUUAACAAUUCCACCAUACAAUCAUAAACACUUGCACAUGUAUCUUUGUUUGGUCUGCUUUGUUGAUGAACAUGUUAUCAAUUUUUAUACUUUGGGUUAAUAUUAUGAUCAUGUUAAUACUCUGAAUCCAUGAUUUUCUUUUUUGUAGGCAUGUUGAGUUAUAUUCUGUUAUAUUAACUCACUCAUGUUUGUUUGUCAUGUCAUGUAGACGAUUGAUGAUAAGGCAGCAGCUGAACUGGAAGCUAAACUUGGCAGUGAGAUGAGCAAGAUUGAAGGCCUUACUUAUUGGCAGGUCUUUCAAGCCACUAACAUUUUAACCACCAAUUAUGAUCUGCUAAAAUUAUUUCUUCUCAUGUCUGAGCAAAGCAAAAAGACAUUUGUUCUAAAUUUGUUAGAGCAUGGCACCCAUGGAUUAUGAGUUAAUUAUGAGCUAUAUAUAUAAAUAUUAGCAAUCUGACUAUUAGUUAGACUUAUGAUCUUUACUGGGAGUCAGCUUCACAAGUUUCUAACUUAAUUUACCAAUUAAAGAGCAUCAAGAACACAUCCCUAAACUCUGGUCAUGGAUCAAUAGCUUUAUUGAUUUUCGGUAAGCACUUGAUGCUCUUUGAAUUCUUACAGUGACUGUAAUCGGAUCAUGCUCUUGGCAUUGCAUUUCACCAAUUAGGCAAUUGAUGCUUGCAACUUACAACUUUGCAAGUCUAAAAAAGACUUGAGCUCUCUUACUUUGUUUCCAAAGUAAAUGUAAGGGAUUUUAGUCACAUCAUCCUCGCGGUUGUUUUCAUAAGAUUUGAGUCACAUUAUAUAUAAACAUGGAAAAUAUAGGAAAUCACAAAUUUAGUCGCAUCUAACUUCUUGCAGUUUUUUUUUUCCUAUCAAUUAGAUAGUUUUUUUUUUUUUUUUUUUUUUUUCGGAUAGCUAGAAUCACAAAUUUUGACUUGAGAAACCAUGGUGAGGUUGAAAGGACUUCAACACCAAUGCCAUCAUCGUUGCACUUGAAGCCAAUGUGGAAGUCAUUUGGGACUCGGAUGUGUCUCUCAUAACAAAUUACUUCACUUGUUGUAAUGCUGAAAUUUCGAGUCAUCUUUGUAAGUUGUAACCUAUGUACCCAUGGCUUUGAGCAAACUAUACUUUUCCUGUGAUAGAUUAUAUGGUAAUGUUUAAUUCCUUCAAAGUUGAUAUGAAUAUAAUCUAAGCGAUGCAGGGAUCUGCAGCAAGCGGGAGAAUCACCAAAGCGCAUAAGGUAACAAUGAUUACAGACUAUCAUUUGAGAAAGUAAAUGUCCUCAGACUGCUAAAUUUUUUCCUUCUGCCCCUAUGUGGAGGAGUCCUUUCUCAUAUGGAAUUUUCCGAGUUCAUAUGGGAUUUCCCUUUCAAUCUCUAAACAUGCCCUCACGGUUGAAGUAGACAAAGAGACAUUUAACGCACUCAAAAAUUGAAUACAUAUACAAAAAGAGAUAACAUUUUAUUCCAGAGCAACAUGAUAUUUCUAAUCGGCUAAUCCUAACAUCAUGAUUGAGCACUUGUAGAAUCAUCAACAGGAUGGUAGUAUCUGUUGAAAAACCACAUAGAGUCGGCUUCCACUGCAUACCCAUCUUGGUUACGGUGCCAACUGUAGUAAGCAUGGGUUCUGUUCUUGAUGCCAAAUGUGGCAUGACCGAAACUAGCCUCUCUAAAAGCCGAGUAUGCUGGCUGUGGUUCUGUCAUACUGCACCAAAAAACAGAACAAUGUAGAUACCAUAGUUGAAACACUGAAUCAGGAAAAAAUAAAAACCAAAUGUAUCAUGCAUACUGUAUACUUACUUGGUAGCUAAGCCUUCAAUAUUUCCUCCAUCACCAAUGGUGAUGUACACAGGUGCAGACUGAUCUUUCACGGGGACACAAAUACCGUUCACAAUGUUAUAUGCAAUGUUGGAAAUACGCUCCUGUGGUAUAUCCAAAUCAACUUAUCAGACGGUGUCAUGAUUCUUGUGCAUUAAUGGAGAAUGGUAAACGGAAAAGCAUAUGCAGGACAUGUUUAUUAAGAAUUUGACAAAGAGUACUUUUCCUUGAAAGGGUUUCCUGUAAAUUAUCAAAAACUAAAAUGCUUGAUAAUUAGGAAGAGUUGGAUUUCAAAACCUUGCUGAUUACCAACAUAUUUUACAGAUAGCAUUCACCAUCAGAAACAACUCAAACUAUGAGAUUAAAAUAGAUGACGAGUACUUACAGUUCGUUCAUAAGCAUGGACAUGACCAGCAAAUACCACGUCAACUUUGUACUUCACAAACCAAGCCUCAUACAUCACUCUCAUGGUCUCUCCUUCCAUGUAGUGGUAAUUGUAGCUAUUAUACCAUGGGGAGUGUAGUAAAACAAUCAGCCAUGGGGUCUCAGUCCUGUUAACUUUUGGUAGCUCCUCCUCCAGCCAUGAGUACUGAGGAGUGUAUUUACCUAAGGAUAUAUGGAAAUGAUGUGUCAAAUGUAAUUUUUAAGCAAGGGGCAUACAACUGUAUUGAGGAUCUUUCUUACAAGUUGAUUAAAAAUUUAUCGACACAAUAAAGUUAUACUGUGUUUAGCUGACUAUUUAAAUGAUACAAUGGUCAUCAGGAAAUAUCACCGCUAGAUAUCAGUUUAGCAAUCAGUACAAAUGUUUAAGAAAACCAAAAGUUGAAACAUGUCAUUAAGAGAGAACUAAGAACAGUUAUGCCCAGAAACGCUAUGUCAAAUGCCAUGAUAACAACAGGUUAACAAUUUGAGCUUGAUGAGGAAUAUAAGAGAAAGAGAGAAAGAUUUAACAAAUCGAAGGCAUAUCUAGUUGCGUUUGCUAGUUUGUUUGCAAUUGACAAUUCGGAUAAGGAUAUUCCAAAUUUCAUAUUCAAGAUUAGACAUUGAGGAGCAUUUGCUGCAUAUUGGAGACAAGCCUUGGUAUCGGUCAAGUAAAAACAACAAGCUUAUAAUCUGCUACAUUUCCUUACCAUAUGCUGAAUAUGAAGAUAAGACAAUAAUGUGUGCCGAAGCUCUCUUGAUAGAGUACCAAAAAGGGGCAGUACUCCCUGAUGCCUUAAAUGGGGUACGAUACCGGUUAGUGAAAGGCUUCCAUGGUUUAGUUUCACCCUGCAAAAAUAUUAACAAUAUUAAAAAUAAUCUCUUAGAAAAAUAAUUCAUAGAAUAAUAUUUCCGGAAUUAGAAAAUGAAUUCACACAUCAGCACAUUCUGGGUAAAUAAUUAGAACAUGGAAGACUAGAGCUCUACCUAAAGUUACAAAACUUGAACAUAAUUGAGGAAGAUGCUUAUUCUAAGCUAAUUUGCUAUAAUAGGUUAUAGUAGAGAACCUCAUAUCACUCUUUUGGUUGCUGCAUGUGAGGAUCAUUCUUAUAGGUGGGAUUCAGAAUUUAGCGCACACAUUAUACACACAACAUUUUGGUUAAAUGAAGACAAGAAAGAGGAUAUCAUCUGUAAUAAUUGUAAUAUAAGUCCCCGGGAAAACAUCAGGUUACCUUUUGAUUAAAAAUUGAAGGCUUCAGUGACAAAAGCAAGGGAGCUAGAAUUUAAUGGAAGAGGGAACAUGUAUUAUUUUAAACAAAUGAUCUUGUCUAUAACAAAAUAUCAUAAAUUAAGGUAAUAAGAUUAAUUUCAAAGUAGCCUAAUGUCUUAUCAGAUGCUUACAAUUUUUGGUUCAAAAUCAAGUUCAUGAUUCCCUGCAGUCCAUAUCCAAGGUUGAUAAGCAGUAAUUCUCUCCACAAAUCUUCCCCACGAAUCCCAUCUGUUAUUAUCAUGCUUGGGAUAGUGAUCAGCAUAAGAGAGGUCACCAAGAAACAAUAAUGCUUGUCCUUUUUGUGGGUUUAAUUCAUAAUGAGUGACUGUCUUAUUUGAAUCAAAUGUCUGGCCCAGAUCCCCUGCAAAAAUUGGCAAGAGAUAUUCAGAAUUGUAAGAAUUUACAUUGCAGAUAAAUAGAUAAUGGAGUAAACGUAAUUCUCAAAAAAUGGCCGAGAAGCAGACUGCUAGCAUCCCAAUAAUGUGAUUAUACAUCCUACUUGAUGAAGUGGAAGAGUCUCAUUGCAAUAACCUUUUAACUACAGAACAAGUUACCCAUCAAUUUACAAUCUAUCAUGUUUCAUAGAAAAUAGUUACCUAUUAGACCAAAAGUGUAAGGAACAUCUGGCCCAACUGGCGGAGGAGUUACAAACCAGAACUUCCGCGUUGUGUGUCCAAUUCCAACCUCAUAGUAAUAUUUGGUAUUGUACUGUAAACACACACAGAUGAUUCAAUCGUAAUAUAAUUCAAACACUUGAACUGCAUUUUAUCAUUUGAUCAGCAAAUCCUAGAACAUGGUUUGGUGCAUCUCAUACUGAUAGCACAAGAAAAAAAAAAAAAAAAAAAACCCCGAAACAUGAAAGCAUGUCAAAUAUACCUUUAAAUUUCUGAUUGUUACAUGAUGAAUGUAAGGAGAGCUGUAAUCUGAGUACUUAUAGGUGUUAAAUUUCCCCACAGCUAUCUUUUUCUUGCUCUUUGCGCUCCAAUAAAUCACUUUGCUGGAACCUGGUUCGUCCACAGUCACCCAUGAUACAAUCACUGCCUUCCCCAGCUGGUCUCCUUGUGUAAUAUGAACCUAUAAUCAAAUACACACACAAAUCAUACACCAGUGCAAAACUAACCACUAAAAAUUCAGAAUCACACCUACUAAUCCAUAAAAAAAGGCCAUAACUUUAGAAACAAAAUAUAUACUUAUAUGUCAUAUAAAGGUGCAAUUUAAUAAUGGGUUGGAAUGAUUCAGCUUUCAAAAUCAAAAAGCACGUAUAAAUUAAGUUAUAGCAGAACAAGGAAAAUCUACCAUUGAUGGACUAAAAGCAAUCAUAAGUUUAAGCCAUUAGUAAGAGAGAGGGACUAUACUUGUUGGGGAGCAUUAUAGCCAUGAGGCGCUUUGAAGACAUCGCUGUCAAAGGGCAUAUCCACAGAUUUCUCCACUUUCCUCACAAAAGUGCUGGUCUUUCCUCCAUUACAGACCACCCCCAAAUUCAAAACUAAACCCAACGCCAGAAAAACAGCUAGCAUUGAAGAGACGGAAGCAGAAGCCAAACCCAUUUUGGUGAGACUAUGCAGAGAGGACUAAGGGUUUAUAUAUUAGUUGAAGACUAAUGAGUAAAGGGUUUUUAACUACAAAUGCGGGGAAUAUUCAUAACUCCUAUCAGCAUAUAAACAUGUCAACGAUUUCAAAAGAUAUACACAGCUAAUCGGUUUUGCUCACUGAAUUUAUAUAAGGAAACGAAUUAAGUUGUAAAUGAGAAAUAGGAGUCUUCAGCGAAAUUUCCUCGUGAAAGGGGCAAUGUGUACAUAGGGAGAGUGAGAGAAACCCAAUAAUUUGACUUGGAAAAAGAGGAUAACGACCUGAGAAUCUAGUCUUAGGCACACUUUCAUGAUGAUAAGGAAUCUUUGGAUUAAUCUUUCACAUAAUUUCAAUUUAUUUUCGUUUCCUACCUAUCUGGUUGUUUACUGUUUUCUAUCAACAACUCAAGACCUUUUCUUUUCUUUUUUUCGGGGGUGUAUGGUUUACCCUUAUACGAAGAUUGAUUCCGGACCAAACAGAAGGAGAUGUUUCAUAGGAAUCAAAUUGACAUUGUUUUAUUGAGGGGGGGGAUCAAAUUGACAUUGUUGAUGAAUGAUGAAGAUAGAUAACUAAGAAAUUCUGAGUGAGACUUGUCAAAAAAAANNNNNNNNNNNNNNNNNNNNUACUCUCUCUCUCUCUCUCUCUCUCUCUCUCUCUCUCUCUCUCUCUCUCUCUCUCUCUCUCUCUCUCUCUCUCUCUCUCAUCCCUACCGAAGUCUAGCCCGUUUCAGGUCUGGACGACGAGCUCGUGAACCGAUCGUCAGCCACGACGUGGUUUUGCUUGUUGUUCCCAUACUGUCGUUCGUCGUCAAUCCACAUCCAUGUCGUUCUUUGUCGAUCCUCAUCUCCGCCAAGUCCAUCGUCGUCGAUCCUCGUCUCCGCCAAGUCCAUCGUCGUCAAUCCUCGUCUCUGCGUCGAGUCCAUCAUCGUCAAGACCUCCCACCGAAUGUCGUCGUCUAUGUAGAGGCAAUUAAUCUCCCUUUGAUCUUCUCUCUCAGUUCCUAAGGUAUUAAUUAAGUUUUUAUACCAUUAAAAAGUGAAAAUAUAGAAGUCCAAUCUCUAGAUUGUUGUAGUUGUCAAACUAGAUGGACAUAGUUCAGGUGGACAUUGACAUGAUUGUGCUUCGAUUUGUGAUGGUGCUUCAAAUCUGGCCCUAUACAUUAUUUGGGGAUGUUAUGGUGAUAUUUCAUCUUUAUUUCCUUCUAUUUAAGUUUUUAUUAACCUCAGUAGAAGUUUAUUGCCCCCAAUAAAAUCUCAGUAGAAGUUUACUGCUCUCUCAGUAAAAGUUUACUGCCCCCAGUAAAACAUUUUUCAUCAUUACUGCCCCCCAGUAAAAUCUCACUAGAAGAUUAUUGCCCCCCAAUAGAAGUUUACUGCCUCCCAGUAAAAUUUCAAUAGAAGUUUACUGCUCUCUCAGUAUAAAUUUAUUGCCCCCCAGAAAAACAUUUUUCAUCAUUACUGCCCUUUAAUUAAACUUUAGCGAUGGUGCGGUAUACUUUCAGCAAGGUCCAGUGACAUUUUUAAAUAAAUCUGGCGAGAUUUCUGACGACUGGCGAGAUUCCGGUGGCAUUUAAAAAAGGAUCCGGCGAGAUUCUGGCGACCGGCAAGAUUGCGAUCACCGGUGACUGGAGUCCGGUAAGGUUCCGGUCAAAUCUUCUUUCUCUUCCAUUUUCUCUCUCUACUCAUGUUUAAGUGGUGAGGGCAAAAUAGUCCUAAAAUAAUAUUGUUUGGUAAGACUUAAGUAAAACUUUGUUCAUUUAGGCACAAAAAAAGCUAUCUUAUAUUCAAAUAGGCUCAUAAAAAAGAUUGUCAUUGGAAUAUGCAAUGAAAGACUAAAAUUAGUACUAAAUGAGUAUUUCUCCAACAAUAAAAGUCUCACUCAGGACCAUAAAUUUCUAUUAAUGCAACAGAAUUAAGUUCGAAAUCGUAAAAUUACGGCAUAACUUAAAAAGAAAAAAGAGAAAAUAUAACGGACAACUAUGUUUCAAUUGCAUGAGCAUGGUUCAUACAAAAUUGAUUUUCAAUUAUUGUCACAGUACUUUUACUGUUGAAAGUUGAAACAUAUAAGUUUGCUUUUUACCCCAACUUUCCUUGUACCCUAGUCUUGUGAUUGCAUAUGUGCAAUUGAAUAUUCAUUGUACAAGUCUUCAUCUAAACAUAACCUUUUUUUUUAACUUGAGAUGUUGGAGAAAACUAAUGUACGUAACUAACCUCAUACACUUCAACAUUAAUGUACGUAUCUGAAAAUGCGGGAAUAUUCAUAGCUUCUUAGAGCAUAUGCACAUUAACACUUCAACAUUAACCUUAAACCAUUCAUGGCCGUCUUGGGUUGCUAAACGAUGACCUACUGUAUAUUUGCUACACGAGAGUCAUACACUACCUUGAAGUUUCUGAGUAACUCGUGCUUUUUACUCACAUGAGACUCAAAUUGUGUUUGUUUCUGCUCUGGAUUUUAAGGAAUAACAUUACAACUUGUAAUCACUAAAUGAAAAUACAAUUUCAAAAAAUAAAAAAAUAAUAAUAAUAAAUUCAUUGUGUAAUUUGCAUUAGGCGUUAGCUACUUGAUUCAGAGUGGAAGAAGUGAUUUAAAGAUAUUUGUAGUAUAGCAACCUCGCAUGAAGUGCAGAUGGGUAAAAAACUAAAAACAAACCGAAAAAUAGAGAAUUUAUAAGUUCAAUAGUUUUUCAAUCGAGAUUCAGAUCUAGAUACUAUUUUCAGUAUAUUUACACAUUUAACUACUUUAUCGACUUUCCACUCCAAAUUUAGGACUAUGAAUGACAAUUUCAACCGUUUCCCUACAAAUCUUCACUUAGGACCAUGGAUUUCUAUUAAGAUUCUUAUCUAGGGAAAAACCCCACCUAAAAUUUUUUCAAAUUGCAAAGAAAAAAAUACAACACAACUAAAAUUGAAUUGCAUGAGUAAGGUUCAUACAAAAUUGCUUUUUUUAUUAUUGUCACACUACUUUUAUUGUUGAAACAUAUAAGUUUGCUUUUUACCACAACUUUCCUUGUACCCUAGUCGUGUGAUUGCAUAUAUACAAUUGAAAAAUCAUUGUACAAGUCUUCAUCGAAACAUAAUCUUUUUCUUUUAAGUUUUAAAUAGAAAUGUGAGAAAAUCAAUAUAGUUAACAUUAUAUUAGUAGUUAGAAAUAAUAAUGUAACGAGGUAAUAAUAAAUUUUUAUCUGAUGCAGAAAAAUUCUUAGCUGGUUCAGCCAUAUACAAUUAUACAUAUUAGGGUAAAAACCUAAAAUGGUACUUGAAGUAUUGCGAAAGGUAUUUUUUGGUACUGCAAAUUUUUAUUACCUGAAAUUGUACCUCAACUAUUGCACCGUUACCAGAUAAGUAGAUAUGGUGUCUCCGUUAGUUUUUCCGUUAAAUUGAUGACGUAACAUGUAUUUAGAGGGGCAAAAUAGUCUAUAUACAAUGUUUCCCCUUUAAAUUGAUAGAUUUUUUCUCAAAAUUCUUACCAUUUUUUAUUUUAUCUCCAAAAUUCUUCNNNNNNNNNNNNNNNNNNNNNNNNNNNNNNNNNNNNNNNNNNNNNNNNNNNNNNNNNNNNNNNNNNNNNNNNNNNNNNNNNNNNNNNNNNNNNNNNNNNNNNNNNNNNNNNNNNNNNNNNNNNNNNNNNNNNNNNNNNNNNNNNNNNNNNNNNNNNNNNNNNNNNNNNNNNNNNNNNNNNNNNNNNNNNNNNNNNNNNNNNNNNNNNNNNNNNNNNNNNNNNNNNNNNNNNNNNNNNNNNNNNNNNNNNGAGAGAGAGAGAGAGGAAAGUGAAGGAUUCGUGUGAGAAGAAAGGAUCUGUAGGGAUUGAGGGUAUUUUAGGAACAUCAUAAAAGUAAAAUAACAGGUUUAGACUUAAAAGUGGACUUAUAUGGGUAAAAAUAUUAAGAUGGACUUAUGUUACAAAAAAUGUUGAGAAAGUGACUUUAAUGAAAUUUUCUAAUAAAUGAAGCAGUGUGUAUAAAUAACGUAGAAAAAACUGAAUUUUUUGAUCAACUUGGGAAACCACAAAAAUGACAUGAGAAUCUAAUCAUGGGGAUAAGAAUUUUUGUUAUAUUUACCAAAUUCAUUUUGUACUUGACAACUGUGUACAAUUUCUAUUAAGCAUGCCAAUAACUUUUUUUCUUUGUUUCUUUUUCGCUUCUUUUCACGUUAAAUCAAGUUUGAUAGGAAUUGACAUCGUUAAUGACGAUAAAUAACUAACAAAUUUUGAGUGCGAUUUUGCAGCCCCCAUUUACACAAAAACUGAUGGUCGGAGUUCCAGUUCACUACUAGUGGAAGAGAUUUUGAUUCACUUCAUUCAUGCUAGCUACUUGAUGUAAGUCAAGGGAUUGUUCGAAUUUAUAUAUCUUUUAAUAUGAAAACUUCACAUGCAUCCAUCCACAAAAAGACAAUACAUGAUUAAAAAUUAAGGUGGAGUUCGGUAAUAUAUAUUUUGUUUUCAUUUUUGUGAUACCUUGGUGUGGCAGUGGCAAGUUUCUCAUCGACGUUGGGUCGAAGGCAGCGGUUUUGGUUCUCGAACGCAGUGUGAGGCCUGCAUCCCUUCCUCUUGAAGUCUUUGAACGCGGUGCAUGCUACACAAGAGUCAUGCACCCCUUCCCUUUUAAGUCUUUGAAUAGCCCCUGCUUUGUACUCGUAUGAGAGCAGUGGCGGAGCCAGCCACUGGCUUGCCCAGGUCAAUAUUUUCAGUUGGAAAAAUCAACUACUUCACAUUUAAAAAAAAAAAAAAAANAAAAAAAAAACAACAACAACAUGAGCACGUUGUAUAGCUACAUAUGCAUAUUAAUCCUUAUAUAUAUAUAUAUAUAUAUAUAUUUCUAUUCCAUAACUAUUGUUUUUUUGAAUACAUACUUGUAUCCUAACUUAUUAAUCCUUUCCUACACUACUAGAGAAAACCCAUUUUGUGAAUAUACAUAUAAUGUCCUUUGAUCCGGACUUAAUCUUCAUAUGUUAUAAUAUUUCAUGAGCAUUUUAUGUGGUAUGAUGAUAAAAUUCUAAAAUUAUUAUUUGAAAAAUUUAAGAAUAUCCAUUAUUAUAAACUAAUUGUACUAAUGGCUAUAUUGGGUAUUCAUUAACCCAUCGGAUAUGGAUUAGGAUUAAGCUAUUAAUGAUGCGGCAAGUAAUGAGUCAGGAUAUAAAUAAAAACUCUCUCUCUCUCNNNNNNNNNNNNNNNNNNNNNNNNNNNNNNNNNNNNNNNNNNNNNNNNNNNNNNNNNNNNNNNNNNNNNNNNNNNNNNNNNNNNNNNNNNNNNNNNNNNNNNNNNNNNNNNNNNNNNNNNNNNNNNNNNNNNNNNNNNNNNNNNNNNNNNNNNNNNNNNNNNNNNNNNNNNNNNNNNNNNNNNNNNNNNNNNNNNNNNNNNNNNNNNNNNNNNNNNNNNNNNNNNNNNNNNNNNNNNNNNNNNNNNNNNNNNNNNNNNNNNNNNNNNNNNNNNNNNNNNNNNNNNNNNNNNNNNNNNNNNNNNNNNNNNNNNNNNNNNNNNNNNNNNNNNNNNNNNNNNNNNNNNNNNNNNNNNNNNNNNNNNNNNNNNNNNNNNNNNNNNNNNNNNNNNNNNNNNNNNNNNNNNNNNNNNNNNNNNNNNNNNNNNNNNNNNNNNNNNNNNNNNNNNNNNNNNNNNNNNNNNNNNNNNNNNNNNNNNNNNNNNNNNNNNNNNNNNNNNNNNNNNNNNNNNNNNNNNNNNNNNNNNNNNNNNNNNNNNNNNNNNNNNNNNNNNNNNNNNNNNNNNNNNNNNNNNNNNNNNNNNNNNNNNNNNNNNNNNNNNNNNNNNNNNNNNNNNNNNNNNNNNNNNNNNNNNNNNNNNNNNNNNNNNNNNNNNNNNNNNNNNNNNNNNNNNNNNNNNNNNNNNNNNNNCUCUCUCUCUCUCGGGUUGAGCUGGGAGUUAGGAUUUUAGCAAGAAAAUUUAGAGUUGAACACAGAUCCUUAUGUAAGCUGAAAAAGGGGUAACAUCGUACUCAUUGGCGGACAGGUACACCGUUGGAUCUUUAGGCCUUAAGUUGAUGAAUAGGCAUUUAUUUAGUUUGUGUCUGCUUUUUAGUGUAAUUGUUUAUUCUUUGGACGUCGUUUUUUCCUUUUAAUUUUAGUCAUAAGAGAUUAAAGAGUUUUUCUCUUGAACUUGUAUCAGAGGUUGCUUCUGCCUGACCUGGCAAUAGAUGGUCGUUCGGUUUUAAUGCCAGUGAAAUAUAUCCAUCUCUUUCAAAAAAGAAAAAAAACACCAACUUGAUAUUUCACUUUUAGGAGCACUACUACAUACGUGAGCAACAGCCACACAUCCUUAGCCACAAAUGGAAUGAAGUGUGGAUAAUGGGGUCAUGGCAUUGCUGUUUAACGUGUUGGCGUUGGUAUCUCCCACCUACAAUGAACAAAAUGUGGCUGAUGAUUUUUUUAUAUUUGUUCAAGCAUAACUUUUCAUAGUACUGGGCCCAAGUUUGAUAUAAUAUUGCACAUUUACCUUCUCUUUUUUUUUUGUUUCCGGUUAUACCUUCUUUCUCUUUUUUUGGUUACAAAAAUAGUGGUCGGGUGGGACUACCACUCCGAGACCGGGAGCAACAUGGAUAUGACCCCUCCUCUUAAAGUGUUUUUCACUUACGGAAGAUCGAACCAGUGACCUCUUAUUACCAAAAGUAUCACUGUAACAUUCACCUAAUAAACAGAUCUAGCAUACUUACCACCAGACCAAAUCCCAUGGUUCCUUCUCUUUUUUUCGAUGGAAGAUUUCCCAUUUCUUUUCUUCAUGGGUGGGUGUUACUUAUUUUCUUUACAUUAUUAUAAUUGAUAAAUGAAUUUCCUAACCACAACUAAGCAAUUUUCUCAUCCACGGGUAAUGUCAUUGCGGAACUAGAAAAGAAAAGGCCAAAAAAGGGAGACGCUAACCCAAACCUAGGCUUCUUGGUGUCUCUGUUUGCUCUCAUCUGGAUGCACUGCGGUGCGCAUGCGUUUGGGCUUGCCGACGGGAUUGUGGUGUAGGGGAUCGGGGACUAGGGAUGGGAGGGAUUGCUUUGCGGGUUCAGUUUCUGGCUUUGACUCGACGGGAGUUGGGUGAUUCGAUCUGCUCGGAUCUCAUUGAAGACUGAAAUAUGUUUGGGUGUGGUUUUGCUUCAGAUCUCCCAGGAGGAGGCUACGGUGAAAGUGGUGUUUUGUCCCUCUGCGCGUACUCUCUUGGUUGCGGUUAGUGGAAUUGAGGGAUGUGAUUGACGGCGGUUGUUCGAAGGUGGGCAUUCUGAAAGCAUCCGCGCAACAAAUAUGGUACUAACAAUUAGUUUUUUUUUUUUUAAUCAAGCACUGAUGCAUGAUAAUAGCUAUAGUUUGUAUGACAAUCUCAGGGAAUUGAGGUGUAGCCCAGACCGUUGCAAAAUGUUCGUGCUUACCCAUGUCCGCGACUCUAAUAAACCACAGUAAGCUUAUUGUUGUGAAUCAAUGUAUUAAUAGUCUUUAAACUUUUGGUCAAUUGUUCAACAAGCUCCUUGUGUUUACGCAUGCAAUGAGAUAAUUGGUGUUUUUAAUUGUUAAUAAUGAGGGAGUUCAACAAGCUCACUAUUAUGUUAUGGAGCUUGAUCGUGGUUGUUGCCAGUUCCUACCUUUCUGGCUCUGGUAUAAAGUUAAAUUAGUUUCGUUCAAACUAAUAUUCAUAAAGGUUGCUAUACUUGCUUCAGUUGUAAGGAAAGGGGCAACAAAUGUGUGUACUUUAUGGAAAUGGUUAAAAAGUGAGCUUUAAGAAAAAUAUAUUUGUUUUGUCUAGUUGGAAUACUAAUUUUUCUGGAAUACUUGGUAUCUUCAAUUAGUUUCCAUAUCAGAUAAUCAAGAAUUUAGUCAAAGCUUUCUUCUUUCAUGAUGCAAGACCUUUCUUUCUGAUACUAGAAGAGAAUAGGCCCUUUGGAAGUUACUUUUCACUUGUUGUUGUAGUUCAGCUCUGUAUUUAUAUAUAUAGAACUUUUCUCAGGUGCGGACGCACCGUUUUACGGUGCGGAUUUUCAUCCGUUCGCCACCGUACGGCGCCGGUGAGGGCACGCCUCCACCCCAGCGGACUCCAGCAGCUUCCUCGACCACUUUCCAUCCCCGGUGAGUCCGCCGAAUUCCAGUUUUCCGGCCAGAUUGACUUUGUUUGAAGUUUUGGGUGAUCUGGCUAGAAAACUGGAAUUCGGUGGACUCGCCGGGGAUGGAAAGUGGUCGGGGAAACUGCUAGAGUCCACUGGGGUGGAGGCGCGCCCUCACGCGGCGCCGUAAGGUGGCAAACGGACGAAAAUCCGCACGUAAAACGGUGCGGACGUCCGUAGCAAAGACGGACUGUGUGUGUGUGUAUAUAUAUAUAUAUAUAUGUGUGGGUUUAAACUUUGAGGAAUUUCUUGGGUUUGAGCUCACAGUAGACUUAUGUGACUGUGAAGGAGGAAGCCAAUGAUAAACCCAAAAGUUCUGGUUUGUUUUUUUACUUUGCUUCUUGCUUAUAGAGUUAUAGUACUAUUAUUGCUAUAUCUUAUCAAUCUUGCACUUUAUGAUGGAAUUCAUUGUUCUGUGAUUGGGUUUUCAAGCUUGUGCUCUGUUUAGAUGGUGGAAAACUGAGGGGAAAGAAACAUAUUAACAAGUUAUGACUUUCAGUCUAAUCUUUGUUUAUUGCCUAUUUAGCUUAAACAUGUAGGCACUUCAAGGAUUAUACUUUAUAGGUAAUCAAUUCUUUCUGAAUUUGGAUUCUAUUAGAGGAAGCAAUUUUCAUAAAGUGGCCUUAUAAUUUAGUUGUAGAGAAUUCAAGCUUAUAAUUUGCAGAGGUAUUAAAGGGUUUCACUGUUUUGUACACUAAUGGUAGAUAAUAUACCUACAGGUUAAAUGGGGCUUCUGGUACUAUUGACUUGUGUGUCCACUUAUUAUGGUUGAUAUGUAUGCAGAAACAAGUAAAUGGAGGUGUAAGCCCAGAUCGUUGCACAAUGUUUGAGCUUACCCAUGUCAACAACUCGGGAAAACCUCAGGAUCCAAAAUCUAAACAAGCUAUUGUAAGCAUAGUUAUGAACUCUUAAAAGAUAAUGUUAAAGUUCUUAAAGUACUCAAUAUUUGAUACUGGUGGUAAUGUGUGAUGAUUGUGAUUAGUUAUACCGAUUGUUUGAUGUAGGCAUCAAUGAAGAGCAAGAUUGAAAAGAUGAAGUCUACCAAGAGGGCAUCUCAACUUCCGAAUGAUCUUAAUAAUUUUGAAAUUAAUGAUGUAUAUGCAAUUGUGCUUGGAAAAGAGAGGCGCGGAGCGAUACGAGGAUUUGGCAUUGGAGUUAGACCAGACCAAGUUCCUGGUGUACGAAUGAAGACUGGUUCUCUUCAACCAUCGGUGAGCUAUAUUCAACCUUCAUUUGAGCAGAUUAUGAAUGACUUGGAUAAUGUUUACAUACCUUAAUGCUGUGAAGAGUUGCACCACCAAGUUGCCACAGAUUGAGGCACUUCAUACUUGACCUUUUGAUUAGUAUAAGUUUGUUGUUUUGAACUUAAUCUAUGAUCUCUCUACUAUACUAGUGUGUAGCUACCUGAUCAUGGGAUAAGUGCAGAGGCUUUUAGCGCUUCAGACAUAUUUAGGUUUUUGUUGAUAUAUGUGAAGUCUGACUUAGCGUUGUAUAUUGUAGUGUUCAACUACAAUUUGUACUCCAUCAUAGUUUUUGUAUAUCAGUUGGCUAUUAGCUUUGGUUUUAUGUAAUACAAAUGUACUUAUUAAUGUUGGAUUCUAAUAUAUUAAGUCCAUUAAGUUCUUUACAUUUGAAAAGUCAUGGCUCUACUGGGAUGAUCUUAAAACAUUGAUCUGUUGAAUGUGCAAGGUAGCCACGAACCAUUUUGAUCUGUACAGUAGAAGUUGAUUCAAUUUGCAAUAAAUAAUCAAAUUCAGAUUAUUAAAAAAUUAGCUUGUUUAUUGUUUUUAAUUUAUAAAAAUGAAUUAUACAGAAAAAAAAAGAAAAAAAGAAAGAAAAUGGUCCAAAUACAGAAAAUGAGAUAUAACUAAAUACAAAUUCAUUUUGGACUGGUCCCACAUCAUGUUAAAAUCAAUAACAAAUCACAUAUACAUCUUCUAAAAAGAUUUGAAACACAAAUAAAUCAACUUGUGUUGUUAAACAAACAAGGACAAUUUUUAACAAUUAAGGACAAUCUUUUCUCUGUCAUGUGUCAUGAUUUAAUUUACCAAACUAACCCUACACUAAUUAAAUAUGUUUUUAGCCCUUUUGAGAUUUUUUUCAGUAAAUGGAAUACAUUAACAUGUUUUCAAUAACUUAGUAUAGUAGCAGUUAAUUCCAAUAGAAAUAGUAGCAGGGGUUAACAUUUCAGUAGUAGUUAAAAAAUGUAUUAACAGUAAGUUUUUAGUAGCUCAACUAGUGUAGUAGCAAUUAUUUCUAGUAAAUGCAGUAGCAACUAUUUUCAAUAAAUGCAGUAGCAGAUUUUCAGUGGCUCAUCUGGUAUAGUAGCAACUACUUCCAGUUAAUAUAGUAGCAAACUAUUUCCAGUAAACACAAUAGCAGGCUUUUAGUGGCUCAACUAAUAUAGUAGCAGGUUUUUAGUGGCUCAGCUAGUGUAGUAGCAGUUAUUUUUAUUUUCAAUAAUUGCAGUAGCAGCUAUUUUCAAUAAUUGCAGUAGCAUAUUUUCAGUGGCUCAUCUGGUAUAGUAGCAACUACUUCCAGUUAAUAUAGUAGCAAACUAUUUCUAGUAAACACAAUAGCAGGCUUUUAGUGGCUCAGCUAAUAUAGUACAACUAUUUUCAAAAAAUGCAGCAACAGGUUUUUUGUGGCUCAACUAAUGCAGUAGCAACUAUUUCCAUAAAUGCAAUAAAAAAGUAUUUCCAGUAGGGUAGUAGCAGGUUUUUAGUGACUCAGCUAAUGUAGCAGCAGUAGCAAUUUUCAAAAAAAUACAGGUUUUUAGAUGUUGUUGAUAUCACUGCUACUGUUACGGCUAGAAUUGCAUCAAUUACUGCUACUCCUCUUUACUUUCCAUUCUCAUUAAAUGUUCAUCCCCCAGAGCACAACACCACCAAAUUGCGGCCAUCAAUAGCACCAUAAAGCUAAAUCUAAAUCCUCGUUAUCCAUAACAAACUAAUUUCUAACUGACCAACAAUGCCCAACACUACCAACUAUGCUGGAAUUAAAUUUGCAAGAUUGAAUUACAGUAGUAAUUAAACAAAAAAAGAAAGGCAUCCUCAUCUUCCUCUUUCAGAUCUUCUUCCUCUCUUUGUUUCAAAUCCUCUAGCAUCGAAUCGGGCCCGAUUUCGCAUGCUUGAAUUGAAUUUAUCUCCCCUAAAGUAAAAUCCACGUCCAUCUCUCUUCUGUCCUAUAUCCCGCUGCCUUGAUCCAUCCCCAGACUGCUCCGCCUCCCUCUCUUCCACCUCCGCCGCGCUAGCGCUCAAGCCCAAUUGUAUCCGAGGGGUCCGUUAUCUCAGCGACGAGGUGAAUGACCAUUUGGUUGUUUUCCGGGUUCUCUGGUGAGAAGCUUGGCCGGGGCAAAGUCCCGUCGGGGGUUAGAGAGAGAGAGAGAGAGAGAGAGAGAGAGAGAGAGAGAGAGAGAGAGAGAGAGAGAGAGAGAGAGAGAGAGAGAGAGAGAGAGAGAGAGAGAGAGAGAGAGAGAGAGNNNNNNNNNNNNNNNNNNNNNNNNNNNNNNNNNNNNNNNNNNNNNNNNNNNNNNNNNNNNNNNNNNNNNNNNNNNNNNNNNNNNNNNNNNNNNNNNNNNNNNNNNNNNNNNNNNNNNNNNNNNNNNNNNNNNNNNNNNNNNNNNNNNNNNNNNNNNNNNNNNNNNNNNNNNNNNNNNNNNNNNNNNNNNNNNNNNNNNNNNNNNNNNNNNNNNNNNNNNNNNNNNNNNNNNNNNNNNNNNNNNNNNNNNNNNNNNNNNNNNNNNNNNNNNNNNNNNNNNNNNNNNNNNNNNNNNNNNNNNNNNNNNNNNNNNNNNNNNNNNNNNNNNNNNNNNNNNNNNNNNNNNNNNNNNNNNNNNNNNNNNNNNNNNNNNNNNNNNNNNNNNNNNNNNNNNNNNNNNNNNNNNNNNNGAGAGAGAGAGAGGAAAUAUGAAUGAUCGGAGAAAGAGAAAGAAGAUAUUUGUGGUUAGGGUAUUUUUGGUUGAGGUAGUGGCAGUUUUGCAGAUAUUUCAGAAAAGAUUGAGUUUUUAGGUAUUUUGCGUAAAAAUUGCUGACAUGGCAUAUUAUUAUACACUGUGAGCCUGAGCUUAUGUCCUUAUUUGUUUAAAUCUGUUAAAAUGUGGUUUUUCUGUGUUUUACAACUGUCUAUGAUGGUGAGAUGUCAUUUUCUAAUCAAUCAAAUCUCUGGCCUCAAUCCAUAUAUAUGUGGCUUUUCUUUGAUUGCCACAUUGCUAGAGGGCACACACCCAAAAUAUGUGGGUGCAAUGUAGCAAAUUAGCUUGCCCACACACACACAUAUGUGGCUUUCUAGGCCAAUUUGCCCACAUUAGAUGUAUGUGGGUGUUGGGCUAUAUUGUUGUGAUGGAGCUUCCAUUCAUAUCUCCAAUAUUGGCACCUGGACCUUUUUUUUUUUUUUUGCAAAUGUUUCUUAACCUUGUCAACUCAAGAGGCAUGGCAUGGAGGUAAACCUGAUGUUGAUCACUUUAAAAUUUUCGGUUGUAUUGCUUAUGCUCACAUUUCAUAUCAGAAAAGAAAGGAGCUUGAUGACAAGGGUGAGAAUUGCAUUUCUUGGAGUGAGUGAGCAGUCCAAAGCCUGCAAGUUGUAUAAUUUGGUCACUAAAAUUGUGAUCAGUCGGGAUGUGGUAUUUGAUGAAGAAAAGAUAUGGAAGUGGAGUGAUAAUGGUUCAUUGCCGCAGAAAAUUCCUAUGGCCCUAGAUGAAAUUCAGCAGCCUCAUUCACCGCGGUAACAUUCACAGCAGCCUUAAUUACCAAUUGUGCAAAGUGAAGCUCUGACAUCAAACCCUCCUAAUCCUCGUUCAAGAAAAAGACCAGUUGGAUGAUUGACUAUGAAAGUGGAGGUGAAUUUUCUUCUAGUUCUGAUGAUCAACUUGCGCAUUUGAUUUUAUCCACAAACUGUGAUUCUCUAACUUUUGAGGAUGCAGUGAAGGAGAAGAAGUGGAAGGAUGCUAGGGAUGCAGAGAUAAGGGCAAUACAGAAUAAUGGUACUUGGGAGCUUACUGAUCUUCUAAAAGGGCAGAAAUCUAUAAGAGUGAAAUGGGUGUUUAAGCGAAAAUUAUACAGCGCACCCGGGUGCGCCGCGCACCCGUCCAUCUCCGCCGUUCAUUUUGAAAAAGUCAAAAGUCCGCGUCAAAUGGACGGCGGAGAUGGACGGUUGCGNNNNNNNNNNNNNNNNNNNNNNNNNNNNNNNNNNNNNNNNNNNNNNNNNNNNNNNNNNNNNNNNNNNNNNNNNNNNNNNNNNNNNNNNNNNNNNNNNNNNNNNNNNNNNNNNNNNNNNNNNNNNNNNNNNNNNNNNNNNNNNNNNNNNNNNNNNNNNNNNNNNNNNNNNNNNNNNNNNNNNNNNNNNNNNNNNNNNNNNNNNNNNNNNNNNNNNNNNNNNNNNNNNNNNNNNNNNNNNNNNNNNNNNNNNNNNNNNNNNNNNNNNNNNNNNNNNNNNNNNNNNNNNNAUGGACGGUUGCGUGAGCGCACCCGGGUGCGCUGAAUACGCUCUCGUGUUUAAGACCAAGUUGAAUGCAAAGAAAGAAGUGGAGAAACACAAACCUCGUUUAGUUGCAAAAGGAUACAAGCAACUGCCCUUCUCUCAGCCUAGCAAAUUUAAGACCAAAUUUAAGGCUUGAUAUAAUGUCUGUAGUAAGUGUUAUUAGCAGGCUUAUUGAGCAUUCAAUUGAGCAACAUGUUCUUGUUGCCAAAAGGGUCUUGCGCUACUUGAAAUGUACAACUGACUUUGGUGUUUUCUAUAAUAAGGGAGAGAAGUCAGAUUUUAUGGGGUUUACUAAUAGUGAUUAUGCUAGAGAUGUGAGGCCAUCUCCAGUAGAAGAGGGCUAUAUUGGGGCCAAAGCUAUAAUUUAGCCCUCAAAAAUAUUAUUUUUUAUUUAGACUUCUAAAUGAUCUCCAAUAAAAGAGGGCCAUUAGCUCUUUUAAAUAUUUUAUAAUUUCACAUUAUACUUUUCAAUAUUUUCCACUUUAAAUACGAAUAUAUUGUCACAUUGUAUCACAUACGAGUAGAUACCGUAUAAUUUCUCACUUAUAGAUUUAUUUUAUUAUAACAUUAUUUGAAUUUGGACCAAAACUAAUAUUUAAAUUAACUUUUGAGACAAAAAAAUUUGCAUAUGUUGUGAUUAUAUUAAUAAAAUAAGAUAUCAGGCAUAUGAAUUUUGAGUUUAGAGAAUUUACCGGUUGUAAUAAGAUGAAAAUGAAAUAAUUCAAUAGAAAGUUGACAAUUGUCAUAAUUUGGUACAACCCACAUACAUACUUUUAGUUUUUUAAUUUGAUUUGGGACCACAAUUUGGUUUGGCUUGAGCUAGCCAAAGAGCUAUGUUUGACCCUUUUGAUAGCCCUUUAGCCCUUUUAUGACCCUUUGGCCCUCUUCUGAGUUCUUGUUGGAGAUCAAAAUAAUGCUAAAAUUUAGGAUUUGGCUCUAUAGCGUCUAGAGGCGGACUUCGGCCUCACAGGGUCCGAACCCUCGGCUUUUCUGCAGAUACAUAUAUGUAUGGGUAUUUUAUUAACUAAACUGAUGACAUAUGUAUGUUUAUUGCUGUUGAACCCCCUAAAGACCAAGUCCAAGUAAUGUUCAGAGAGUUUACACCCCCUCCUACUCAUGCAUUACGCACGCGAUCAUCAUAUAUUAUGAAUAAACAACAAAUCAUAUUCAAUUUACAACUAAAAUAAUAAUUAGUAAUAAUUCCUCACAAUCAUUAGCAUUUGUAGCUUUUCAGUUUUCACGGCUUCGUCCCUAUAUCGGGAUUUACGAUACUACUUAGGCUACUUCGUGACAUAUUAUUUGUUUUUAUUAAUUUGUAGCAAGCGAGAAAUACAUAUUGUUUAUGUUUUGAUUUAUGUUUGAGUACUCAUUACUUAUAUGAAUUUUGUUUUUAUUGACCGUUGGUUUAUAUUAUUGCAUUUUCAUCUUAUAUUGUGGUAAUCCGUUGUAUGAUCAAUAUUUUAUAUACGGAUCCCUCCUAAGUUUAAAUCCUAGCUCCGCGCCUGAUAGCGUCUAUUACUAGAGAUGACCCGAAUGAUAGAAAAAGACUGAACAAAGACAUUUAUUAAGACUGUACAUUUAUCAUUUAUUAACAUUUACGUUUAUCAUUGAUUAACAUUUAUUUAGUUUUAGAAGAAGGGCGCCCAAGAAGCUCGGAAGUAGCCUCAUCACCCUUCUUCUAUCAUUUAUUAAUAUUUAUUUAGUUUUAAGCUCAGCCUUAAAUUUUUCAUCAGUCAUUAAUCUAUGAAGUUGCUAAGAAAUUUGAGCACACACUUCAUUGGUUACUUCCACGCAAGAAACCCUGUUAAUAUAUCGUCUGCAUGGCCACAACUUGAAACACUACACUAUGCAAGUAUGCAUAGCCCAACUGUUAAUGACCUCAUCAUACUCACAAAAUGCAAAAAGAUGAUUGAUUCUGGUAGAAACUUGAACCUAUUCCUAAAUCAUAAGUACCUCAUUAUAGAAAAACAACCGUACCGGUAAAGGUUUAUUGUUGUUGAGUAAAACCGCAUAAUGUUACUCCUAACAAAACAUGUUGUACAUGAAAACCUAAUUCGAUCGUCAUUCUAAAUUGUAAUUUUCAUCGAUUACCAAUUUGUGUUUGGUAUGCAUAUGGAUAUCAUCCAUCGUACAGUAUUCACAAGCUUCAUUAUAAAUAGACUUCUUCUUUUUUUUAUUUGUUCUUCUUGCGGAAACCAGAAGGAAAAAAAAACAAAAACAGUCUCCAUCGCCAAAAAAAAAAAACAACAAAAAACAAAUCGCCGACCCAAUCAGAAGUUCAGAACAAACAAACAGAAGCAUCAUCCCAACUACCAUUCAACUCCCGCACUCCACAUCCACCACGCGUCCUCCUUCCAUUCGUCCGUCAUUACCCACUCCCGUAAGCUAUCUACCCGCAUCAAUCCCCUACCUCACCCCCUAAAAACCCGCCUCCUCCUCCCAAACCCAGCCCUCGUUAACACCGAAUAUCUCCUCUGACUCACUCUCAACGGUUGAGAUCUCCCAACUCUCCAACCCCCUGCCGCAGAGGAUCACACACCUCUUCGUCCUCCCCUAGUUUAUAACCAGGGUUGGACUCGCAAAAGCUACCAUUCCAGUUUCUCUCUCUCAAAGAUGCCUCGAACUCUCUCUCUCUUCCUCUUCUCCUCUCUCCUCUUCUUCCUCGCCCGCGCCGACGUGGAUGUCUCCGAUCCGUUGAUCCGCCAAGUCGUCGACGGCGGAGAUGAAUCCCCCCACCACCACCACCACCACGAUCACGACGGCGAAGCGAUGCUGGGAGCGGAGCACCACUUCUCGCUGUUCAAGAGAAAAUUCGGAAAGUCGUACGCGAGCCAGGAGGAGCACGACUACAGAUUCUCGGUGUUCAAGACCAACAUGAGGAGGGCCAAGAGGCACCAGCGACUGGACCCCACCGCCCAGCACGGCGUCACUCGCUUCUCCGAUUUGACUCCGGCCGAGUUCCGGAAGAGCCAUUUGGGCCUCCGGGGGCUGAAGCUGCCGGCCGAUGCUAACACCGCGCCGAUUCUGCCUACCGAGAAUCUGCCGGAGGAUUUUGACUGGAGAGAGCGUGGAGCUGUUACGGAAGUCAAAAACCAGGUCUGUGAUUAAUUUAAUUUAAUUUCUUUAAUUAGGUUUCGGGUUAAUUACGUUAUUUGGUUAAUUAAUUUGGGGAUUUUGUUGGUUUUGGGAAAUUAGGGCUCGUGCGGGUCGUGCUGGAGUUUCAGUACCACUGGAGCGUUGGAAGGUGCACACUUCCUUGCGACUGGGGAGCUUGUCAGCCUCAGCGAGCAGCAGCUUGUUGACUGCGAUCACGAGGUUUGACUUUUUAUAUUUUUCAUCAUAAUUUUUGUUUAAGUAUGAGAAUUUUGCACUUGAAUAUUGCUGUUGAUUGUUUGGAUUUCAUUAUCGAAUAACGAAUAAUUUGCCCAGAAUGAAUUGGUUUUGUUAUGUGUUCAGGGUAUAGUGGACACUAUUGAUGGUGUGCUUUUGAUUAGUAAACUACAAACUAAGCUAGAUGUCAUCCCUCACCAUAGAGUCUUAUGACUGGAAGUUCAUUAUAAGAUAGAUGCAUAUACCUUGCCUUUUGUUUUCUUCGAUUAUCAAGUCAAAUACAAUCUACGCUCUAGCUAUCUAGCUUCAUUUAAUCCCUUUGAUUCUUGAAUUCCGACAUAAGCCAAACAUGAACAACAAAGCCUAGUGGUCCAACUGAUGUACAAUUAUCCUGCUCUUAUUGGCAUACUGAGUUUUUUAAUUCUAUUGCCGUGCUUUAACUUAAUACACUUUGGCAGUUGGUAUGUAAUUUGGUAUGCAGUACUACUGAAUCACAUUUAACAUUAAUAUUGUCGAUUGUACUGGUGUGUACAGAUGUAUGUUCAUGUUUUGCAUAUCAUUCUGUAUGUAUUGCUUUGCAUAUUCAUCUUGGAAAUGUGGAAUUGAACUUUGGAUAGGACGUCUCCCAACUGCUGUCUCUUACUCAUGUGUAUUGAUUAUGGCAGUGUGAUCCAGAGGAGGCAGGUUCAUGCGACUCUGGCUGCAACGGUGGGCUCAUGAACAGUGCCUUUGAGUACACACUUAAAGCUGGUGGACUCAUGAAGGAAAAAGAUUAUCCAUACACUGGUACUGAUCGUGGGACCUGCAAGUUUGACAAGACCAAAAUUGCAGCCAAAGUUUCCAACUUCAGUGUUGUCUCCCUUGAUGAAGAUCAAAUUGCUGCCAAUCUUGUGAAGAACGGCCCUCUUGCAGGUAAAUUUAUCAAGAUUUGUGAUUUUUUGUUCUCUUCCUGUCUCUUUGAAAAAGUAUAAUAAAUCUCAUACGCCAUAUUUCUUAUCAAUAAAGGUUUUGAAAAGCUGAUAUUAACUGUUGACAUUGUUUAAAUGCAGUGGCUAUCAAUGCUGUGUUCAUGCAAACAUAUGUUGGUGGAGUCUCAUGCCCCUACAUUUGCUCAAAGAGGUUGGACCAUGGUGUGUUGUUAGUUGGUUAUGGUUCUGCCGGCUACUCUCCCGUCAGAAUGAAGGAGAAGCCAUACUGGAUCAUAAAAAACUCAUGGGGUGAGAACUGGGGAGAGAAGGGAUUCUACAAAAUCUGCAGGGGCCGUAAUAUCUGUGGUGUGGACUCCAUGGUUUCAACUGUUGCUGCAGUUGAGCUAUAGGCCCAGAGUUAUGAUUAUGGCAGUCAUGUUUGUGUUUUGUAUAUACAAGGGUUAUGACAUUUACUGGGCAACUCCAUAGGCGACUUUGAAAUAAUCAUUUAUGUAUUUAUUCUUUGGGGUGUCCAAACAGCUUAAAUGUCCUUUUUAUGUGGCAUGUGUUUGUAAACUUUGUUCAUCCAACUUCCAUUUGGAGCUUUUAUAUGGAGAACUCUCUCAUCUUAAAGCUUUCAGUACAUGUUGCUUUGUAAUGCUUAAAGUUAUCCUGGUUUGAUAAUAUACUACCAAGUGCGUAGAUCUCGUUACAUUAUUAUGUUUUGAACCAUGUUAUAACCUUGUUUGAUCUUGUUGUUCGUUCUACUUUUGCACUUUUUCUCCAUUGAACAUUUGAUUCAGGAUCAAUAUGUCUACAACUCGGUACAUAGUUAACAAAUAUGUCUACAAACUGUUGCAUUGCAUGGGGAGAGUAUCAAUGAAUCAAACUUCACCUCUCAUUCUAUUAUCCGACCAAAAACUGUCUCAUUCUAUCAAACAUGCAAUGGAUAAUGAGAGUCCAAUUGCCACUGAGCUUCUUGAAGUAAAUGCUUUGCGGAUGCAGUAUAGGGUACGGGUCGCAUACAGGCUGCCUUAAAUCACCUGUUUGCAUCACGCAAUACGUCACCGAUGCCUUCCCUGAAAGUGAUUUGGAAGAAAGGCUGCAUGCGCGCAUCUACCUUCAAAGUGACUUGCUUCGGUGCAGUACUGCAGUUGGCCUCUUGUUUUUUCAGCCAAGCGAGACUACUCAGAAGUCAGAACAAUGUCCUAAGCUGUUUGGGUUUUGUUCUACCAAUGUUGCUUCUACUAUUCCACAGUGCCCAUAUGGACCUGAGAAGCUUAGCGAAGACAUCAGAGUUUGGUUGCAUCCAUUCUUUGAAAUUCAGAAAAGUAUAGUGUGCUGUAGGUUGAAAGGCGGAGCAAACAGUGUUUUCAGCUAGAGGACACUCACAGAAAAAGUGCGAGACAGAUACCAAUAAAUGGAGUGGGGCAUGACAACAGCAAAUAACAAUGGAGAUGAGAUGAUACUUUUAUCCACAACCCCUACCACCCCUAGCCCUAGUUUAAUGGUACAUUUCUUACAAUUAGGGCAGAAGCUACUGUAGUGAAGCUAUUAGUUGCAGGGGAGCCUAUCAUCAGUAACGAAAAUAGAGAUUCUCCCCUUCAAUUAGACUUUCCUCUACACCAAGCAAGAAGGUUUUUUAAAUUUGAAACUAGUACACCAAGUGAACAAUCUAAUGGUUUCCCUAAUAAUAAAUAAUAACUAUUUAUAUAUAUAAAUAGAAAGCUGAUUAAGAAUUUAAGUAUUCCCAUUAUUACACACGGCCACAACUACCAGUCUACCACUACAGAUGAAGAUGCUGGCCUAAACUGCUUAUUCCUUCCCAUCACCAAAUUUAAAAUACUGAAGGAGUGAUGCUGAAUUUGAAAACCAUCCGCUAACUCCUUUCAUGGAGCACCAUAAUUGCCUUCAUGUACUGUUCAAAUGAAAGAAUCAACUUCGACUCAUACCUAUUCACACUCAAUGCCAUGGCUUAAACACUGCCUAUGACUUGAUUAGGGUAUCACUCAUCUUCAUCGUCAUGCAACACAAAUGAGAAUGGAUAGAACUUGUAACCAUCUCCCUCAUAGAACUUGUUUUGGAAUUCCACCCAGUGAAGACGCAAAGCAUGAAGGAAAGCACUGAGAGUUUCCAUCAGUAGCAAAACACCAACAGUCGCGAAAACAAAGACAAGGAUGCCCACAAUGCGUAUAAGCCAGUUGUUGAACCUGUGAGAAACAUGAAUUAGUUUGUAGAUACUUCUAACUUUCAUGCCCUUAACUAUCAACUCCGAUGGCAUCAUUGGAUGAGCAUUGAUCAAUUAUGCUCGAUCACUCUAUUAUCUACACCCAAGAGUCAACAAAGAAUUUAUGUUUAAAAAAUUGAGUACAUACCCAAAAGCCAUCAGGAGAACCUUGUCGUAGAACACACUGGAUAAUUCUGAAUGAGCAAGACUGUUCAUGAAAGACAAUUACACACUGGAUUAUUAGUUGCACAAGGAGAUGAAUGACGGUAUAUAAAUCCGCAUAUUCCCAUAUUUUAUUUGUUAUCACUUAAUAAGUUGAGACCAAUUGAGAAAAACAAAGCUUUAUGCUGUAGAAACCAAGCAACACAUGAAAACAACCUCACAAGCUAUUAAGUCAUGCCACAAACCAAAUUGGAAAAGAAUUUCCUAGCUUGGAUGCCAAUGAAAAACGGAUGUACAUUCACAUGCAUAUGUACGCUUGGAUUUGUGAGUCAUAUACAAAAGUAAGAAACUACCUUAGGGCCCAUAGUCGAAGAUAAGAAGCUGUAUUUGAGACCGCUCCAAGUACAAACUCUAUUGUGUGUAUGAGUUGAUGUACGAAAACUUCACUAAAUUCAAACUCCUCAUGACCAUGGCCAUCAUGGUUUGAAUUCACUUGCAAACUCUCCUCUGUGUUCUCAAGUAAAGCAUAUGAUUGGCCUUGGUGCCGCUGAAACAACAUAAUAUCAGAAACAGCAGAGCAAAAUAAGAAGAAAUGUGAUGGAUCAAAAUGACCGAGAGAAACUAAUCAAAGUCUGUUAGCAAACAUACAGCUUCAUGUUGCUUUUUCAUGAGGAAAGGCUUUGGAAUCAGCAUCCAUGGUACAGCUACAAGAGCCAACCCUAAUAGCACUAACUGGUAAAAGAAAAUGAAAUAUGAUGAAUACUAAUAUUCUUUACCAAAAGAAAGGAACCAGAGAGAGACUGCUAAGAGGGACCACCUGAACUGUCUUCUGACCACUGAAAAGCUGAUUUUCACCUAGCUCAUCAGUAGGACUUAGGAACAUAUAUAUCAUUACAUGGUAUAGAUCAACUUUUGAACCAGUCCACCACUUCAUAACAAUCAGAACAGACAGGUAUCCAAAUAGACUGUUUAAGAAUAUCAGCUGAGGGAUAAACUGGAACCUGGAUCAAUGCAGGAUAUGAAUGAAUACACGCUAAUAAAGAGGGUGAAAGGGUACAAAGCAACUAAUGAUACAACAAAUGCAAGCAUUCACAGUAUAUAUGUGAACAACUCACAUUUACAGUGUAUACGCUUGCUACCUUAAUGGUAAAUUGCCAGCUUCAUUAAAAGUCAAUGUAAGAAAUGCAUAGCUUACCAAACGUUCAGACCAUUUUGAAAGAACUUUGCAUUGAAAUAACUUAUCACAAUUCCAAGGUUCAUUUGGACCACCCCAAGAAGAAUUGACAUUUUCAUCUUCAACGAGUUUAAGAAUGGCAGCUCACUACGAGAUCCAUGCCAUACAGGAUCCAGGCCAAAUGGGUAUGUGGGCCCCACCUUAAUUAAGCCAGCAGUAGUAGCAUCUCUGCAAACAAAACAUUUCAGUUUACUAUCAGAACCUCAAAGAGACCAUACAGAAAAAGAAGAGAUAAUACCAAAAGUUUAAGCUUAUACCGGCAAGAAAGAUCACGGCAUGCAUAUGCUGAGCGACCAAAUAGUUCAAAUGGGACAGAGAAGAACUCAUUAUAGAUGAAACCAGUGUAGAUUGAGAAAAUUGACAUCAGUAGAAUAACAUAACGGCCACCAAAAGCCAUCUCCAUGAUAUCUCCAAGUUUCUGCAAAAGCAUAACAAUAUUCAAUUAGAAUCAAAGGUGAAAGAUAAAAAUGAUACUGGAGGUGUCGUGAAUUAGCUCAUACAAUGCCUACCAACAAAACUACAAUUCCCAAUGUCGUUUAAAGUGAAUAGAGGAACUAACAAAAACAAACAAUUCAUAUAUUAUGCAGAGAAACAUGCUCCGGAAGAAAAAAGAACACAGCAACUGCGGUUAACGGAGUUGACACAUUUUGAAUAGGGGUGGCUUUAGCCAAUACCAGAUGUCCAAGUGUUGACAAACCAAAGCUUCUCUUUCACAGAAUGUUCUAUGCUCUUCAACAAAUUCAGACUUGAAAGCAUAGAACAUUAGGAUAAAGCGAUGAGGCGAUGAUGCAGCAGUAAAGUAGCAUCAAGGCAAAUUCUAAAACCUUUUUAUUUCACUUUUCAACACAAGUUUUAAACCUAUUAAAGGAAGAAGCUAUGUCCAUGCAGGUUUAGACUCGGUAGUGAUCAGAAAGCAUAAACAUCCAUAAUAUUCCACUGAAGUGGCUAAACUUGUAAAAUUAUGAACUAUAGACAUCCCAAUACUGGUAAUAUAACUUGGCAAUAAGCAUCAUGCAUCAGGUGUCACCAAUGGCUGCCACUCACAUUUUUCUUCAUAAGAGAGAAUUAUAGAAGAAUGGAAGAUAGUAUCUAUAUUCCAUUUUAACCAAGCCAAGAUGAUGGAACAACCAACUACCAUACAAAUCGCCAUAUAAUCAUAUACUUUUGUGUACACUCUAUUUCAAGUAUAGCAACAAAAUAUUGCUGACCACUGGACAUAUCAACACAGAGUGAUUAAAAAGCAAGAUAAAAUUACCUCAUUAGAAAACUUCCUUUCCCUGACUAUCAAAUAUAAUGUUGCAAGAAGCAAACAUAGUCCAUGUCCCCAAUCACCAAACAUGACAGCAAAAAGAAAUGGAAAUGUGAUGAUAGUAUAUACAGCAGGAUUUGCUUCUUGAUACUUGGCCACACUGCAAUUACAUCAAACCAAAACAUUUCAGUAUCCAAUAUAUAUUUCUGUUUGUCAGAAAGUAAACUGACAUCACACCUUGUGAUUAAAAUUAUUAGAUUGACAAGACUGUAAGCCUGUAAGAUCAUCACUUACUAAUGAUUCAUAGAUUUCAACAAUCGUCCUUCAUUAGUGUCUACUCAAGAUAGAAACUUAGACUUAAAGCAGGAGAAGAUUGAGGGGAUUACUAAUUUUACAUAUUACCUGAAAAAUUAAUAAUGUUCAACUACCUGGUAGACUAUGAUCAAGAACAUGCCAAACAAAUUAAUGAUCUUGUCACAUGAUAGGGGUAAUAAACAUAGAAAGAGUGAAGUUUUAACGUGAGAAACUAAUUAGUUUAAUGUGGAUAUGUCUUUUCAGUAUAUGACCCUAUACCUUACAAGGAAAAUGCCAAAAAUGACUGAAUAAGGAAAUAGAUAUUGACUAUCAUGCACAAUAGGACCAACGUAACUGAAUCCAGAAGAGGACGACUAGUAUGUUAUGAAAAAAGAAACAAUUAGCUCAUGUUAAUUCUAAUAUAAUAGGAUUCCAGUUUCUGAGAGAAAGAGGGAAGGCCAUAUGCAUGCUAACACAUGACAAGUUCUAUGUAAGGAGUGCACAAGUAUUCCUCUCAUUAUCCUAUCUUUUCUAAUAACCAAUAAAAGAGGAGCACAGAACAGUAUAAUAUUGGAGUGGAACUCACCCAUAUGCAUCAACAAUUUCUUGAAAUGAAGAAGUGAACUUGUUUGUGCGGAAAUAUGUUGGCGGUGCUUCUGUUGUAUGCAGAACCUGGAAGAUAGCUCCAACUUGAGAGUUGGAGUCAAAGGCUGCCCGCUGCAAUGCCUCCUGGAUCUGCAGCAAUCAGAUUAAAGAAAGUAAGUCAUACUUCAAAACCUUUUGAUUCAAAAUAGGCACCAGAAGGGACUCAUCAAAGUAUGCAGAAUUCUUUUUUUUCCCCCUUUUAAACCAACCAACGGAUACCUGCUUCGAUGCAAAAAUAGGACUCCAACCCUCACCCACAAGACAUUUUUUUGUUACAUCAAGGCUAAGCAUAUUAAGAGUGUGGUGUAUGGCUUUCUCCUUCUUCACCUGCAUGAGUACAAAAAAGAACAUUAUAAACUACCUUAACUUUCUGCAACAUUUUGCAAUACAUACAAACAUCAUAUAUGAGACAGUACAUACUUCCACAAAUAUAACAAUUAAACUUAAUUAAAGAAAUAAAUUUUAACCCACCAAAUGAUUCCAUUGCUCAUAAUGUUCGCCAAUAGUCUGCAACAAACUUCCCCGGUGUAAAACUCCAAUAUCUAUAGUAGUCUUUAGCUCAGAAAGUUUACCCAUAACCUGAAUUUAAAAUAUAUGGUUAUAUCAACUGAAGGUGAUAAAGGAAACUCUGAUCAUCUUGCACUAUGAAUUAACACGAAUGUUGCUUUCUACCACAAAUGCAAGGCACAAACUUAGGUAGAUAACCAAGUCAAACAUAUACAUUCUUGUUCUAAAUUGAAGCGUAACCAUUUUUUAGUAAAGUAGAAAGUAACUGAACCACAUAGGUUUAUAUGAGACAGUACAAAAGACGACCCUUUCUUUUAAAGAUCACUUGGAGAGCCCCAUUCGUUUAUAUUGCUAACAGGAUCCUUGUUGUAUCACUAAUAAAUAGAUAUUUAGUCAACUAAUGCUGCUGGAGAAGGUGCUUCUAUGGAUGGUAGAUAACUUAUUAAGAAAAGAAAAUAGAGAGUUGAGGCCUAAUACUUCAUGAACGGAGUACAGGCAAUCUGCACAAAAAAAUAUUUGGCCAGGUAAAAGGCUCACUUUCAUUACUGUCUAAGCAUGGGCUCAAAGCUAACAAAUUAGCUAUAAUGCAGACUAAACAUUAAGUAAAAUUUCUAUGGACAUUACUUCAUGCUGGGGAAAAUGGCAUUAACAAUGAGAAAUGAAACAGAAAGCUAAUUGAUACGAGGAAAAAUGUGACAGAGAAAAAAGAGCAGCCACCUUCUCAUUUAAAAAUAAUAGUAAUAAUACCCAAGCAGAAUCACAGUGCAUACCUCAUUAAUGGUUUGAGCUUGUUUACUUAGGUCCUCAGUAAAAGGGUAACGAUUGGCUCCAAAAGCAUCACAAAUUUUAAGAAUCUUGUUCUUUGCUCUUUCUCCAGAGUAGAAUACCACAAAAACAUUUUUCUCAAUCUGCAGAUCAUUAUUCAAAGUUAUAGACAGUGUUCAAUUACAAAGAAAAAAUUAUAUGACCAAAAACAGUUCCCUUUUUUAUAUGAAUAUAGAUGUCUUUUCAGUAAUUCAUACAAAAAGGUACAACUUUGUCUAUUUUUGUUGCUAAACAACGAUUUUUAAAGCACAUGUGAAGACAGAAAGGCAGGAAAAGUACCUUUUCUCCUGUCACAGGAUCUGUAACAGGAUUCUCAACAACAGCCUGCCUUAGAAAAACAUUUCCCCUAGUAGCUCGAAAUAGAAUCCUCUCAAAUGCCAAACACUUUCCCCUUGGAACAAGACCAGUGAGAAACCCCAACUUGACUUGCUUUGAUGGAUCAGUAGAUGAUUCCUGAGGAGCAGCCAAACAAAAAGAAUUUACUCAGCAGAAGUAAAAGAAAGUGAUUAGUCCUAAUACAGAAAAAAGAAAUUGAUAUCCAUACUUGGUCCAAUAACGGCGUAUCCAGGGCGUCAUCACCAAUAUGACGGGAUUCCUCUCUCUGCUGCAACCUCGCACUGCUUUCAGCUGAAUGAAAAAACUCACCAGCCUGAAAGAUACUUUUUUAGUCUUAUGACAGAUAUAUAUGAUAAGAAAACAUGCCAUUCGAGGCAAAACUUUGCAACAAAAAUCUAUAAACUCCUAUAUCAACGGAUCAAAUCCAUAAUCACUUCUAUAAUAAUAAUCAAAGACAACCUCCUGUCUGAAUCCAAGAUUAAGAAACUCUCUGAACCAACUCAUUUGAUAUAAAAUAAUAUCUAAUUUCCAUUUCAACUCAUUUAACUAUAAAACUAGCACAACACACAUUAUCUGAUCAUGCAUAAUUUGUGCUUUUGAACAGCUUAAUGUCACUAACUAGUUCAAAAUGUGUGUGUGUGUGUGUGUUAAACUGUUAAUAUGAUAUUGUUUGCUUACGGGGCUAUAUAAUUCCAUUCUUUUGGUUACUUCUGUUGGUUGCACUACUAACCCCUACAUGGGACCAAGGACAUGGCAAUCAUUACAAGCUGGAAAGUCAAACACUUAAGGGGCAUUGUUGUUAUAACUUAGAUUUCAUCUUUGAGCCGAGGUUAGAAAUAUAGAUUGGUGCAUUCACUCCCUCAUCAAACUAGCAUUUGUCCUUUCCUUAUAACAAACGUCUGCCUUUCCAUAAAUAAAAGUAAGAAUAAUCAUGAACCUAAAGCCUAUCACACGAGGAUAGAGAAUGAACUGGGGUCCUAAUAACACUAGUUGCAUGGUAGGAAAGACUGAACAAGCAGAAGGGGCUGUUACCUUUUGCAGGACGAGCUUAUAUUCUACAAGUUCAUUAUAUGAACGCUGCAACUUUUCACUAUUUGCAUUAAUUUCAAUCAGCUCAGCCUCGAGCUCACCAAGUUUUACCUAGCAUACACACAAAAUUAGUGUUAAAACAUACAAUACGAAGCAUGUUUUGCUAGACAAAGAAACAUCGUAUAAUACCUCCAGAUCAUCUAAAUUGAGGUCCGCUUGUCUUGUAGCCUUCGGAGGAGGAAGACCAGACUUUAACAUUUGAUCCUUGAAGAAACGUAAUUUACGUGCCAUCUCACCAGAUCUUUUAAUCUAUAUAGAAGAAUAAACCAAUUCGCUUAGCAACCAAUAUGCAGACAUACGUCCUAGGUACUUGUACCAUUAUGAAAAGAAUGGAUUUGCAGGUAUUUAGUUUUCCUCUUAGAAGCAGGAUGUUAAGUACCCUUUCAAUAUUCAUCUUUGUUCGGAAGCAAUAUGAAACAGCUCAAAAGAACACCAAGUGAUAACAGUAAAUACUAAAGCAGAAAAUGAAACUAACAGCAUGGGAGACUAACAAUUUGACCAAGCUAAAUGUGAGAUCAUGCAACAGUCUCUCUUUGUACACACCCCAGGGUGGGGGAAACAGCUAAGAAUGCACUUGAGCUACAUGUUUCAGCUAAUCAAGUCAACUUUUCAAAGUAUAUCGGUUGCAUGCACAGCAGCAUUCACCUAUUUUUCAAUUAUGUUAUUUUAAGUCCGGUCUGGUGCUAAUGUGACCGUAUACUUCUGCAGAUACGAAAGGAACAGAGUGUAAUUUCUAGAUUCAACUGUGAACUAGAAACAAAUAGAAAGUACAAUCUCUUGAAUACCAACAAGAGGCACUGAUAAUACAACUUACACUCAUCAUUGAGAAUUUAUAAGAAGCCUUGUUAGUAUUGUCAUAUUAAUCACAAAAUACAUGUCAAGUGCCAGAGGUCUGCUUUAAUCCCCCAGUGUAAACCCUUACAACUCAAACAUCAAGGUGAAGUAGCAAUGCAUGGCCAAACAAACAUACAAAGUAUCCACAACGCAAGAUAACAACAUAGUUGCUUGGUAAGAUAAGAGCAUAAACACACCUGAGUAGCAUAAGUCCUCUGAAACGGGCUCUUCUCUGUAUUCAGCUGAAAUAAAAGAGUCAUCAAAAUAUUAGUUGCCAGGAAAAACUAAGAAACAUAUAUUAAAUUAAAAAAGACCAAUAACUAAAAGCAUAGUGCUUCGCGAUAUGCUUCAAAGUCUUCCCACCCCUACACCAGAAUUUUCUAAGCUUCAUCUUCAAAUUCAAUAAUUUACAACAUUCUACAUUCUGGCAUAUAAAUUGAAAAAUUUGGACAAAAGAAAAGUAUUUCUUUUUCCUGCAUAUGUUUUAUACAGAUAAGAUGAAAGAGUGUAUAUUUCAGCCCUAGAGAAUGCAAAAGGAUCUUGUCAAUGUCCCGAAUUUCGGUGUCUUGUGUAUUAAAUCAUAACACUCCCUACUGUAUCAUAACGAUCUAGAUUGCUAAAUCUAGCUCCUUUACUUUUAUGUCUUCCGUCACUAAACUACUUGAAGCUUCGCAGCCAUCCUUUAGUAAAGGAAGCACCAAAUCUUAACAAGGAACUAAAUUUCCAACGCCAGCACCGGAAUCCGAUAGUGGCAUGAGUUCUCAUUACGUGUUCACAAAGCUAAACCACUAGGAUAAUCACUACUCUUUUCAACGUGAUCAUCGAUAAUCAAUGAAUUGAUCAAAACACAAAUGCGAAAGCAAACAAUCAAAGAAUUCAAAAUCGCAGGAAAAUCAAAUCGAAUUGAAACGAGAAAAAAGAGAAUCGGAAAGAGAUUACGUCUUUGAAUUGGAGGAGGCCGAGGUCGCCGAGAUAAGAGACGGUGAGGUGGGCGGACUCGAUGGGGAUGAUGAUCUGGACGAGCUGCAUAGGCUCCGACCUGAACAGAUCCAUUGGGGGACAGCAUCCUCCCAUCCUCGCUCUCUCUCUCUCUCUGUGAUAAUAGAGAGAUUUGGAUUGUGGCCCUUUGUGUAUAAAUUGGUUUGGUUUGGUGUGACACAAACAGUCAAAAACCCAGAGAUGAGAGAGAUGAUUAAGUAUUACUGGGUAUAUGUAUCAUUAUUCCCUUCACUCUUUGUUUGUUUGUUUGUUCGCCACACAAAAGCUCCACGUACGUCCUUCCAGUCCCUCCUCAUCUCUUCUCAAUUUAUGUUGUUGGGUCCGUGAGGAAAUUUCCUGCUUUUCUGACCCUUUUCGUUAUUGUUUUUAGGUCCUAAAAAUUAUUAUUUGAUUUUUUUUAAUACGUACACAGGCGAGAACGGCAUUACUCAUACCAUAAGUCUAUUAACUAUUAACAAAACCGUAAAAAACAAAUAGAAAGAUAUUGUGCUUAACCUCACAAUAUAAGAACAUCCUAAAAUAAUAUUAGGCAUGUUUAUAAAAACUAUGCAUUCUAGUAAGCAUCAUUUAACAAAUAGUGCAUCAUUGGAUACUUUAUUUGUUUUACGAUUUUGGCGACGUAUCAGAAAAAUACUGCUCAGAAAAAGUCAUAAGUUACUAUAUGUAUCAGCUUUUCGGCUAUGAUGUCACUGGAAAUUAUCAGUGACACUAGGCUUCAUCUUGCUAUUAGAAGGCUGCGACCAUUUAACAAAGCAAAGAAUUCGCCGCCUCAUUAGAACAAACAUGACACGCUACGUGUAUUUUCCAAGAUAUAUCCCACCAGUAUCCAAUAUCACUAAAAAACAAUAAAGCAAAAAACAUAAAGAGCAUCUAGUUGGACGUAGCCCUCCUCGACCUACUAACUUAGAGUAAAAUAUUAUUGAAAGUUCAAAACAAACUACAACUAUUGAAUAACCAUAGAAAUAAAUAACAAAACAAAAUAAAAUGAGCCCAAUUAGACUUUUCUGACCCAAGUAACAUGAGGCCAUAAGAGGGCAUCCAAGCCGUCAGCCUCUGCCUGAACAUUUGUCGUAGCGUCUUUACUGGCUAUCCCCACACUCUGACCUUCCGCCUGCAACUGCAGCUAGCCUCCCUUCCCCAUCGCAGUAUACCUACCAAACAAACCCCCCUCUUUAUGACCUUUCAUUCACAUCCAGUUUAUGGCAGCCUCCGCAUCACGCCUAUCAUUAUUAUGUUUUCUAACUUGAUCCAAUUUGUUGUAUAAGUCUUUCAACAUGGAUCCAACAAAUUGAGGGCCACUUGCUUGGAGUGUUAGAAACUCAUAUGCAACACUAGUAGGGACAUGCGUCGUUCGCAUAGCUAGAACAACAGAGAUGUCAUCCCCAGUCACUUCCUAAAAGAUGAUAGAAACUGUCGCUCUACAGGUUCUGCAAGUCCAUGAUUGUGCUCAGUCAAAAAUAUUCAGAUUGUGUACAACAUCAUCUUAUCCAAUCUCAGCACAAAAAUAGUUUCACAUCCUGUUCUUGUAUAUUUAUAUCCCCUCACAACAGUCUUCUUUAUCUUCUUCUUCCUCUUAUUCCAAGGAGUCUCAUCCUCACUCGCUUGUUGUUUUUCAGUUGUCGCUUCUUCGUUAUACACCACAUUCUGCUUUCUAUUUACUGAACUCUUUUCAAAACCCUUUUUUGCACAACACCAUCCUCUACUCAUCACAUGUGCUACGCCAUCAAUAAAUAGCUUGUCAUUCUUAUAAGACCUCUUACUAAACCCAACAACGAAGCAGUAAUACCCAUAAACCUUAUCUGCUUUAGUAACAGUGCGAAAUCUGAUGUCCUUCAAUCAUAUUUAAGUGAUUUCACAUUCCCCUUCAAAGCAUAAUACAUUUUGGAGUUAUACACAUCCUCAUUAAUAUUAUUGGCCAAUGUAAUAAAAUUUUCGUCUCUGUCGUAACGUUUAUCCCUUUUAAAGUCGUCAGUCUGCUUCGGUUUAAUCAUUGUAUCAUCCAGGUUUUUCUUCCACUCCCGCUCUGAAUCUUCGUUCAAACGAUCCUCUUCAUCUAAAUAUGGAAUAUCAUGGUACUUUGCAUCACUGAAACAUAUCAGAGACCACACUCAUAUGUCUCAUCGAUCUCAUCAUUAUCAUCCAUCUUUGCAUUUGUCUAACAAAAUAUCUACAGUUAGCAACUGAAUACCAAUAACAAGACUAUGGCCACAUACAUGACAGUGAUGACACAUCAUAUUCAAUUUUAUAUCUUCAGAUUACACUAUGACAAUCAUAAAUUUUCAACGUUUCGCUUUCGCAUCACCAUUUUUUGAAGGUUGAAAAAAAAUACACCAGUUCAAUAACUAUAUGCAAACAAUCAGUUCCUAAUUCGAUUUUAGUUCAAUGACAUCAGCAACGGUAGGCGCUUCGAUCUGAUUACUGUUUUCCAUGACUCUUACUUUACCCUGGUAUCCAUGGACCCUCUAAAAACAUACCCGUAUUUACAUACACCAACUUACCUUGACCCUUUAGUAUAUCUACGUAUUUACCCUCUCCACAAACUAACGAGACACGGAAGGUGUGAACUCCAUCUACGCACGGAGACCAAUCCUCUCCUAACACCUGUCCCCCCGGUAAACGACCAUAGACGUCUCCGUCAUAUAUAACGUUACAAAACAUAUGUUUGUCCUUAUAUUUUCAUGAACCCGACCCAAUAAAACUAAGGAAAAUAUUCAUUUAUGUAACGCCCCGAUUUGCACCUCAUCAAAUCAAGCACAUUACAGUGCCGCACAUUCAUAGAACCCAAGCUAGGAUCCUUCACUCAAGUUCUAAGAACCCGCAAGACAAAAGAAAAAUUUAAAAAAAUUUCAAAAAUGUUAGCAGAAAAGUUUAUUUAAGAUAAGGUGAAGAUAUAACACGUUUAGAUAUCUUUCAAAUCAAACAAGCUCUCUCUAAAACAAAAUUCAAUAUCAGUCCGGUUCAAGAUCAACAAUCGAAAAGCUUGCAAGAUGAAUAGUUUCUCAAAUAUACACAUAAUCGAUAAAAGGGGUACACAAGGACACGAUAAAUAGGAAACCUGUCAUAUGGAUAUAACUCUAACAAUGACAUGAAAUAUAGAAUGUCUAAGCCACACCUAACGUUGUCCAGCUGUCCCGUCUUCUAUUCUCUAUCAUCGAAGGUCCAUCGACGAAAUUGAGACUAUAGGAAGGAUCACGAGGCCGAGAUGAAGCUACCAGUACCAGUCACGCUCGUCGUCGUGGCCGGAAUCACGAACUCGACCGGAAACCCAUAAAUCCUUCUUCUGCUCGAUUCUCCCUUCUCUAAGCUUGUCUUGAAAAUCUAUCAGCAUAACAACGUUGGGGACGACGAGACGAAGGCGUGGACACCGGCCUUGCACCGGGAGGCGGCCGGAUGACGGACGGAACAAUCGGAGGUCUUCGUCGCUGCAGAGAAAUCGAGACCGAGGUCAGUUUGGGUUGUGUUUUGGGCUUUGAUUUGAUAAGGUCCAAGCCUUAUAUGUUUUUAGUUCGACGGUCCAGAUCAUGCCAGUAAAUUUUCCUAUACUUGAAGUAUUCUCCUUAUUUCCAAACUUCCAAAACUCAUUAUAAUGAGCUCUCAUGUCUGAAAAAUUAUACAAAACUUAGCACAUGCUCGUCACAAAGCCUACUUCAUUAUCAAAUCUCUAAACUAAAGUAUCCUUUUCUUUGAAAUAUAUAAAGUUUUCCGAGUGUCCUCAAGACUUAACGAAAUUGCAAUCUAUAUCUCGAACUACUCAAUUUUAGCUCCUUAAAUAUUUCCGGAGUCUCACAAUUUAAUACUAAUUUCAACCUCUCAUUGCCUAUUUCAAUGACGAUAUUUUUUAAGAGCUCAUUCCAAUAUAAUGUACCUAUAUUUGUGCCAAAAAGAACAAAUUUUUACUUAAAGUCUUAACAAACAAUAUUAUUUUAGGACUAUUUUACCCUCACCCCUUAAACAUGCAUAGAGAGAGAAAAUGAAAGAGAGAGAAGAUUUGGCCGGAACCUCACCGGACUCCGGUCACCGGUCGUCGGAAUUUCACCGGUCGCCGGAAUUUCGUCGGAUUUUUUUAAAAUGUCACUGGAAUCUCGCUGGAAAUAUUUUUUUUUAAAUGUCACCGGACCUUUCCAGAAGUAUACUGCACUAUCGCUGAAGUUUAAUUAAAGGGCAGUAAUGAUGAAAAAUGUUUUACUGGGGAGCAAUAAACUUUUAUUGAGAUUUUAUUGAGGGGCAGUAAACUUCUACUGAGGUCAAUGAAACCUUAUUGAGGGACAGUAAUGAUGAAAAAUGUUUUACUGGAGGCAGUAAACUUCUAUUGAGGGAGCAGUAAACUUUUACUGAGAUUUUACUAGGGGACAGUAAACUUCUACUGGGGGCAAUAAACUUCUAAUAAACAGUUUAUUGAGGGCAAUAAAUAUUGAGAAAGUUUUUAACACAUAACCAAAUGGUCAUAAAAUAUUCCUACUGCCCCUAGUAAUAAAAAUUACUACGUUUCUCAACAAAUCCGAAGCUUGAACCUGCUUGAAUGAGCGAGGAGCUCUCAGAUGAAGCCGAAAAGAGACCGGCGUGUCUUCCUCCGACGAGAGCGAGUUAGCUCGCUUACCUCAGCCCCUGGUACCUUCCAGUCUCCACCUUUCAGACUAAUCGACGACCAGAACGACGACGUCUUUGCCCGGUGACGAGAAUAGUGCUGUCGACCUUUGUCUUCACUGGAUCUCACGACGUUGAUGUGGAUCUAGUAUUCGUCGGCGACGUUGAUCUCAAUUGAUCAACUAAAACCGACUGAUCCGAAUAGAGAAGUACGAAACGGACCUGGAUUGCCUGCGGCGGAGCUGGCAAGUCCGUCAACGAGCUUGAAUGGCUUUUUGAGCAUCGAGGGGAGAGGAAGCACGUGGUCGAUACGGCUGGCCUGGACCUCGUUGCAAACGGAAGGGACAUGUGGCAUCGGAGACGAAACACCGCCGUUUUGAACCAGUGAGGGACCCAUCGUCGUUGUGAGAGAGAGAGAGGUCAGAUCUAGAUUAGAAACGAGGAGAGGGUUAAUUGAAUUAUAGUGAGGGUAAGUGCGUCUUUUUAUUUAGUUUUAUUAGAAUAUGCUCAUUUGAUGAAAUUUCAUUGAAAUGGGCUCUAAUUUAAUAAUUUUUGUGAUUUUAUUCACAUAAUUUUUCAUUUCUCACUCUCUCUCUCUUAAAAAUCUGUCCUCAGAUUUUAGUGAGUUGCUCGCUUUUCCUUGUUUUAUUUUCGUCUCCUAUCUAUGCAAGAUGGAUAUUGACUUGGGAUUACUAUGUAGGGUUGCGUUUGUGAUCAGGAACAACAAGGGAGGGGAUUCGGGGUUUCUGGGCUACACAGGUAUGUUUGUUUGGUAUCAUUUUCGAAUGUUAUAUUGAAUUACACUCUCAUAAUGGAAAUCUGGUUUCAGGAAUAGAUGGGUUCCAAUCAUUUUUAUUCCGUGCUAAUCUGGUCUCAAUUUCCCAAACUUUCAGAUCUAUUUUGGGGAUCGAUUGAGUCAGGUUUUACGUUGGGUUGUCAAUCAUAUUCUUGGAGGGAGGCAUGUCAGAUGAAUCCACCUCAGAACCUGGAACCAGCAGCUCCUUCUCUUCCGCUGUCAGCGGCGGCACGACUGUCAAGGAAUGCCAAGACAUGAUUCGAAGAAGCCUCCAAAGUAUUACUCUCCAAGCUUUCAUAAAUCCCAUCUGGGUUUAGGGUUUUAGCCUCUGCUGUUUGAUUUCAUUUCCGUUUUAAGGUUCUGGGUUUAGAUUGAUAUUUGCUCUGUUUAUUAAUAUUUUUUUAAUACAGCUCCAAUGGUGAAGUUUCUACUAGAGCAUCUGGAUAAAUCUGGGUGUGCCGUUGGGGACGGGUUUAUCAAGGCCGUUCAUUGCGAUAAGGAAUUUGGCGGAGGCUAUACCCGCGGCGAAGGGGUACUAUAUUUUAUGUUUAUUUUGAAUGCUUUAAAUUGAAACUGAAAUGUACUUGAUGGUUACAAAUGUUACAAAAUUCACCUCGUUGCGGGGAUUAAGCAAGUCCCUUUAGUGUAUGAUGCUAGUAGGGUUGGUCAUUCUGCAUCGGAACUAAGUUGUGAGGUUGAGUUAGAUUGGUCAUUCGGGAAGCUCUAGCUCUUUUAAUAGUGAAGCUUUUCUCCUUUUGUGUCUGUAAGAGUGUUCUGUGGUGGGUUCAGAAUAUAAAAUAUUUGGGUUGAAUGAGCCUGUGACGUGCCUAAUUUCGCUGUGCUCUGUGACUGAUUGUCUUUCAGGUAAUAGUGUGUAGUAAUCACAUGAACAUGCAAGAUGAUGUCAACCAAGUAGUGAUACAUGAGCUAAUUCAUGUUUUUGAUGAUUGUCGGGCUGCAAACUUGAACUGGGCUAAUUGUGCUCAUCAUGCUUGUAGUGAGGUGCGAAUCAAAUAGAUAUUGAAAUCUUUGUACUUGGUGUAUUACGUUUCUUUGAACCUCCAGUUUAGUUAUUUAUACUAUAUAUCUGGAACAGAUUCGUGCAGGCCAUCUUAGUGGUGAUUGCCACUAUAAGCGGGAAUUUUUGCGUGGUUUUAUGAAGAUUCGAGGCCAUGAACAAGUGAGUUUCUCAGAAUUUAAAGAAACAAUUGAGAUACCCUCUUUUGCUUAUUCGUUGCAUACACAGUGAAAUACUCUAUUACCUUAAUUUCAUUUGGAAACUUUGAUAAACCAAAAAACCAUCAUUAUAGACUGGGAACAGGUCUUUUUCAUCUAUGGCAAGGCAAAGUUUGUUACAGAGCAGAUAUAAAGUUACGUGGAGUUUUUAUUCCAACUUUUAGUAUUUGGCUUAUAUAUGAAUCUGAAUAUGUAUUUAGCAUGGCUCUCUCUCUCUGUGCUCUCUCUCUCUCUCUCUCUGUAGCUGUUAAAUUGUUUUGUUGUUGUAAACUAGUAAUGGUAUAAAACUGUGGAUUCCAUUUGAAGAUUAACCUUAUAAAAUAGACAUCAAGCUAAAUUCAAGAUUCCUAUUUAGCUCUGCAUAUUGAUAAUUAGUUGUAGAUUCAAUCCCAGAAUAGGUGCAUGUAAUGUUUGUAAAUCAAACCCCAGUUGCAUCCUUUCUUACUUUAGACUUCUAUUUCUUAGAAAACAAAUUCACUUCAGACUUCUUUGUUAGGAGACUCUAUUAACUGGAAUUCAAUUUUGACAUUUGAAGGAUUGCGUGAGACGAAGAGUUAUGAAGUCGGUCAUUAAUAAUCCCUACUGCUCAGAAGCAGCGGCAAAGGAUGCCAUGGAAGCAGUUUGGGAUGUUUGUUACAAUGAUACACAGCCAUUUGACAGAGCUCCUUGAAAUACAGUGACAAGUAUCUGUAUUGUACACUCUAGCCUUAUGGGAGAAACAUUGUCAUUCGCCAAUUUUUACUGGCAACUGAUAUAUUUCAGUAACAAAUAUCUUUAUUGUAGACUCUGGCCUUAUAGGAGAGACAUUGUUAUUCUCCGAUUUUUACUGGCAAAUGAUGUAUUUCAGUAACAAGAUCCAAGAAAUUUGCUCGCAGUGUGAGGAAAUCUUACUGUUCCAGAUUGUCUUACAGAUUGUACAACAAUGAUUGACAUUUGCUUGUGUUACAUUUCAAAAUAAUAUGAGAUUUCCCUAAGUAACCUCCUCAUGCUUACCAAAAUACACUCCAAUGAUAAUUAGUCUGUAAAAAUUGGUAGUAUUGUCGAAAAAGCCGUUCUCUCUCUCUCUCUCUCUAAAGUGAGGGAGGUUCCUCCACUUUUCCAUGAAGCAUAAGUUGUAGAGCGCCAAAAGAGAAGAGAAUCAAACAAUUUCGUGCAUUCUAAGUUAGACAUGCGCGUUCCGAGCUGUAAUUGGCAUUUGAAGCUCAGAGAUUUAUCCUCCAAUGCAAAAUGGGCAGAAUUGCUCUGCCAUUUCCAUCAAGUAAACAAAGCUGGGGGGCUUCAACUACCACACUAUUCAAUCUUCCCUCCAAUUCUCAAAGCGUGUUCAAAUCUCCUUUCCCACUCCUAUGGAAAAUCAAUACAUGGGUGUCUGAUCAAAAAUGGGUGCGACUCAUACACUUCCAUUGGUAACUCCACAAUGGACUUCUACAUCAAAACCAAGGACCCAGAUUCUGCAUUGAGUGUUUUCAACUCCAUGACAUGGAGAGAUCAAGUUUCUUGGAAUAUAAUGGUCUAUGGGAGCCUUGACGAGGGGAAUUUAGAACAAGGGUUGUGGUGGUUUAACAAGGCCAGGGUUUCGGGUACCGGGUUUCGACCCAAUACUUCUACUCUGGUGCUUGUAAUUCAAGCCUGUCGUCGGCUUAGAGAUAAAUGUGAAGGACUCAAAGUACAUGGCUAUGUCAUUCAAGCUGGGUUUUGUUGUAUUUCCUCGGUUCAGAACUCGUUGUUGAGUCUGUAUGCAGAAGAUGAUGACAUGGAAAGUGCACGCAAGCUGUUCGACGAAAUGUCUGAGAGAGAUGUCAUCUCUUGGAGUGUGAUGAUAGGAGGUUAUGUGCGUUGCGAGGAAGCCAGAAUCGGCAUGGAGAUGUUUCGAAAGAUGGUGUGUGAGGUUGGUGUGGAACCGGAUGGUGUAACGGCGGUCAGUGUUCUUAAGGGUUGCACUAGUUUGAGGGAGUUGACCAUAGGGACAUUACUUCAUGGGUUGGUGAUCUGUAGAGGGUUAGAUUCUGAUCUUUUUGUUGGAAACUCUUUGAUUGAUAUGUAUGCCAAGUGUCAUGAUGCGGAUUCUGCCUUUAAAGUUUUCAAGGAGAUGCCGCAAAGAAAUAGGGUGUCAUGGAAUUCCAUAUUGUCUGCAUUUGUCCAUAAUGAGAGGUACAUGGAUGCCCUGUCACUGUUUCAUUCUAUGGGGAAGGAAGGUAUCAAUGCCGAUGAAGUGACUCUGGUGAAUAUUCUUCAAGCCUGCAAGCAUCUGCGCCUAGUUCAUUGCAAGUCUGUGCACUGUGUAACAAUCAGGUGGGGAUUUGACUCCAAUGAGUUGAUCCUAAAUUCUCUCAUUGAUGCUUAUGCAAAGUGCAAUUGUAUCGAGCUUGCAUGGAAACUUUUUGAGAGGAUGCAGAAAAGAGAUGCGGUUUCGUGGAGCACUAUGAUUGCAGGGUUUACUCAUUGUGGCAGACCUGAUCAAGCAAUUGCCUUAUUUGGUGAGAUGGCCAGACUACAUGCACAGGAUGAUCAGAAGCCCAAUGAGAUUACAAUCAUAAAUCUCUUUGAAGCUUGCGCAGUUUCAGCCGAAUUGAAUUGGGCGAAAGGGGCACAUGGUAUUGCUAUUAGAAGAGGUUUGGCAGCUGGAGAUCAAGUAGCUGUCGGAACUGCAACUGUUGACAUGUACUCAAAAUGUGGGGCAAUAGGUGAAUCAAGAAAGGCAUUCGACCAGAUUUCUGGAAAGAACAUUAUGUCGUGGAGUGCCCUGAUAGCUGCAUAUGGCAUGAACGGUCUUGCACACAAAGCUUUAGCUUUGGUUGAGGAAAUGAAGCUGUAUGCUGUGAAGCCAAAUGCAGUGACUACCCUUUCUGUGCUAUCUGCAUGUAGUCAUGGAGGCUUAGUAGAAGAGGGUCUCUCUUUUUUCAACUCACUUGUUCAAGAUCAUGGUGUUGAACCAAGAUUGGAACAUUAUGCGUGUGUUGUUGAUAUGUUGGGCCGAGCAGGAAAGCUCCAGAUGGCUAUGGAUUUUAUCAAGAAAAUUCCACAAGGUUUAAAGGCCGUCGGGGCAAAUGCUGCUUGGAGUGCAUUAUUGAGUGCUUGUAGAAGCUAUGGGAAUAGAGACAUUGGUGCAGAAGCCGCUUCUCAUGUCCUUGAGUUAGAGCCUGAAAGUUCAACUGGUUAUUUACUUGCCUCAAGUAUUUAUGCAGCAGGUGGGUUGUGGGUUGAUGCUGCAAGUACUAGAAGGUUGGUGAAAGAAAAAGGUGUGAAGGUUGUUGCUGGUUAUAGCUUAGUUAAUGUUGAUAACAAGGCCUGUAGAUUUAAUGCUGGGAAUCUUGAUUGCCAUUCACUAGCUGCCGGAGAGAUACACUCUAUGGUUGAGCUAUUGCAUUCUUGUAUGAAGACUGAAAAGAAGAAAGUCGGUAAUUUUGAUAUUAUUGAUUAGUUACUUGACAGGCCAUCUGAUAAGAAUAGAUUUAACCAGAAAGAUAAUAGAAUAUUGAGGAAAGAGAUAAGUAAUGCACUCCAAUUUCCAUUAGAAAGACAUAUAACUAGUAAACUGGUUGAAGUUGGCCCGGCCAUAACACUGGCCAGUUAUUCUGAGGUUUUGGCAUAUGCAGUGGAAGUCACUUCCUAUUCCAGCGUGCCAUGUCUUCUGCAUGUUUGCAGGUGAAUUUUUAUGUCCCAGAAGCGUUAAUUUGGAAUUUUGUUUUAAUGUAAAUUUACCUUUCUUUUUGUAUUCCUUGCUGUUCCGCUAGACUUAUUUCUCCAAGUUACUGUGUUUGUUGUGUUGAUAUGUUUUGACGUUUUGAGAGCUAACAAUUCCAGUGUUGAUUGUUUUCCAUGCAUAAAAGUUUCUUCACUUGGUCGAAACUAGUAAAUCUAUAUUUUCAUGCUACCAUGCAGUGAGUUGAGGUUGCUUUACAUUUAGUGUACUAUUGACUUUAGUUUGUCUUCUCUUUCAUGUCAUAUGGACUCUUCUCCUUUCUUACAAUAGUAAGUCUUAGUUCUGCCAGUUAUCAUGUCAGAUGUAGGAACCUAUGAUAGAAGAACUGGAUUGCUGGCCGGCUAUAUGAGGAUAACUUUUCUCGUUAGUAUAUGUUAUUUAUUUAUUUUUGGGUCACUCACAGGAUACAAGUCAUAUUUAUCCUACACUUGUGAGGGUUUUCACUAUUUGUUAAGUGAGACAAUUUUCUUUUUCCUUCUAUGUUUGGAGAUAUGGCGAUCAUAUUGUUUUUUUUUUUUUUAUAUUUUUUUAUAACAUAAAGAAAGUAAUCCUACAUCUUCUACUUUUGUUUCUUGAAGGAAGAGAAUCGGGGCAUUUUGUAGGAAGUGCAUGGAUGAAUGCAUCUUGAUUUUCUGGGUGGUUAAGAAGGUUGUCAUUGCUGUCAUUGUUGCUUAGCUUGGUAAGCUACUUACUGAUGCUUACAGCUCGUACUUAUUCAUUUAUAUAUCUUAGUUUCUUGAGUUCCUGACAUAAGUUUUUUACAUGGGUUGGUCCUUGUAGGCACAAUGUACUAGGAUUGAACUGGUUUGGACUUUGGACCAGUAGAUUGUCUUUUCCAGACUCGUACCUCCAGGUCUCCCACAGUUUUCUGCAAUCUUCUAACCAUAUACUCUUGAUUCUUGGCAGUUUAAUCAUUCAGAUCUUCUAUGUCUGAAGGCUUCAAUCUCAGGGUAUUAGGUUUGCACCACCAUAUUUGUUGUACAGGAUUACAACUACAGGUAUUGAUGCAGUCUUUAUUCUAAUUUGAUUUCAAAUGUUCAUAUCUGUGAUACAGUUUGGAUUAUUUUCCGUCAGUGACCAUGAGAAAAGAUAGGAUGCAAAGAAAUUGAAUAAUUACAUUGCAACUACGUGUGUUGGUGUCUAAAACAUGAAUUUUUCCUUCUCUCUCUCUCUAUAUAUAUAUAUAUUGUUAAUUAUAAAUUAAACAUAUCAAUCCUUAUACAUUCUAUUUCUAUCUUUUAGCUAAGCACUUAUUAGAUGGAUUCUGUCCAUUUGUAUGUCAGUGUGUGCUAAACCUGCAAGAUAAUUGACAUGAGUUUCUUCUAAAGAAAUUCCUGAUUAAGAUGACUUCAUUUCGAGGGAGUUCUGGUUUUUAAAACUGGGAAAUGGAGACUUGGAAGAUUUUAUGUAAUUGUAGUUCCCGGUCACUAGGGUUGAGCUUAAAGACAAUGGUCAUUGAAAUAUAUAUCAAUUUUGUCACAUAAUGGCCACCUCGACACGCUGUACUUUAAUGUCAGGGAGUUCCCCACUUUAUCCUGGUUUUUGCUAUUUCAGCCAUCUUUAAGAAUUGAGCAUGGACAGGAAGGAACAUGUCGGUCUUGGUAGGAAGAGCCGACUACAGGCUACUGGUUCAACUCCACUCGAACUUACAUUUUUCCUAUUAUGUUUUGCUAUUUCCCCUAUUAUCUUUUCAUUUUUCCUUCAGAAUCUUACUCCGCUCGAACUUGCAUGUUUCUUAUCUGGAUGUGAUUAUGGAAGAUUCAUAUACACUUGCAAUCUUUACUGUAUCUGAGAGUCUAGUUGUCAGGCCUAUAUCUCCUUGCUUUGUCAGUUCCAUGUUGAACGAAUUGGAAGUACAUUUCAUCUAGCGAAUCAACUCUCCCUUUCUAAAAUCCAAAGUGGAGUUAACAUAUAGAUGUAGGAUGAUCAGUUUGGGAAGCAAGUAUAAGAGGCUCCCAACUUUUCAAAGAUUGAAAAGAUAAUUUUGUGAAUGAAAAUAUAUCUGCAAAGUUGCCAAGCUUAUGCAUGUAGUAGUUUCAUUUCCUCAUCAGCAAGCACAUUAUGAGAAUAUAUAUGAAUAGAAAGAAAGGUUUCAGCAUCAAGUACAGUAUGAAGGACUGCCAUGGCACUACUUAUAGCUAGUCAUGGACAGCAGAAUUAUCAAGGGAUGCAACUAAUCAGGAUUUAUGUUUCUCCCGAUCCAAAAGGAUUUGUAUUCCUUAUGUGAAUGGAUUCGUAUUCUCAGUGGCAUCCUAAACUUGCCAAGAACGUAAGAUGUUCUUGAGGUUCUUUUUUAUUGUAUAUUUGUAUUUCAGUAUAUACUGAGCACUGCCGAUCAAUCGAAUCUGUAACGAGUUAUGUAAGACAAAAUGCUUUCGGUAGGUAGAAUAGUGAAGAAUAGUGAAAUUCACGCUCCUUUGGAGUUGCUUAUUAAACCAUACUAAUGCAUGACUGCAUAAGUGGGGAAACUGGAUCGCACAAAGUCGAAUUCUUACCAAACUUGAGUAGUUUCAAACAUUCAUCAUAAAAUCACAAAAGUGAAACCCAAAACCGUAAUACUCAUAGUAAAAUUAAACAAAAAGACUUACUUUCAUUAUCGAAUAAAAUUCAAACAGAAAAACUAUGAAAAAAAUGAGCUGAGCUAGGAAAACUGUGUACGAGAGUUAGCAGAUAGCGAGCUCCUCGAACACUAUAAGAAACGAACAACAAUCUCCAAACUCAUCACUCAUCAGAUCAACACAUUAAGAAAACUAUAUGAAAAGUAAUAAAAAAGAAAAAAGAAAAAAGAAAAAAGAAAAAAAGAAGAAGAAGAAAAAGACCAUGGUAGCCCAACAUAUGUGGCGGGAAAAUUACAGCCUCUUCCCNNNNNNNNNNNNNNNNNNNNCCCUACCUCUCUCUCUCUCUCUCUCUCCAACCAUGGCCUCCGACUCUUUCAACAACGGUAACUUCUCUCUCUAUUUCUCUUGAAUUGCUUGUUAACCCUAAUUUCCCCAAUUCGGUUUGUUUCUGAUUCUUCCCAAUUUCAAUUCCAACAGGCCCUUCGUCCCCGGAUGACUCCAUCUCCAGCCCAAUCGGCAACACCUUCUCUUCUCCCGCCGACGCAGCCGCCUCUCGCCAGAGACGCCGCCGCCGAUCCACCACCCCCACCGCCUUCGCAACCCCUCCGGCCUCCCGCUUCGCCGCCUCCGAAACAACCCCCACCCCAUCCCGCAGGCGCCGCACCAACGGCACCGCGCGUACUCCCCCCUCCACCGAUGACGCGCCGCCGUCCUCCGAAGCCGGCGACAGCUACGGCAUGGACGAGGACCGCCCCACCUUCGUCUGGGGCACCAAUAUCAGUGUUAAUGAUGUUAAGCUCGCCAUUAUUAGGUUUUUGAAGAACUUUCGGGACCAAUCGCAGAAUUCGGAGAGCGAGUAUCUUACUGAAGGGAAGUACAUUGAGGCCAUCAAGAGGAUUCUGGAAAUGGAAGGCGAUUCGCUCGAUGUGGAUGCUCGAAAUGUGUUUGAUUACGAUCCGGAUUUGUAUGCCAAGAUGGUUAGGUAUCCACUUGAGGUUCUUGCUAUUUUCGACAUUGUUUUGAUGGAAAUGUUGCCUGUCAUAAACCCCUUGUUUGAGAAGCACAUUCAGACUCGGAUUUUCAAUCUCAAAACGUCAACUUCCAUGAGAAAUCUGAACCCAUCUGGUUAGUUUUCUUGGCCUUUUUUUCGGUUUGUUGAUGAUCAUGUGUGAUGUGGAUUAUUGAGAAAUGGGCUGAUUGGACUAUCUAAUCUGUUUGUAGAUAUUGAGAGGAUGGUUUCGAUAAAAGGAAUGAUUAUUCGAUCUAGUUCAAUAAUACCCGAGAUAAGGGAAGCAAUAUUUAGAUGCCUAGUGUGUGGUUAUUACUCCGACCCUCUUCCUGUAGAAAAAGGUAGCCACUACUUCAGCUUGUGUUUGUUAGCUUAAUUUUGUCUGUAAAUUUAUCUAUAGUUUGCUGAAUGUUGAAUGCUGUCAGGGAAAAUAAAUGAACCUACUAGAUGCAUGAAGGAAGAGUGUCAAGCUAAAAAUUCUAUGACACUUGUCCACAAUCGUUGCAGGUACUUCAUGGCAUUAUGUUGGAACUUUUGAGGUCACACAGUUAAUAUAUGAGGGCGCUUUUAUGCUGUUUUAAUUGUUAGGUGAUCAGUAUAUGGCCAGAGAUGGUGCAUUUUAGCCCAUUUUGCUUUCUUUCAAACUUACGAAUUUUAUAUUUGUUUCGUACUUGCAUCCUAAACUUGUAGUGGGUAUCCUUUAGUGUAAUCUUUUGAUGUCUUUGUAUGAUUGUUGCUUGCUAGAAGCUGUCGGGCACAUAAACAGAAAUAAAUUAAUUUUUUGUUCAUCUUUAAAGUUAAAUUACAUUGGUUUGUCAUCUGUAACCUUUUUUCUUUUCUGGGGGCAUUCUGUCUGAUUGCAGUUUCGCUUAAAGCAUUGUUGCAUUUUAGUGGAAUAUAAAUCAGUAUAAAUCUGAGUGUUCAGAUACUACUAUGGAAAGAUGGGUACCAAAUAUAAUAAGAUUGCAAGUGCCAGUAAUUGCUUUUCUUCAGUUGAAGCAAAGUCCAAAUCCGUUUUCUUGGAAUUGUGACUAAAAAUGGGCGAAAUAUAUAAUCUACUGCUUUUUUUCUGAACUUGUUGGGAUGAACUUUGCUCAGGAAAACAGCUAAGAGUGAGAGGUUGAACAACUAAACUUUUAUCAGCUGAACUGAUUCAGCUAAUAAUUAAUUUGAAAAUGUGACGUCUGUAGUUUUGUGACCUGAGUUUUGUAAUGAGACUAUUUUAAUGGGUCCUAUAUUGUGAAUCAGGUUUACUGAUAAACAGAUUGUGAGGCUCCAGGAGAUGCCUGAUGAGAUCCCUGAAGGUGGUACACCACAUACUGUGAGUUUGCUGAUGCAUGACAAACUGGUUGAUGCUGGAAAACCAGGUGACAGAGUUGAGGUAAGGCCACUAUGGCAUAUGAAAAUGUCUUGUCAAUCCUAAGAAAGAUGAAGAUAUAUUUUGUUUAUCUGGUCAAUUUGUUUGUUUCCAAUAGGUCACUGGAAUAUAUCGGGCUAUGAGCGUAAGAGUUGGACCAACGCAGAGAACUGUAAAAUCAUUAUUCAAGGCAUGCUUCUGUCAUUUUGUCUGUUGACAGGUCCUUUUCUCUUUGUCAUUGAGGUGGCUGUCUAUAGUGCAUACAUUGAUCUUUUUCUUUUGAUUGCAGACUUACAUCGAUUGUCUGCAUAUAAAAAAGUCUGACAAGUCAAGAAUGCUGGCGGAGGAGCAGACGGAAGUUGAGAAUUCCUUGGUUGGAGAUUCAGAAGAGAUUAUUUUUGAUGAAAAGAAGGUAGAUCAAUUUAUACUAUCUUUUCACUUGUACUUGCAUCAGGCUUUGUUUGUAUGCUCUCCACUUAUCAGCUCCCAUUGUUUUAAUUGCAGGUGGAACAAUUGAAAGAGCUGGCGAAACAGCCUGAUAUAUAUGAUCGCCUAACCAGAUCUUUGGCACCAAAUAUCUGGGAGUUAGACGAUGUCAAAAAAGGCCUUCUUUGCCAGGUGCAUUUUAUGUUACACUUACCGAUUCUCUCAGUACUUGGUUAAAUAAUAGCAAUUAUCAAUUAGUUCGUUUCAUUAUUUUCCGAACUGACGCUCAUAUCCAUUGUCCUAAAUGCAGCUUUUUGGUGGGAAUGCUUUGAAGUUGCCAUCUGGUGCUAGGUUCCGUGGGGAUAUUAAUAUUCUUCUUGUUGGUGAUCCUGGAACCAGCAAGUCCCAGCUGCUCCAGUACAUACACAAGCUUGCUCCCCGUGGCAUAUACACUAGUGGAAGAGGGAGUUCUGCUGUUGGUUUGACUGCUUAUGUUGCGAAGGAUCCUGAAACAGGGGAAACCGUAAGAUAUAUCUUGUUUUUUUUUCAAACGUUUAUCUUAGGCAUUUCGUAAUAACAAUAUGAAGUUGACUGGAAACAAUAUACAACUUCUCAGGUUUUAGAGAGUGGAGCCUUAGUUUUGAGUGAUAGAGGCAUUUGUUGCAUUGAUGAAUUUGACAAAAUGUCUGACAGCGCAAGGAGCAUGUUACACGAGGUUGGUUGUUCUGUUAUUAUUAUUAUAAAUAUAUGGCAGACAUGUACAUUUCUUGACAUGCUAUGACAGUUUGUCCUUUUGUAACUGUAACUUUCUUUCACCUCUUGGAAAUUCUAUAUUCUCUAGCUAUAGCACAAUUGCUUAUCUUUAACUAUUACUAUGUCCAGUAAGAUUACUAUGCUUUUGUAUUAUCUAUAAAUCAAGACUUUCGGGAAACUGCAUUCUAGUAUACCCAUUGAUCAAUCUAUUUCUAGUAUAAACCAAGACUGUUGAGAAAUUAUUAACCAUUUUGAUGGAUCUGUUUUUAAUUAUGCUUAUUUUCACAGGUGAUGGAACAGCAAACUGUGUCAAUAGCAAAGGCUGGAAUCAUUGCUUCCCUUAAUGCUAGGACAUCAGUCCUGGCUUGUGCGAAUCCAAGUGGAUCUCGCUAUAAUCCUCGCUUGUCAGUAAUUGACAACAUUCACCUUCCUCCUACCUUAUUAUCUAGGUAUGAAAUACUUAUCCUAUCCCACUAGAAUGACCAUAGUUUGAGCCAAUAAUGACAAUAAAAGGGCCUAAACUUGGAAUGGACUAUGUAUUUGGCGACUGUUCAUCUAAUUUAAGGAGUUGGUGUAAUAAUUUUGUAUUUCAUUGAAUACUUUUCUGAGGAUUCGUCUAUACAUUAAUAACAUCACCCAUUUUUGUUAUUAACACACCCCAUCUAUGAUGAGAGCCAAUCAUGAAACAAAUUUAAGUGGUAUACUUGUAAAUAAAAUUGAAAUGUGUGGAUAGGAAAAUAGAUGGGGUGUGUUAAUAACAAAAAAGGGUACAUCAGUUAGACUUGCUAGAUAUGUAUAGAGGUAGACUAACUCGAGAUCAAGCCAAACUGGUGGUACUACAUGACAUCAGUCUACCUCUGUAUCAAACCUGUCUACUUGAUGUACCUUUUCAUAAAUGUAGUGUAGAACAUUCCAUUUUCUGAUUUUCUCUUUUUGUUUUUUGGUGUAAUGGGAUUGUCAAAUUUGAGUAUUACAAAGCCAUUGAUAAUAUAGUAGAGUUUAUUACUGACUUGAGCUGGUCUGGUGAUUUUCUCAGGUUCGAUCUGAUCUACUUAAUCCUUGACAAGGCUGAUGAGCAGACAGACAGGCGCCUUGCAAAGCAUAUUGUUGCUUUGCACUUUGAGAAUCCUGAGGUCUGGUGGAUAUGGUUUUUCUGUUCAAGCAAACUGAUAUGACUAAUCCUUUGUUUUACUUAAAUUGCCAUGUCUCCACUUGCAGACUGUACAGCAGGAUGUUUUAGACCUUCCCACGUUGACUGCUUAUGUUGGAUACGCUCGAAAGCAUAUUCACCCACAAUUAUCUGAUGAAGCUGCAGAGGAAUUGACUCGUGGCUAUGUAGAGUUGAGGAGGAGAGGAAAUUUUCCAGGCAGCAGCAAGAAGGUAGAAUGACACAGCAUCUUCCUACAUAUCUCUUCCUGUGAUACUUAUAUUGCAAUAGUAUUAAAACAAUUUUACUGCCUUGUACAUAGGUCACAGAUACCAGUUUUUUAUAGUACUAGAUUUUUCUUCAAUGGUAACAAAUGGCAGUUAAUAGAUAUAAGUUAAUUGUUCCCUCCACAUAGAAAAAAAAAAAUCCUCUCUUUUAUCGUGCUUAUCUUAUUUGGGAUGCCUAUAUAUCAUAUUCAUUUGUGUAAUAACUGUAACAGGUGAUAACUGCAACACCUAGGCAAAUUGAGAGUUUGAUACGUCUUAGUGAAGCUCUAGCUCGGAUUCGGUUUUCAGAAACGGUUAGCAAAGUUUGCAUUCUACCUUGAUGUUUUACACUAAGAUAAACUAAACUAAACCAUGCCCUAAUAUAUGCAGGUUGAGAAGCAUGAUGUAAUGGAGGCAUUUCGGCUUCUAGAAGUUGCAAUGCAACAAUCAGCAACAGAUCACUCCACGGGUACAAGUUUACUGCAGUUGUACAUGUUUUUUCUAUUUCUACCUCCCAUGAAGAGAAACAGUUUAAUGUCAUGAUUUUUUUACUCUAGGAACAAUUGACAUGGAUCUUAUUAAUACUGGAAUUUCGGCAAGUGAAAGAAUGAGACGGGAAAAUCUAGUGUCAUCAGCCCGCAACAUAAUUAUGGAGAAGAUGCAACUUGGGGGACCCUCAAUGCGUUUGUUAGAGGUAUGAUUUCUGAUAAGAUGUGUAUAGAAUCAAAAUCCAAAUGUCUAAAAGACCUAAAACUGACAUCUCAUUGUUCUUAAUUGAUUUUCUGUAGCUGCUGGAGGAGCUGAAGAAGCAGAGUUCUAGCAGCGAAAUUCACCUCAACGAUGUUAGUACAUUCGUCUCUCACCCUCUCUCUAUCGCAUACGCAAUAGUCUCACACUAAUGUGCUUUUAUUGGUAUUUCAGCUUAGGAAUGCACUGGCUACACUUGCAAGUGAGGGAUUUGUGGCUGUUCAGGGCGACAGUGUCAAAAGAGUGUGAUAGGAGGACCAAGAAACGUAUUGGUUGACAUUUGACAUUGCUUUUUAAUUUGUAACAAGAGGCUACUCAAGAUUUUAGUCGAAUGUUCAGUGCUUUUGCUGGUUGAUCAAAUGUAUGUAAAAUUAUUUUCAUGUAGUUGGCAUUAAGGAGUGGAAUGCCAUCAAGUAGCAAGUCGUUAAAGGUAUUGAAGUCUAAAAAUUUGGAAUUUGCAGAAAGUAUUGAUCUUAAUCUGUAAGAGUGCUGAAGUGCUUGGAUCCUCUAUUUCUCAUAUCAGUUUAAAGCAACUAGGUUUCUCAUUUCAGCAACUCAGGGUUCACCUUGUGGCCGGAUCUCAUACUUGUGCAGCCUUAAUUUUCUUCAAGUGCUGCGAGAAAGAAAGAAGUACUAUGCUGGAAGAGAAUACAGAAACUCAAAUUGAAGGCUGGGCACCAUCUUGAAAUAAGCGUAGUCCUCAAAAUUUUAGCCAACCUCGUUAUAACUCUUCACUUUAUAUUUCUCAUUGGACCCGAGUGCAGUAUUUGGCCACCUUUACAACAAUCAAAUUCAUCUCAUAGCAGUCAUGUUGUUUAGAUCUGCACAACAUGAUCCAAAUACUUACGGGUUCAUUUGAUCUGCUUAAUAAUCGUAUAUGCAACAGCUCACUGUUGGCAAGUAAUCCGUCUCGGCAAAACGAUUUUUUUUUUUUGUAUUAGGAGUAAGAUUCUCAUUUACGGACCCCUUGUUGGCCUUUAUGCUAAUUAGGUUUAUGAUACUUUUAUUUAUAACUAGAAUUAUGACCCGCGUUUUGUUGCGGGAUUUGUAAGAUUUGUGUUCAUAAUUUUUCUUCUUUUCUUCUCAUUUAUAAUGUAUCAAAAUGCAAGAUCUAUAUAGAUUGAAUUUGAAAUACUUAACAACAAAACACUUAUUAUUGUAGUAAGAGUAUAUCUUACUAUCAUAUGCAGAGGGAGAGAAUUCGUCUUGUGUUCGUUCGUCGUCCUCUUCUCCUUUCUCCUCCUUUGUCUCUCUCUCUCUCUCCUCGAUCAUGGUCGAAAUUUAUGGAAACCCAAAACAACGCAGGAGACUGUUAAUCAAAACCAAGCAGAUCAGUGAGAUCACCCAGAGAAAGCAAAUUCAACAAACUGUAACCAUUCGCUAGGCUUUGCUCUAUCGCCGCAGCAAAUCCCUAAUCCCUCUGUAUUUGAUCAAGGAAGAGAAGUGAUAUUUCUUCUUUUUCGGAGGUCGAUCUCUCUAUUCCUAUGUAUAGAUCUCUCUCUCUCUUCCCAAUUUCUUAUGUUCUUUCUCCUCGAUUCUUUCUUUCACUUUUUUAUCGGAGACAGAACAGAGCAAAUUUCAGAUGGUCCUUUCUAGAUAGUGUGCGAACUGCGAAACCCAAUCAUAUUUUUUUUUUCCUAGUUUACGAGAGAGACAGAAAAGAAAAAAGAAAAAAAAAAAAAAAAACUGGCCCGAGUUCAACAUUGUUUUUACUGUAGACAAACAAUGUUUAUAAACAGUACUCAAUCAAUAGAUAUAUAGUAAACUAGUCAAUCACCCGCGCGUUGCUGCGGGCUAGGAAAUUUUUGACAAUCACUGUGAUUCGGCUCAGUCUAUUUCAAGGUAAUCUAAACGGACAAAGUGAAAGAGAUAUCAUAUCAUUCCUUGUGGUGUAAAUCUUAUUAUAAUUUUUCAACAUACAGGUGAUGUAGAAAGAUGCAAUAAUGUACUUAUUUUACUCUAAACCAGAACUCGUAAUCACAUCUCAAACAUAAUGAAAAUCCAUUCAUUAUAUUACUUAGGAAAACAAAAGUGAGGCAAUGAUUGCUGCGAAUAGGAUUUGUACAUCUUUAGUGUUCCACCUGUUUCACUUCCACUUGAACUGCGACUUAACUCAGGAAAAAGUUAUUGUAUUAUCAAAUGAUCAACCAUCUUCAUUUCUGGAAAACCUGUCAUCUAACCAACAUAAUAUGAUUAAAGCCUGAAAUAUCGAAUUGCCAUACAAUCCAAAAUGUGCAUGCAGAUCAAAGUAUAUAUACCAAGAUAGAUUAAUUUCAUAGCUGCUAGAUAUUUAUUAAGUGUGAUCGAUCAUGCUUAUCAAAACCAGGGAAGACAUUGCUUUCGCAUUAGUUCAUGGUAUAUAGUAAAAUUUCAGAAGGUACAUAACACCUUUCAAUUUCACAAUAUGUUUUCUAUAUCAGAAAUUCACCUCUUGAAAUGCUAGUAGUAUGAAUUAUCCAUGUUAAAAUGAACAUAUCUACAGUUCAUGACAUGAAUCCCACUCUUAUCAUUGCUACCAUCAAAACCAAAAUUAGGGGAUUAGGCACAGAGCCAAAAAGGUUCAAAUUUGUACUUUCUUGAUGAGUCUUUUUACCACUUCCAUCAUAACUUACUAUCUUUCUACUCUUAAAAGUACGCCUUCAAGUCCAUUGGUAUACACCCGACUCUCCCCUGUGAUGAGAACACAACUUCUUGUAGUCUGAAAUAGUUAUCACCCCUCAAUCAGCACCCGCUUCUUUCAUUCCAAUUUUCUUCAACUAACUUAAGGAAAAUAGAACAAUAUUUGUUUCUACCAUUUGUCUAACUCAAUUUGUAAUCCUAAUAAACUAUCAGAAAAUAAACAAAGUCUGUAUCAACUACUCCUCUUUUUUGUCCCCUGACCAUGCACCAUCCAAAAUCUAAAAAGGUACACAAUUAUGUCAGAUAGUAUCAUAUACAAUCAUGCUCAUAAUAGAUCUAAAUCUUUAACAUAAAUAUUUGAAAUGAUAAAUUUUCUAUGUAAAUAUCUCUAGGAUGAUGCAGAAGCGGCUAUUGAUCAAUACCCAUGAUUAAAACAUCAACUAUAAUAUAGGAAGUGCAUAAGGUUCAAAUGGAAAAUUAAAAAAGGAGGGAAAAAAAAACCGAGACAUUAAAUAAGGACAUAUACUAAAACAAAAACAGAUCUAAUAAAGACACAUGCAGAACUAAAACAGGAUAUCCUAUUUCGUCAAAUUUAUUAUACAUGAAGUUAGGUUUAUGCCAAAAGUUCCUUUUUAUAGUAUUGUUUAACUAUAUACAUGUUUCGGUAUGAUCGUUUAUCUUCUGUUACCCAUUCAUGUCUUCUUAAGUUUUGGAAAAAUCUUCUUCUUGAGGAUGUAGCUGCAAAAUACAACAUGCUUCAAAAGUCAGUGGUAACAUAUGUUAAGCUUGGUAACAAAGAACACCACAUCUGCUAUUAGUAAGAAGAUGCACGUCAUUUUAUUAACCUUUUAAUUAAUGACAAGCCAAAAAAUUUAAAUCAUAUAUCUACAUCAUUCAAUCACUCUCUCAAUGCUUUUAAAUAGUAUGGCUAGCAAAGACAGUUGUAACGUGCAAGGAUAUAGCUACCUCAAAUCUCAGAAAAACCUUUCCAACUCAAUAAUACAAUACAUAUGGUUCUGCAAUAAGUUACACAUUGUUUCUUUUUCUUCUUCUUUUCCUUUUUUUUUUUUUUUGCUUAGUUUUACUACUACUGACUUUUCAUGAACAAUACUUCUCUGGGUAAAUAAAUUAGAAUCACACAAUGUAAAAACUACAACCACAAUCAAGACUUCACAAACAAUUUCAAUAUAGUAAAUAUAUUCAUAAACAAUUUUUAUGCUUAUUCAAAUUUCUUGGAAGUAUAUAAUAACACACAAAUUUGAAACCUCUCAUCAGACCCAGAACUUUAACAACAAUUAGAACGAAAAAAUAAAUAAAUAAAUAACGCCGGCUAAGAUGCGCCGGCUAAUCUCCGAGUCCAUCUGCAGAUUCAACUCCUCAUCUAAGUCUCCUAUAAGCCCACCGGAGCCCCAGCCGAAAUCUAUGGCAGAGGAGGAAGCCGUGGAAUGGGCAGAAUAAGAAGAAGGGGGAGAAGAAGAAAGCGGUGAAGAUAAAGCAACAUCCCUGCUAUGCUUCUAUCCUUAUUUCUCUGAUCUGAGAUGACAGAAUCAAAAACAAUUUCAGAGAAGAGGAAGCUUACCAGAUUCGGAAUCACAGAAUAUUUGGUAGGUAUCCCUCUAAGCGACGACCCCCUAUCUGAAGCUUACCUCGAGUCUAAAUCUCUGUUAGGAUCAUUCCCUUUACCUAUUGCUCUCCUAGCCCAGUAUCCCUAAUGCCCAGCUCCUCAGCCCAACAACAAGCUCUGUGCACAACUAGUACAUCCAGCUUCACGCCUCUGCGACUCUUGAACUCACUCCCUGCAUUUCCAGUUUGCUAUCUUGUCUCUUUAGACAAGUUCCAAUCUUGUUUGCAUUCAGUUAGUGGUGGUCCUGAGCCACAACGGUCUAUUUUGAAUUGUAACCAAACUCUUAUAUGUUGCUGCCUUCCUUGGAGAAGAUUAUCAGAAAAGGAAAUGCAAUUGCUUUAGUUUAUAUGUCUUUCCCCUUUUUCCUCCUGUUAUAGUCCAUUAUCUGGUAUCAGAGACCAGCUCCGAUGCGUGGCAACCAAGUCCGGCAACCUUCGCCGGCAAUCACUGGUGGUGUUGUGCCUCCCCUUCCCACCUGCUCCGCUACCUUCUCUGGGCUUAUCUUCCCAACCAAUUCCCUCCUCAUCUCACACAACCAUUUCCCCACAGCCACCUACCCACUCCCCUGCUCAACUUACUUUUGGGUCAUUACCACCAAUUCCCCACACUCCUGCUCCACCUCUUCAAACCAACAACACACAUCAAGCUAUUUACAACCCACCCCCUCACCCCUCUUCGCCUUCAUACACCUCCCCACAUCCCACACCUCCUCCCCAGCAGCACGGUUACAUUCCACCUCCACCCACCCCUCCUCCCAACAAUUUUCAACAACCGCCACACCCCCAAUACCCAGAGCCACACCAUUAUUGCCCACCUAGAGUCGACUUACCACGAUUUAGAUGAGCUCUUACGAGCUUCGUCACCCCUUAGUGACAUGGGACGAGUUCGCUUCAGCCCUCCUUUCUCGCUUUGACGGUGGCUCCGCAGUCAACUUCAAGGGUGCACUCUCUCACCUCCAACAGACAACCUCGGUGGACGACUUCAUUCUCUCUUUCACCAAGCUUUCUUGUAGAGCACUAGACUGGCCAGACAGUGAACUCCUUCACAUGUUCAUUGGCGAGUUACGACCCGAAUUACAAAAUGAUGUCUAUGUUAUGCAACCACACACCCUAGAAGAGGCCCAACGCUUGGCACGGCUCUUCGAAAACCGAAACUCACAGCUGCGCAUUCCCACAUCUUUUCGGCCACGCCCACCUACCCCUUAUUCCUAUCACCGUCCCCCGUCCUCCACCCCCACCCCCUAUACCUCUCCCCAAAACCGGCCACCACCCCCCACAACCCAACCUCCACGACCACCAUAUCUCGGUCACAACCCUCCCUCACAACACCACAAAUCACCCCACUUCCGUCAACUCUCCCCAGCUGAGCAGCGAGAACGGAGAGCAAAGAACUUGUGCUUCAAUUGUGAUGAGCAAUACUCGGACACCCAUGUGUGCAAGCGGCCUUUCAUGGCCAUUCUUGAUUGCAUCGAAGUCUCGGAGGACGGCGCUGUCGAAGAAACUGAACCACCCCACCCCGACGAUGCGGCCAUGACCACCUCUGAUGAAACCAUCUAUCCCUUGCACGCCAUCACCAAUACAAAACUCAGUGAGAUGAUGCGCUUACGCGGCUCCAUUGGCGACGUACCUAUCGAUAUAUUCAUCGAUUGUGGGGCAGCGAUGAACUUCCUUCAUCCAGAAGUAAUCGCCAAGUUGGGUACGCCUAUUUCGCCAGCAGGACCUCUACGGUUCACAGCUGCUUCCGGCCACCUCCUCACUCCCUCCGGCAUUACCGAGAACCUUACAGUCCACGCCCAAGACUACAGCUUUACAGAUUCCUUCCUUCUCCUUCCUGUUGCCGGCUGUGACCUUGUCUUGGGAGCUCAGUGGCUUGAAACAUUGGGACUCAUUGGAUGGCAUUUCAGGGAUAAGAUCAUGGUGUUCAUGGUUGAUGGGCAACGUCAUGUGUUGCGCGGCACCGUUGCCGACCCCAAUUCUGAGAUUGAUGCCUCCGUUAUCUUCGACCUCAUUCCCGGCGAACAGUUUGAACACCACCCUCCUCUCAUGCCCAUCCUAGAUCACCACCCCCCCUACCCACAGACCCGAGAUUGAAUCCCUUUUACUCCAGUUUGGACCUCUAUUUGACACUCCUUUGGGCCUUCCCCCUCACCGAUCCAUUGACCACCGAAUUCCUCUCAUUCCCAAUUGUGGACCGAUCAAUGUUCGGCCCUAUACUUAUGCUCACUCCCAAAAAUCUAAACUUGAGACUCAAUUUGCAUCCAUGCUCGCACAAGGCAUCAUUCGCCCUAGUUCUAGCCCAUUCUCCUCCUCGGUGUUGCUUGUUCGCAAGAAGGAUGAUACUUGGCGCUUUUGUGUGGAUUAUCGUGAGCUAAACGCGGUCACGGUAAAGGACCGUUUUUCGAUUCCCGUGGCCGAUGAGUUAUUUGCCGAGCUACAUGGGUCCUCCAUCUACUCCAAGCUCGACCUCCGGUCCGGUUACCAUCAAAUUCGGAUGCAUGAGGCCGACAUCCACAAGACCGCUUUUCGGACUCACGAUAGACAUUACGAGUUUGAAGUAAUGCCUUUUGGUCUUUCGAAUGCGCCCGCCACCUUUCAAGCACUCAUGAAUGAGUUAUUUCGUCAACUCUUCCGUAAAGGUGUGCUCGUUUUUUUAUGAUAUAUUGGUAUAUAGCAAGGAUUUUGAGUCCCAUUUGUUACUUUUGGAGGCCGUUUUGCACAUCUUGCACUCUAAUCAAUUGUUUGUCAAGUUAUCAAAGUGUGAUUUUGCUCAAUCAAGUGUGCACUAUCUAGGACACAUAGUAUCAGCCCAGGGAGUCUCCAUGGACCCAGAAAAAGUCAGUUGCAUCCUUCAAUGGCCUAAGCCCAAGACUGUGAAAGCUUUGAGAGGGUUUCUCGGGUUGGCUGGGUACUACCGCCGUUUUGUACGCCAUUUCAGUAUCAUCUCCAAGCCAUUAACAGACAUGCUGAAAACUAAUGGUUUAUCUUGGUCUCCGGUGUCUGAUAAAGCCUUCUCCGAUUUGAAGAUUGCCAUCACCUCUGCGCCAGUCUUGGUCUUACCCAAUUUCGACAAGGAAUUCUAUAUCGAAACCGAUGCCAGUGGCCAAGGUAUCGGCGCGGUCUUGACUCAGGAGAAGCACCCAAUUGAGUUCCUCAGUAAGUCUCUUUCUCCCCGGAAUCAACUCCUUUCUACUUACGAGAAAGAGAUGUUGGCGGUGUUACAAGCUACCUCGAAAUGGCGACAGUACUUGUUGGGUCACCAUUUCACCAUCAUCACCGACCAUCAACCGCUGCUUCACAUGUUCCAGCAACGAGUGAGCACUCCGGCGCAGUUGAAAUGGGUCUCCAAGCUCUUGGGUUUUGAUUACUCGGUCCAGUACCGUGCCGGCAAGUUGAAUACGGUUCCGGAUACCUUAUCCAGGCAGCAUGAAUUCCUCUCCAUUCAGGGAAUUUCGGCUCCGGUCUUUGAUUGCCUUUCGGCUAUAGACCGCGCCUGUCGCGCCGAUCCCCCAACCAAUGCCAUCCUCACAGCCUUGGCAGCCGGUCAAUCAGUUCCAAAACGCUUCUCUCUCCGCGAUGGCAGACUAAUGUAUAAGGAUCGUGUCUUUGUUCCUCCGACAUCAGACUGGCUUGAGAAGAUUCUCUUUGAGUUUCAUUCCACACUUAUUGCUGGUCAUUCGGGUUUUCUUCGGACUUUCAAGCGGCUCACACACAAUUUUGCUUGGCCUGGAGUACGCAACGAUGUCAAGAGGUAUGUUGCUAGUUGUGAUACUUGUCAGCGUGUGAACCAAGAAACUCAGUCUCCUUCUGGACUUCUGCAACCACUGCCUAUUCCUACUGCAAUUUGGACUGAUAUUGCUAUGGAUUUUGUUGAUGGGCUGCCUCCCUCCGAGGGCAAGACCUCUAUCCUUGUUGUGGUUGAUCGAUUGUCUAAGUAUGGUCAUUUUGUGCCAGUGUCCCACCCUUAUACAGCAGCUGAAAUAGCAGAGGUAUUCACCAAGGAAAUCUUUCGCCUUCAUGGCAUGCCUCGUACUAUUGUCAGUGACAGAGACCGUGUGUUCAUCUCCAAUUUUUGGGAAAGCUUCUUCAAGCUUCAGGGCACCAAACUAUGUCGCAGCUCCGCAUACCAUCCCCAAACUGAUGGUCAAUCCGAGGUCUUGAAUCGAACCUUGGAGCACUUUCUGUGUUGCUUCAUCAGCGACAAGCCAUCGACUUGGGUCAAUCUCCUCCAUUGGGCCGAAUGGUGGUACAACUCCACCUUUCACUCCGCCAUUCAAAUGUCUCCAUUUCAGGCUGUGUACGGCCGCCCUCCUCCCACAGUUCAGCAGUACAUACCUGGUACUACUUCCAACAAUGCGGUUGAUGUUGCGUUGCAGAAUCGCGACACUCUCUUGAGCCACCUCAAGGAUCAUCUGGCCAUCGCUCAAAACCAUAUGAAGCAACAAGCUGACAAGCACCGGACUGAGCGUAGCUUUGAGGUGCAUGAUUGGGUUUUCCUUAAACUUCAUCCUUAUCGGCAGCAAUCAUUGGUACGCAGACCUUCCCAAAAGCUCGCUCCCCGUUUUUACGGUCCAUUCCAAGUUGAGGCCAAGAUAGGCAAAGUGGCCUACAAGCUGAUCCUUCCUGCCAGUUGCAAGCUCCAUCCCAUCUUCCAUGUCUCGUUACUCAAGAAGCGAGUCGGCAGCGGCACUCCUGUGGCCACAACUCUGCCUCAUUUUGACGCACAAGGACUCAUUGAUUGGCAACCAGACCGGGUCCUUGACAUGGCAGUGGUUACCAAGCGCAAGAGAGCAGUCACGAAAUGGCUGGUGGCUUGGAAAGGUUUACCUCUGGAAGAUGCUACAUGGGAAGAGGCGUACUCCAUGGUGCGCAAGUUCCCAGACUUUCAAGCUUGAGGACAAGCUUGUUCUCAUGGGGGGAGGACUUGUUAGGAUCAUUCCCUUUACCUACUGCUCUCCUAGCCCAGUAUCCCUAAUGCCCAGCUCCUCAGCCCAACAACAAGCUCUGUGCACAAUUAGUACAUCCAGCUUCACGCCUCUGCGACUCUUGAACUCACUCCCUGCAUUUCCAGUUUGCUAUCUUGUCUCUUUAGACAAGUUCCAAUCUUGUUUGCAUUCAGUUAGUGGUGGUCCUGAGCCACAACGGUCUAUUUUGAAUUGUAACCAAACUCUUAUAUGUUGCUGCCUUCCUUGGAGAAGAUUAUCAGAAAAGGAAAUGCAAUUGCUUUAGUUUAUCUGUCUUUCCCCUUUUUCCUCCUGUUAUAGUCUAUUAAUCUCACAAAGAUCUGAAAUUGCUUUUUAGUGUAAUUGGAAUCCAGAAAGAGCACAAAGAGAGAAGGAAGAAGGAAGCGAUACUGAGAGAACGACUCUCUCUCCCCUGUUUACUCUCAACCGACAAAAAAAAAGAAAAAAAGCCCAACAUAGAGGCACAAAGCUCUUACAACUCAGGGUGGCAUCACUGUUUUUUACUGUAGAUGAACAGUAAAAUAAACAGCACUCAACAAAUAGAUAUAUAAUAAACUAGAAAUUAUACCUGUGCGUUGCUACGGGAUUUAUUGGCAAUAAACUUUGUAUUCUCAUGCGUUGCUACGGGAUUUAUUGGCAAUAAACUUUGUAAUUUGUAUUCUAUAUAUGGGAGUAAGUGGAAUUUUACGUAUACUGAAUAUUCCAUUCUAAGAAAUAAAAAGGCCAGAACAGUGGUAUCAUGUUUAGUUCAUCGCUUGAAGAAAUAGAUGAAUUAUAAUUGAUGUCAACCGUCAACCAUAACUGAAUUAGGAAAAAUCACACUUUUUCACACUAAACUUGUGCAAAUUUUGAGUUGCUUUGGAGAGCCCCAAGCUGCUUAUCAACGUGGAAUCUUCUUAUCAACUUGAAGAUCUCAAUUAUCUGCAAGAGCAAGACAAAAUGCUGAAUCAGUAUGGUGCUUUACUCUAUACAUGUAUCCAAAAUAGUUACUUUCAGAGUGAUACUACCAUAUUAGUUAAGUUUAACUAAUCUAUACAUUUAUAUAUACAUAAUGCAAGCCUAGUUAAUCUGUAUAUGUUAACCUGUAUUGAAAAGUAUACUUUAUAGUUUAUAGUUUAUAGCAAUAUGCAAGUCAAAUGGCAAUUGCUCAUUUCUUUACUUCUCUGUGCCCCUUUUAAACAUAGUACUCACCUGUUUUCAUGUAACCACAUCUUCACACCGAUUACAAUCAAUAAAUCAUACCAUAACCUUCAACCUCAUUGGUUUUGGGAUCUUUCUGUUUGCAUAUGAAAAAUUCAGACAAUACAUGAGCCCUCAAAUAACAACUUACAUCAACCACAAACAAUAGCACACAAUAAACAUGACACAUUCCGAAUUCUUCAGACCAUAAAAUGUGCUCAACGUUGCCUUUUGUCUCUAAUCUAACUCGCUAAGCAAUUAAACAGAGCAAACUAUUAUUCUAUUGAAAAUUUACCUAUUAACCACAAAGAAACCAAACACAGCAAUUAGAGCAUCACCAACUACAACCCUACAUAUCCCAAAUAACCACGAAAUCAAAUCAUGCAAAUAUAGUUUCAAUAGAAAUAUAGCAACAAUAUAGUUUCAGAUGAAGUUGUUCUUAUCGAUCCAGUUCCAGCUUCGGUCCCAAAUGAAGUUGUUCUUCAUUUUAAUAGAAAUUAUAUAGUUUCUACAUUAUAAACAAAUUAAGAAGAAAAACAACAGAAAUUUUCCCGAAACCCCCCAUUGCAGCACACAAUACAACUAAUCCAUACAGAUUAUGAAUCUCAUCAACAACUGAGUUUAAUUUUGGCUACAAAUUCCAAACUACUAUAACGGCAAGGAACACAAUUUUGGAUGGCUUUUAUCAUUUUGUAAAUUAAAACUAAUCCGGAUAUGAAACAUGGAAAUACAAUUCAAUAGGCAUUAUCUAUCUGUAAAAAUUUCCCAAACUGCAGUCCUCCUCAACCUUAACAAAGAACUUUAUAACACUGUAACUGCAUGUAAGGCAGAAAAGUCAGUUUGUUCCUUUGGCUUUCUGUUAUUAUUUUUUUCAAAAAAAAAAUAUAGCAGACUACAUGCUACAUAGAAUUCAAAAAAAUAGUUUAAUAGUCAGCCGUUCUUUUUUUUUCUCAUUAAUAUAAUAUAUUAAUAUUAGAGCAUGAUAGUUGUAAAUAGGCGUACAUUUAAAUUAUGGAUGAGCAUAUUCAGGAAAAAAAGAGAACACAAAUGACAUGAUGAAUAUUCAAACAUCAUCAAUUUGCAUAUUCAUACAUGAUACAUGAUUAUCAAUGUUUCUCUAUGGUCUAAAACUGAGCAGUCUAAGUUGUUGCAACUUAUUUGCAGCAGCAUUUUAAUCUAAUGUUGGCAUUUCUCCAAUAGUCCAAUAUGUGUAGAGAAGGAAAAGACAUGUCAGGAUUGUCUAAAACAUGCAACACAAUCUAUUGGUGGUGAACUUGGUUUGGUUUGCAUAUAACAUGUGGGAUUAAUCAUAUAAUGGAAUAUGUUUAUUAAGCAACAAUUUAAACCUUUUCAAAACACAUUGAUGUGGGAUGAUAUAGAACUUAUAUUAAGCAAUAAAAUGUUCAGUAGUUGUUACCGUGGACUGCCUGCCCUAUUGCAGGCAGAUCAGUACACCGUUGUUUUUCCUUUUGUUUCAGUUGUCAUAAACAGCUUGGGCAAGCUUUAAAGAAACAUCCACCAAGUGAUGAAAAUCUACAAAUAGAAGCAUUACAAUAGACCAUCUAUUCCUGCAAUAUAUAUAUGUAUUAGUAAGAACACUGAAAAAUUUGGUUGAAUGCAGUAGUUAAGUAAUUAUAUCAUGCCAAAAGCAGCAACCAUUAAAUACCUUGCUGAAUAACAAUGCAAAACCUUCAUGUGAAAGUUUGCCGACUUCACAAAUGUUGCUCCAGCCUUGUCCCUUGAAAUGUCAUAUCACAAAGAUUAGAAAGCAAUCAAAAUAGCAUUAUACCAAUUGCCCAAUUGUUCAAUUGCUCAUUAUCCCCUGAAAUGAGCACUACUUUCUUUUAUCUCAUUAAAAGAAACUCAAUUGCUCAAGAAGCUCAACAAUAUACUGUAUUUCCCUAUAUGAACUAUAGAAAGCCAUUUACUUCAUAAUCAGACCCUAAAUGAACUCUAUCGAUUAGGACCAACAAUCAUUCAAUUGAAGACAUUUACUUCAUAAUCAGACCCUAAAAGCCCAAUUAAAUUGGAGACUACGACAAAAUAUCAUUAUCAAAAUAUGCACGAUCAAAUUCUUGCAAAAAUUGGGUGUCCUCGAGAACAAAUCGAUGGAAACCGAGAUAAACUAAAAAGGGCAAGCACAUGGAGAAAGAAGCAACCUACAGAUCGAAACCUUGAUAAGAAUCAAACCCAGAUCGAAUAGCAAACCUUAAACUCAGAUUACCUAGAAAUACCUGUUCUAAUCUGAGGACGGCGAGGAGAGCGAGACAACGACAUGUCAAGACUGUUCUGAUUUGAGGACGGCGAGGAUAGCGAGACAACGGCAUGUCAGAAAUUGAGAGAGGAACGACAGUGGAUAGAGAGAGAGAGAGAGAGAGCAGAAAGAUAGGGAGAAGAAAAAAAUCAGAAGGUCUCUAGAUCGAUCGGGAAGUUUCAUGAAUGAGGAUCGAUAGAAAGGCUAGAAUGGGUACAACAGAGGAAGGAAGAGAUGAAAAUCCCUACCUAGACUAAUCUCUCCUAUUGUUACUCACCUUUUAUAGAUAAACUCAGACAAAUCCCUCUUCCUCUCCUUUCUCCUCUUCUCUCUGAAAUUUGUCGCUGAACGGAAGAUCAAGAAAGAUAGUCGGUGAUGUUGUUGGUAUCUGAAAGAUGUCACUGCUCUUUCCUCAACAGGUCUCGAAAUUUCUAGUUGCAGGUCCUACUGUGUCUUAUUAAGUGAAGGCCCAACUGUGUGAGUGUGUUAUUAAGUCUUACCAACAACAGUAAUUAGCAACAGUAUUAAAAACAGUGAAUUUAAUCGUCUGUAUAAUAAACGAAAAAUAUAUGUAUGGUAAAUGACCUGUAUGUAUAUGUAUAGUAAACGAAAAAUAUAUGUAUGGUAAAUGACCUGUAUGUAUAUUUUAUAUAGACAUGACACUUGACAAGAAUGAUCUUGGGCUCUGGGCAAGGAUUCUUAAACAGUGACAGGCUAUUAAGGGUCCGUUCAGGCCUUGGCCUUUGGUUCGCGUCACUGAGGUACGUCUUCGCCUCCCCUAGUUUCAAGCUUAAAGCCAGGUCUGGAGCUCGCAGGGGUUCUGCUAGGUUUACUGUUGACUCUUUCGACAAAGCUUUCUGGGAAGAGAAAAAUGAGUGAGGAAGGGUUGAUCAAAUAGGAUACCCAAAAGAAAAGCUGAGGGUGGAUGAUCACGGAGAAGGUUUCAUGGCUGGUUCUAGGGAGGGAGUCUCAUAAGAAGCUUUGGUAAACUUGCGUUUAUUCACCUUUGAGAGAAUAAAUGGGGUCUCUUCUCGUUCCGUUUGGUAAUUCUCGCUCUCUCCUCAGUUAUAAAGUUCCAUCGCUUUCAUCUAGAUCUUGCUGACUUUAUCAUCAGAGCUUAGUAGGGCGGCACCACGGCGGUGUCCAGAAAAGUGAUCAGAUCCAUCCAUAUUCAUCCGUAGCUGACUAGCUGCAAUUCAUUAUCUCGAGCGCCCAACUCAUCCGAGAGAAGACCAAGUCCAUUUCCAGAAUAUUUACCCCCAGCCCAUUCCAUCUCGGAUUUCAACCAAACAUUUAUAUCAGGUAGUUUUGCAAGCAUUGAGGAGCUGCUGGUAAAUUAAUUAAGGCCAUUUUGUGCUCCCUCACAAAGAAACAAGGCCAAACAAUUCCCAAACUAGCUAGGAUAUCAUACCUUUGAAGGGUUUGCUGGGAACUUCCUUGCCGGUGGAAAGUCGACCCAGCACAAAAUGUAUAAGAGUGAUACGUAGUUAAUUGACCUCAAAAGUGGCAAAGGCGGUAAACCAAAAACCGAUAACCCAACAUGUCGAUCAAGCGAUGAAACUAGCUAGAUGAGCACAAAUAUUUAUAUCUCAUCAAACAUUUUGAACAGAAUGAGACGCCAUGCCAGUCGUGAAUCGCUGGUUCGGUGGCGACGAUCCUGUUUUCAUGUACUCCAUAUGACUGUUGGCUACUUAGUUUUAUAAACAUCAAAACAUUGAACCUAAUAUAUUACAUGGAAACAAAGGAAGCCUUUUUAUGUUUGUUGCUCCUCUCGUCGCAUGCAUACAUGCAAGAUUGAUUCAAUCAUGGCAGAAAAGUUUAAACCCUGGACUUGUGAAUAUGCCCAAAAAAAAAAAAACGUCGUACACUUGAACCCGUAACCUGCAGAAAUCUCUUUAGGAGUACAUUGAACUUGUUUCCUGCAGAAUCCCAAUCGGAAUUAUUCAUUUUCCCCUUCCUUUAUCACAUCUUUGCACAUACAUACAUACCCAUAAAAUAAAAAUCAUUACUCACCUACUAUACUACCUAAUCAUGAGAUUUCCAUUGAGAGAGAGAGCAUAUUUAUAAUAAGCUUCUUUAGGGAGUGAUAUAUAUGCCUGCAGCAUGCUUUCUGCAUAUAUGUUGUUGAUUUACCUGCUAAGAAACAGUAUCCCAUGCCUUCUAUAUAAAGCUAGAAAGAUUAAUUGACCUAAAAUUGAAGCAUUAUCGGCAAUUAACUUGUCCCUUAUCAUAUGACCAUUAUUAAUUGGCAAUCCUCCAGAAGGUCCUUAUAUACGAGAAUCCGCUGUUAUCCUACAUAUAUAUAAAUAUGGAUCCCUACAUUAUGAGAACUUAACCAGAACUGCAAUGAAAAAUGACUACUUUUAGUUAAAGUUAUAUAUAUGUAGGUAUUCCAUCUUUCGAAGAAUGUACAAGAGGUAUCAAUCUUUUCCUAUUAUUAAUCUAGCUAGCUAGGAUAUAUAAUCGAUCAGGAUAUGGGGUUUUCUUUAACUAAUAAUACUAGCUGCUUUCUUCUAAAGUCUCGAAUUUUUAAAACAAGAUGCCCAACUGCUAGCUAGCUAGUCUUUAUACAUUCUGUACUACAUAUUUAGGUUACAAUAUGUAUAUAUAUGCACCAUCAGCGCUAUUUGGUGGCGAUUCCUCUCAGAAAAUUCUGCUAAUAUUCCAUGCUCUGAACAAGGGAUUUAUGCUAUAAACCCUAAACCAAAGUAUAUGAAUGUACAAAGGUAAUUACAACUACUUGUUAGAUAAAAUAAUUAAGACAUGAAAAAUGCUAUAGAGAGGUUUUUAUCCCAUACUAGUAUAAGUCACACAACAGAAUGGAGUUAACACCCCACAUCAUGGGAAUUAAAAGAACAAUAUGUACAAAACCCACUGUGAGCACGCCAUUCAAACAUGGGAUAAUUAUACAAUGUGCUUCUUAAUUAAGGGACUAAAUUUGAAGGACAAGUGCAGGACAAUGAAUAAUUCAAUUGGUUGCAUUCAACACCACUACUGUUGAUACCACCAGUUCAAAGAGCUCAAUCUAGACAUGUAUAGGCUAUUUGUCCUUGGUUAGGUAUAUCUUAUUAUGACAAAAUAGUUAUAUAUGCUAGUUAGUUGCCUCUUAGGCGAAUUUUAGACUUCUUAUGUUAUGUAUUAUACAGAAACAUAUGAAACUUAUGUUUUGUAGUUUCCUGUUUUCUUUUAAUGAAAUCGAAAAAAAACUUAUGUUACUAAAUCAAUGAUCAGACCCAAUGUUUUCUUAAUUUUGCACUAAAUAGCAUGCAAAUGAAUUACAAUUAGUAAGGGUACGUCAUAUACAAUAUGUCUUUCCUUAUUCUUUAGUGCUAGAUACAAAAUGCAUAACAAAUUGAUUGAGACUUGAGACUGCAAUAUUUAUAGUUUGAUCUUAUUUGUUCUCUGUACACAAAACAGUGGAUCAAUUCAUGAUGUAACCUCUAUUUGAGAUGAAAUAAAACACCUUUUACUCACAAAAAAAAGAAAAAAAACAGAUGCAGGAAUGGGAAAAGGUUGAUUCUAAGUUCGUAAAACAACUAGUUAACUGUUAGAAUUACUUGAACUUGAAGCCGAGGUUACCGCUAAAUAUAUCUAUAGAAGACAAAUUGGAAGACACUGAAACCAUAUUAUUCCACUAUUAACUAGUAAUACUAAUGGAUUCGAACAAGUCGAUCACAUGCAUAUCUGAGACAUGGGAAUUGAACAAGCUAGUUUAGCAGAAACUAUACUACUGGAUGGUGAGAACCUGUAGUCCAACAUACAAGUAUAUAUUUGAUGAGAUCAGAAAGAUAUAUUUGACGAGAUUGAUUUUAUUUGCAUUUCAUAAUUGUUUAAUUGGUAGAAGGCAAAACUAGCUAUUUGAGAAUAUGAUAUAUACUCCUUACUUCUUUUGAUUACAAGAGAGGAUUCAAGCUGAAGAACCUAAUUUGUAAAGAAUCUAAGAUGAGUGGUUUUGGAAAAAUUGCGUACCUGCAGGCAUGGAAGAAUUAAAUGGAUUAACCAAUUGAUAUGAAAAAGAAGUUGGAAGAUGUGGUUGAUCUGCUGCAGAAGCUGAAGUAGUGUAACAACUCAUCUGAUGAACAGCAGGGCCUUGAUCAUAGAGAAUGCCCCUGAAUACAUGGCCACCUAUAGUCACACUUGUCUGAUAAGCAUACUGAUCCAGAUCCACCAUAUCGUCCAUGGAGCUCACUCGAACACCCUGAAAUUUCGCCAUGGUAUUCACUUCAGCAGGAAAAUUAUUAGCUUCUUGAUGAUCUCGAUCCAGCCCUUCCAUUGAUAGAUUGACUUCAGUAAAAACCCAAUCAACAAAAUGAUCGAAUCAAUCAUGCAUAUCCAAUCAAGAAAUUAUGUAACUAUAUAUAGAGUAAAACAGUAAAAGACUGGAAAUGAAUCGAUCCAGAUUUCAACAGUUAUAGAAGGUAGAUAUUCUAGAUCUCUAAUAAUUUCCAUGGCCAUUGAUUUCCAGAAGUUCAUAUGCACUGAAGGCUAGGGUUUUAAGUAUAGGCACAAUAUUCCUCAACAGAGAUCUAUAGCUAGCUGUUGUGAGUGAAAAUCAAUUCCAGUACACACAUACAUACCUAAUAUAUAUAAACUGAAUGUCGACCUAAACUGAUCUGUACAGUGAUAACUAGUAGUACCUGCAGAUGAUGAACAGGGGUUGUGUUGUCUUAGCCUCUUACUAGGGUUGAUGAAGACGUGUCCUUGAUCAACAGCAAGACGCUGUUGCUGGUGGUAAUCAUCAUAGCUGUGCUGCUGCUCAUGAAGUAGGCUUCUUUUGUAGAGAGGAACCCAAGUCGAUUUGACGUGUGUUUGGCACUGAAACCCUUUGUUCUUACAACAAGUCCUGCAUCUCAUGUACACACACUCCUUCUUUGCUUUAUUCCCACAGUCUUCGCACCUUGACCUUGAUCCCAUUGUUAAACCCUGUCCUCCUCCUCCUCCUCCUCCUUGUCUCAGCCUCACCAUUGAUCUUUCAUCGAUCACUAAGAUCGAAUAAUCACGACUGUAUAUAUAAAUACAACUACGUAUUUAACCGAUAAGUUUGAAGAUCUUACUAGCUAGUUUCCUUCUUAUUUUCGAUGGAACAAUUAAGCUAGCGAGAGGAAGAAGACUGGAGGUUCUGGAGAAGAUCACUUUGAUUUCUAUGGGUUUGUGUUAUUGUGUACCUGGAGCUUUUUUAGAUGCCAAUGUAGCUCUUAUUAGGAGCUUAACACAUGAGAUUAAGUAGAAACUGAUAUUGUACUUCUUAAUCAGAUUCAGAACAUUAUAAGGUUAUGAACAAACAUAAUUAAGGAUAGUGUGGACACAGUAUGUAGCAGUAAAAAUAAUAAAUUUUUUUUUUGGUUACAAGCGAGGCCUAAAAGGCCUAAAUAAAGAAAAAAAUAAAAUAAUAAAAUUUUAAAGUAAGUAGUAUAUAUAUCAGGUCUUUUCAGAUAUUUUUUUAGUGUACGUUAUUAAUACAUCUGUUAUUAACACAAAUUAUCUAUUUUUUUAUCCACACAUUUUAAUUUUAUUUACAAACUUACCACUUGAAUUUGUUUCAUGAUUAGUUCUCAUUAUAAAUGAGGUGUGUUAAUAACACUAAUCUUUAGAUAAUAACUUCCUUAUUUUAACUAGGGUACGGAUUUCCUUAAUUUGACCCACAUUCCGAUCAUAUUUUUCGAUCAUAACCGGCUAAUAUCUAGAUAUACAUGACUUGAUCAUCUAUACAAAUUUUCAGCUAAUUUGGUUAUUAUUAAGGUAUCGAAAAUGUAUUAAAUUAAUGAACGAACCAAAUCUGUUCAUCUUAAACCGUAUGUUCUUUUAAUUCUAAAUCACAGUUUUGAAUACCUUAAUGAUUAUCAAUUUGGCUGAAAAUUUAUAGAGAUGAUCGACUCGUAUAUAUCUAAAAGCUGAACGAUUAAGAUGAGAAAAUAUCAUCGAAAAGUGAGCUAGUUUUAAAGAAAUUUGUACCUUAAUUAGCUAAGAUAAGAAGGUUUGGACCUGAUCAGCAUUGUGUGUGUUUUUGUGUGUGUGUGUGUAUACAGGCAGUCUUUCUCAACCUUUUUACUUUAGUUGAGGUACGGAUUUCCUUAAUUUGACACACUUUUCGAUCAUAUUUUUUUUAUCAUAGCUAACCAAUCUAGAUAUACAUGACUUGAUCAUUCAUACAAAUUUUUAGCUAAUUCGGUUAUCAUUAAGGUAUUGAAAAUGUAUUAAAUCAAUGAACGAACCUAAUCUGUUCAUUUUGAAUCGUACGUUCUUGUAAUUCUAAAUCACAGCUUUGAAUUCCUUAAUGUUUAUCAAUUUAGCUGAAAAUUUACAGAGAUGAUGAAGUCAUAUAUAUCUAGAUAUUGACUGGCUAUGAUCGAAAAAUGGGUCGAAUAAAGAAAGGAGGUCCUUACCUGAUAAACAUUGUGUGUGUGCGUGUGCGUGUGUGUGUGUACAAUAAGUGAUCUAUUUUUUUGUUCAUUUCUAGGGAUAUAUAACAACUCAUCAUUAGAUCUGUUUUUUAAUGAUCUUAGAUGGUUGAGAUUAAAUAAUAAAUUCAACACUUUUUGACAACUCGAACCGUUCAACUUUAUUAAAAAUAAAUCAAAGUUUUGGACGACUUAACGAUCACUAAAUUUUCUGAAAAUUUGUUGAAGUAAUCUACUUAUAAAGAUCUACAAAUUGAAUGGUGGAGACGUGAUUUUGUGAUCAGAAAGGUUCGUUAAAUACCUUAUCUCUAGAAAUGAACAAAAAAAUAGAUUCCUCAAGAUCGGACGUCCCUCUAUUCUUUACCGUUCAGCGCCGACGACGGCGCUUCUCUACCCGAACGGACACUAAAGAUAUCCCCGAUGACUUUCUCUUGACCUUGAUCCCAUUGUUAAAACCUGUCCUCCUCAGCUCCUCCUCCUCCUCCUCCUUGUCUCAGCCUCACCAUUGAUCUUUCAUCGAUCACUAAUAUCGAAUAAUCACGACUGUAUAUAUAUACAACUACGUAGUUAAUCGAUAAGUUUGAAGAUCUUACUAGUUUCCUUCUUAUUUUCGAUGGAACAAUUAAGCUAGCGAGAGGAGGAAGAAAACCGGAGGUUCUGGAGAAGAUCUCACUUUGAUUUCUAUGGGUGUGUGUACCUGGAGCUUUUUUAGAUGCCAAGGUAGCUCUUAUUAGGAGCUUAACACAUGAGAUUAAGUAGAAGCUGAUAUUGUACUUCUUAAUCAGAUUCAGAACAUUAUAAAGUUAUAAACAAACAUGAUUAAGGAUAGUGUGGAGUGAGGAAGCAAAUUUGCUCCCCACCCCUCUCCCACUCCCUUUAGAUGAAUGCCAAAUGUCUUUUAGGUUUAAUUAUUUUAACAAAAAAAAAUGAAAAUAAUACUUGACAUUCAUUAAAAAGGUGGAGAGCAAAUUUGCUUCCAUGGAAGUGUGGACACAGUAUGUAGCAGUACAAAUAAUAAUAUAUAUAUAUAUAUAUAAAUAUAAUGGCAAUAAUUAACUUAACUCGGAUCCGCCAUGGAUUCUAGGCUCCUUUCAACUAGUAUAUAUGUUUCAACUUUCAAGUACUGAAGGUGACACCUUUCACGUCAGUGUCUGGAUCGACAAACUUACCCAGCUUAAUUUGGAAUAAAAACAAUUAGAAAGACAUUAACAAAGGUACCCUGCCUGCAUGGUGUGUUCUCUCCAAAGGUAACAUUGUUUGCUAAAUGAUUCAAAAAGGAUAAUUGUGUUUUGGAUGUGUGUAUUUGUCUUGUAGAACUAGUCUACAUCCAGCGAGUCCUUACACAACAAAUCGAGUAUGUCAUAUUGCCAUUCCAACCCUACGAUCAUCAAACAUUUGUGUAACAAUUUUAGAAGAUGUUACUGCAUAUAUAGUUCUUGUGACCGAAAACUCUUCAUAAUUUUGGGUGAUCCACUGUUUUUUAUUGCGUUUGAGGGUAGCUUAAGCUUACUAAGCUCUCGAAGACAUGUUGCAUAAGUGAAUCACAAAACCAAGCAUGCACUUCUAUACUUCGGUAAAAUUUGGGGUUUUUUUUUAUGAGAAGAGAUAGAAGCAAAGGGUGACCCUAGUUAAAAAUAGGUAGCAGCAGAGGUUUAAACCCUACAAGAAUUAUCAGUAAAACUCCAAUUAAGUGGAGUGGAGUACCGGUGAGUUUUCUAUCUCACACAGUCGCACCUUCUGUUAAAUCCAGUCAACAGUUAAAGGAUUAACAGUAAUUUUUCUUAUCACAAUAAGGGGAUGUCAAUCAGUUUAAACAGUAUUACUGAAAAUUGAUAGAGCCAACGUGCAAAGUUUCUGAAUUCUUACUCAUCAGUCAUCAUCUGCUUUUUAGGUCAUAAUAAGAUUCGUCCUUGCACCCCCGGAAAUUCGCAUUGAUUUGUACGUACUUGACUCUUACAUAUUGCUAGGGGGUGGGGGUCACCCUUCAUCAAUUAGGGUUCUCCUCAUUUCUUGACAGGGGGCUUCUUGAUACUGGGAAAGAUAUGUAGAAUCUAACUAUAUGAUUUAUGAACUGCCACAAUGCUUUGAAACUUGAUUGCUUUCAACAGUAAUCGUGCGCCUUGCUUGCAUUUGAUUUAGUUUGUGUUCUAUAAUUAUUUGUUAUUCUUUUUUGAAAUCAAAUGAGUUUUGCACUGAACCAAAAGAUUUGUACACUACAAUUGCACUUGAUUUUUGACAAAAUCCGGAUAAAAGUAUUUGCUACGUACAUUUGAGAAACUACCUAGAUUUUUUAUUUUUCUUGAGUUGUGCGGCAACUCUCCAUUGACAACAACGACAGCUUCUGUAGAAGGACAACGAGGAGCCGGUGCGCUUGGGGUCAAAGUUUUGGGGAAGGAAUUUUUGGCACAAAACUACAUGUGGGACGACCCAAUAGCAGCCGCAUGAUGAUUAUGCAUGGAAUCCUUCCGGAGUGUUGUGCGCUUUACGUGGAGGGUUACAAGAACAGUGGAUGUUGCUUCCCGAAGAGAUUGUUAGGAUUCAAAUUUGCCGACCAGCACAUUUGUGGUCAUGGUACCCAGUCAAUUUACCCCAUAUAUGUAUAUAUAUAUAUAUAUACAGUUUCUUUCCAGAGAGGGAUUCCUCUUUGAAAUUAAAGUGCGGGACUCCUUAUUUCGCUCACUUUCAAGUCGUAUUUCCACAUCUCAACCGUACAAUGUCUAAAACACAGUGUGUAAAUCAUUCCUAAAAAAUUUCAUCAAAUUUAAAGAUCAUUUGAGCUUCCAUGAUCGUAAUUUACACGAACGGUUCUGUUUGGACAACUUUUGUUCUGUUUAUUUAUUUAAUCUAAUUCGGUACUCAAAUGAUCUUCAAAUUUGAUGAAACUUUGCAGGAAUGAUCUACACACUGUGUUUUAGACAUUNNNNNNNNNNNNNNNNNNNNNNNNNNNNNNNNNNNNNNNNNNNNNNNNNNNNNNNNNNNNNNNNNNNNNNNNNNNNNNNNNNNNNNNNNNNNNNNNNNNNNNNNNNNNNNNNNNNNNNNNNNNNNNNNNNNNNNNNNNNNNNNNNNNNNNNNNNNNNNNNNNNNNNNNNNNNNNNNNNNNNNNNNNNNNNNNNNNNNNNNNNNNNNNNNNNNNNNNNNNNNNNNNNNNNNNNNNNNNNNNNNNNNNNNNNNNNNNNNNNNNNNNNNNNNNNNNNNNNNNNNNNNNNNNNNNNNNNNNNNNNNNNNNNNNNNNNNNNNNNNNNNNNNNNNNNNNNNNNNNNNNNNNNNNNNNNNNNNNNNNNNNNNNNNNNNNNNNNNNNNNNNNNNNNNNNNNNNNNNNNNNNNNNNNNNNNNNNNNNNNNNNNNNNNNNNNNNNNNNNNNNNNNNNNNNNNNNNNNNNNNNNNNNNNNNNNNNNNNNNNNNNNNNNNNNNNNNNNNNNNNNNNNNNNNNNNNNNNNNNNNNNNNNNNNNNNNNNNNNNNNNNNNNNNNNNNNNNNNNNNNNNNNNNNNNNNNNNNNNNNNNNNNNNNNNNNNNNNNNNNNNNNNNNNNNNNNNNNNNNNNNNNNNNNNNNNNNNNNNNNNNNNNNNNNNNNNNNNNNNNNNNNNNNNNNNNNNNNNNNNNNNNNNNNNNNNNNNNNNNNNNNNNNNNNNNNNNNNNNNNNNNNNNNNNNNNNNNNNNNNNNNNNNNNNNNNNNNNNNNNNNNNNNNNNNNNNNNNNNNNNNNNNNNNNNNNNNNNNNNNNNNNNNNNNNNNNNNNNNNNNNNNNNNNNNNNNNNNNNNNNNNNNNNNNNNNNNNNNNNNNNNNNNNNNNNNNNNNNNNNNNNNNNNNNNNNNNNNNNNNNNNNNNNNNNNNNNNNNNNNNNNNNNNNNNNNNNNNNNNNNNNNNNNNNNNNNNNNNNNNNNNNNNNNNNNNNNNNNNNNNNNNNNNNNNNNNNNNNNNNNNUUGGAUGUCUCCUCCGACAAGGUGUGAUCGAACCCAUCUCUCUCCUCUACCCAAUUUACCGUACAAGAAGAUCACGUCUUCGAUUAAACUCUCGCUUUCUCUGUACUCAAAUACAUAGGAAAAGAGGAGAUAGAGAGAUCGAGGUACUUUUAUAGGUAUGCUUACUGCUUCUAACUGAGCUACCCUAAUAAUCCAGAAAAUCUAAUUGGAGAGCAGAUCGUGUUGGGGGAUUGAGUUUGAUAUAACAUUGAUCAAGACGUAAUUAAGUCUGCUCAUUCUAUUGAAUUGUGUCUAUGAGAGUUAGGACUAAAACAUCAAAAUUUUGCAUAUCGAUAUCUUUUUUGCCUCUCUUUAUACUAAUGUUCUCUCUCUCUGUCUCUUCGACAAGUUAUGAUCGGACCCAGCUUUCGAGAAUAAGCUCUCGGGUUCUCCGUUUCGAGAGAUUUUUUCAACAAGCCAAGAGAUAGGAAAGAGAGGGAUAAUGAGAUCGAGGUAUUUCUCUAGGUAUGCUUUUUUAAUCGGGUUUUGCAUCUGAUUUAGCUUUUUUUCGAUUGAGGUCUUUCUCGAAAUUGGUACUAUAUAUUACUUUCUAAUACUGUUUCUAUUUUUCGAAUUGACUCUGCGUACACUGUUUAUCUUUAAUUUUCAUGAAGAUGAAUGAUAAACUAGAUUUAAAUAUAGUGAAGUAUGGGAUUUAUAUAUGGUGACUAUUUGAUAUCUUUUGGAUGUGUUUUGGUCAUGUUUUCAUUUUAACCAAAAGGAAUUGGGUCCUUGGCUUCUUACUUCUUGUUUUUAGUUAGGAUUAUAUUGUUUGCUUUCACAUUCUCAGUUCGGUAGAUAAACUUUGGUUACGUGAGAAUGUAUAUAAAGAGCUAAUAUGUGUCUAUAAUUACAUGUUGGUGCUUUUGGGAAAACUUUGUGAUUUGAAGAGGAAUUUUACUGCUGUCAAUGUGGAGAGCCACAAUGUAAGCAGUUUCAAAUGGGAGAUCUAAAAGGUUAGCGUCUUAUCACUUUUCAGUUACUAUUUGCUUCGUGACAACUUCAAAUUAUUUUAGAUUUAUCUAUAUCACUCUGUUCUUGCUUUUCUCUAGGUUUUCAUUUGUUGAUGAUCUUUUGGUCAUGUUUAUGUUUAUCUGUUUUACAUAUUGCUUUACAUAGCUGAGUAGUGUUUGUUUUUUUUUCUUUGGAAUCUCCACUGAGAUGUUGCAAUAUUGAAUUUCAGGUUAGAAUUUUCAUCAGAAUUGAUGUCGUCCAAGGUUAGUCCAAUCAGUCCUGCAAUGCUUUCCUCCAAUGGAGUUAUCGGUUUGUAAGAGGUGAGUUUGCUUUGAUUUAUCUACAUCAAUUGUUGUUAUGGACAGCUAUAUAAGUUUUUUUGCUUAUUUUCAUUGUAUUCUUGGGAUUGAAGUCAAUAGAGAAUAACCAAGCUGAAAACAACAAAACCAAACCUCAUAUAUGAAAUAAAAUCCUAAAAGUUUGUUUGCUCAAAUGAGAUAGGUUUUUGCAUUCAAUAUAAUACAAGGGUGCAGUUUGCUUAUUCUUUGGCUCUCUCAGAGUUAAUUUCAGUUUACUACCCUGAACUUUAGGUCUAAAAUCAGUUUGAUACCUCAUCUUUUUUUUAAUCAGUUUCAUACCUAAACUUUUAAAAUGACAUCAAUCUCGACCAAAAUGACUAAAAUAGCCCUAGUUAAUCAUUUUACCCUCUCGCUCUCUCUCUCUCUCUCUGGCAGCGCCGUCGCAACGGCCGGGGGAGGAGGAGGGGCUGCCAUCGGGGCCCAUUGCUGGUGGUAGGGGUGGAUGCCGGCGCCGGCCAUGUGGUGGAUUUUGAGGUAGGGAAAGAGAGAGAGAGAGGGUAAAAAGAUUAACCAGGGCUAUUUUAGUCAUUUUAGUCGAGAUUGAUGUCAUUUUGAAAGUUUAGGUAUGAAACUGAUUAAAAAAAAAUGAGGUAUCAAACUGAUUUUAGACCUAAAGUUCAGGGUAGUAAACUGAAUUUUUUCCUUUUUUUGCUUAAGUUCUAUAUUGUUGUUUUAAUACUAAAAAUUGUUUCUCUUUCGUUUACAACUGCAAGUUAUUUGUAUGCGAUGUGCAGGUCUUAUGCGAUGUAAUAAUAUUUUCUUUAUCAUUUUGCAGAUUUGCACAAUAGUCAGUUGUUGCAUUCAAGAGCUAAUUUAAGUAACAUUGAGCUCUCAUAUGCAACUUCUUUGUAUUCAUGUAUAUUAUAGCUCUUUUGUAUGUUCAAGUUGAAAUCGCAAUCAAACUUUUUGAUGAUAUACUAUAACAUUGGAAUCAUCUUUUGAAAAAGUUCGAUGGCACUUUUACGAGUUAGCUUUUAUGUUAUGGUCAUGGACUUACCAUUUUUUCUGCUUAUGAAUUCUGGGUUAUUGUUAUUUCUUGGAUUUCAGCAUUCUUCGAUGAUUAUGGAGGCUAGCUAAGGUUUGCUCUUGAAUAAUCUUGGCAUAUAUUGAAAGUUGUCAGGUGGUUUUUUGACCGGAUAGCAGCUCAAGUAAAGUGCAGAAUAAUCUGUGGCUUUGGAUAGUUUAUACUGCAUAGUCUUAAUUUGGUUGAAGACUUGAAUGAACCGGACUAAUUCUCUUAUUUCUCCAUUUUGAGUUGAACACUUGAACUGAAUCAAUACCACACCCGCAGCAAAGCGCGGGUGUACUGCCUAGUCUCUAUAUAUUAAACGGAUGGGGAUCGAUUACUGUUCACGAAACAGUGUCGUUGUUCUUCUAUUCGUGUUCUUUUUUUUCCUUUUUUUUUUUUUUUUUUUGUAGGAAAAUGCACCACCGGUACCCUAACAUUUGUGGCACGAACAAAAUAGUACUUAUACUUUAAAAACUAUCAAUGUGGUACCCAAACUUCUAUUUUGCUACUAAGGAAAGGCCUGAGGCCAAUUUCCGUAACUGUGCUGUUAGUUUGCUGACGUGGCAGGCAUGGGGCCCACCCAAAAAGGUGCAAUGACAAAAAUAACCUUCUAAUUCUCCAGAACCAUUUUCCCUCCAAAAUCUUUAAAAUUGAAUCUUGGGUUUUCAUCCUGGGUAUCACAAUUAAUUCAGUAAAGUUUAGGUAUCACAUUGAUCAGUUUAGUAAAGUUUAGGCACUGCUGUUGUGUUUAUCUGCUGAUAAUAAAUACUAUGCAAUAUGCAAUAGCUGAAAAUGUAACAUAGAAAUUCAAACAUAGAACCAAAAAAGGUUGCCAAUAUCACUGAAUUAAAACCAACAUCAGUUCAACAUGAGAAACAUACUAUGCAUUAGAAUUCAAGCUUAAUUGGUUUCCAAAAACUCAAGAAACCAGAUUGUUUGCAAAAAAUUGAUUAAAAAAGAUGAUGAAGUACACGUUAUGUUUCUCUAAUUCAAAAGUCAGCACAUUCAUUUUUUUUAGCACCCCUUGCUCCAUGAUUUUAGCUGCUUUGAGUAGAAGGUUGUGUUGAGGCCAGCUGAUGCAUUACCAUUUCCAGCAGGACUACCCUUCAUUGCCAACUUCAUUUUCUUCCAUCCCUUUCUAGACUUUAUGACCUGGUCUGUGAUAGGUUUUGAUUCCUUAGGUGAGGCUGGUGCCCUUUGGAACACAAACAAGACAUUUCCAACACAAUUCAACAACCACAUUUGGCUUCACAAUUUAACAAGACAUUUCCAACACAAUUAAACUUCUAGCAACUGAACAGAACCACUCCAAUGUUUCAAAAAGGAAACACACAAAACUUGCAACUUAAAUAGCUAAAUUAGAUUACUACAACGACAGCUAACAGAAGAUAACAAGUAAAAAAAAGUUCUACACUACUAAUGUUCAGCCAAUUUUAAGCAUACCAAAACCUUCAUCUCUAACUUCAAUUUGAGAAACAAAUUACAUGUAUAAGAACCUUAUAGUCUAAUCUAUAUAUCUAUAUAAUAUCAUACCAAAAAGAGUAAGAAUCAUAGGCACACACUAUGACUAAAAGCAAAGGUACAAAAUCAGAAAAGUGCCUAACUGAAUUCUGACCAGAAAAAUCUUUGGUUAAAAACGAUAUGGUUCAACUGGGAAUUAAAGCUUGGUGUCUUCAUAACAUUUGAAAUAGACAUCCUAAAAAUCAAUCUAGAACUGGAAUCGCACAAAAAAGAUUUUCUUACAAUUACUUGUGAUUUUUCGAAGUUGAAGAUCUGCAUCAGAAAAAUCACUGAUUUUGACUCGAAUCAAGUUUCCCCUUUUAAAGAUGAUUCCCAGUAGGUAACAACAAAGAAAAACCCAAUCCUAAUGCUUGACUUCCUACCAAGAUGAUCCUCCAUAACAAGAAGCAUAAAUACAGAAGUUACAAUCCAACAUUGAAACCACAAAGAAUUAUAUAUACUAUUACAAUAUACCUAAUAAACACAACAUAUAUGUUGACAAACACAACAACUUAUCAUAUCAGAAACAAAUACCUAACAACUCUAUAGAAAAUCAUCUUUUCUGCAAGAAUUGACUAAGUGACUAACAUGGUUCACAAAGGAAUAACCAAUUGAUCAAGAACAUAUAAGAUGCAGAUUGACCUCAAUUGUUCUUCCUAUAUUCCUACGACACCAAUUUCUCUUCUCUUCUCUCUCUCUCUCUCUCUCUCUCUCUCUCUCUCUCUCUCACACACACACACACACACACACACAUACACACACACACACCAGAAUUAGUAAUUUCCACAAACUCUUGCAAGUAAUAGUAAACUACUGUAAAUAAUAAACAAUAACCUACUCACCUAAGCUUGAACAAGUUGGAAAACAUCCCGAAGAUAACCCAAAAACUACAAGCUUGAACAAAAUAUUAUUCUAUUUAUUUUUUGUCAUUAAGGACACAGGAGACACCAGCUAAAACAAAUAGUAUUGUUGUCCAGUGAACAAGAGUACAUCAAAACUCAGAAACAAAAAAAGAAAAAGAAGAGAUGAUCAUGAUUCAAGCAAACUCAUGAAGCAAAAUCUGAAUUGCUUGAGAAAAGUUAAUCCUAGUCAUUGAGCACAAAGAGUAGCAAGUAAAGUAAAUAAUAGUCAAGUAAAGUAAAUAAUAGUCAAAGCACAGACAAGUGAUCACACUAUCAUUCAAUUGUCACACUUUUACACAAUAAUGCAGAAAACUGAGAUCAACCCACUAGUCUGAUCAACCCAUUAUUUACUCGUUUUAUAAAGUUUGAUUUGCCACCGCACACCCACAACUAAAACAAUUAAAUCAAUAAUGGAAACACCACAGCAAAACCAAGUCAUCACACACUUGUGAAAUUUGUGAAAUUACUAUAUUAGUUAAAAGAUAUUGGAAAACAAGAUAGGUAAUCUAAUCAAAGAUAUCAGCUAGCCUUAAGGUAUAAUUUAAACAACUUUCAAAAACAUGGUAAAAAAUAAUAACCAAAACAAAUUAAUUCCAAACUCAUGUUAUCAAACACGCAACUUAACCAAUUAGUUAACACUGUAAAAGUUUUACCAUACUCCAAAGAUCCCAAAGUAAAACCAACAGUGAAAAAUGAUAAAAACAGAAGCAUAAUUCCCAGGUAAAGAAGCUGGAAAACACUCUUGCUACACCACCAAUGGAAGAAGCAUAUCUAUCUAUCUAUCUAUCAUCUAUGCAAAACCCAAUGAAAUUCCUAUACAUUCAACUAGACUAAGCUAACUGCAGAAACUGAAACCAAAACUAGAAACGGAUAUCACACAUAAACCCUCUAACCCUAAGCUCGAUCAAUUUCUCAUCUAAUAGAUCAAAAUAAAGAUAAAACAAAACCGAAAGACAAACAGAGAGAGAGAAAUACCGACCUGGAGUCCUGAAGCUUGGCGGUGGACUUCUUGUUAACGCCGAGAAUGAUGGUCUCAGAGCCACAGACACCGACGACGAUGUUACCCUUGCGGAUGGCUUUGAGGGCGUACUCGACUUGGUUGAUUACUGUGAUUCAACACAGUAAUCAACCAAUCAAACCAGAAAGCUGAAACCCAGAGAGAGAGAUCGAGCUGUGGUGGCUUACCUUUGGCUAGAGAGCUUCGGCUGCGUUGGUCUCCUCUGCAAUUUAGGGUUUUGAGAAAAAGGGGUUGCGGGGAGAAGAGAUGGAAAUUGAGGGAGGAACGGGGGAAAUCGAGUUUUGACCUUUUUUUGGUGGACCUGAUGCUGGCCACGUCAGUAAACAGACGGCACCGAGAUGGAAAUUGGUUUCGGGCCUUUUCUUGGUAACAAAACAAAAUUUAGGUACCACAUUAAUAAUUUUUAAGUUAUGGCUACCACUUUGACUGUGUCAUGCUUAUUACUGUCAAAACCUUUUUUUUUUUUCUGCCAUUUUAUCUGUAUUGACUGAUUUGCCCUUAGAUAAUAGAAAGAAACGCCAGGAAAAAGAAAAAAAACUACCUUGCCGCACCGCUUCAGAUCGAAAGAGUAGACAUAGUAGAAGAGAGAGAGAGUGGAAACUGAAAAGAGUGUUCCUCUCGGACGUCGGGGUUUCGGCGAGUGCAACAGCUUUGUCUCUCAGGCAAGUAAUCACAUCCUUUUUUCCUUCUGGUUUCGGAGAAUCGGAUAGACAAUUUUAGUGUUUAUUCUUUCUGGGUUCUCUCUCUGAUCUGGGAUAUUGAUUGAGUUUCAGUUUGAGAAAGAAAGAAACAAUCGGAGAUUGGGAAGAGAGACAAAGAGACAAUCGGAGAAGAAAGAAAGAGUGAAUCGCUUUUGGUUUGGUUCUGCUUUCCUUGGAAUUGGUUUAGGGUCGUACCAUUCCUCGGGUUUCGGCAACGAUCGACGUGAGAAAAGGUUUUGAUUUAUCUGGCUUUGCUUACUUUUCUUAAGUUUCUGAUCAAUUUUCGAUAUUGAUAUUUAUACUGAACAAAUGCUUUGAAUUGGCUCUGCUUACUCUAUAUAUAUAUAUAUAUAUAUAUAUAUAUAUAUAUAUAUAUAUAUAUAUAUAUAUAUAUAUAUAUAUAUAUAUCAUUCUUAUUUGAUAUUGAUCGAAUGCUUUGAAUCAGCUCUGCUUACAAUAAACUGAGCAUAACGUUAAUACUUAAUACUGAUUAUGAGAGAAUAAAGGAAGUAAUAAUGCUAGCUGGCAUGAAGGUUUCUGGGAUGCAUAUUAUUCUGUUAUAUACUGAUAUGGAUCCUAAAACUAAAAUAUUAGAUGAGUUGCUGCAUGCUUUGCCGUUCCACUUUUGGUCCUCAGUUUCAACUACUAUUGAAGGAUAAUAUCUAAAAAGAGAUUAUGAUGAACAAACUAUUAAUAUAUUCAAAUAGCUAAGAUAAGAAUGCAAAAUGCAUGGAACCUAAAUUCUUGCCAAAACUGAGUUUAAUUUAAUUGGAAGAAGAAAAGGUGAUGUCAUUUUGGUUGUGACCCUUAUGUCCUUGCUUACUUUAUAUAUAGCAUUCUUACUCAUCACAUCCAUUGUUUUGAGAUGCAGUUAAGGCUACAUGAGCUGCUUGAAAUUGCAGUAGAACUUUGCAACCUUUCUGCCUUCAAGUUCAAAUAGCUGCAUUCAAAUAUCUGAUUAAGCGGCAUGAUGAUAGUAGUAUUGCUAUCUAGCUAGCUUACUAAUACUAACCUUAGAUAGUAGAUAGUAUUAUUUGAAAUGUACUACAUUGUGUAAACAUUGGAGUUUUAUGGGUUUUGGGGCAUCUGCAGGUUGCUGUGUGCAGCUACCUGGGGCCUUUUGGCAUUGGAUCAAUGAUACUGUCGCCGUUUUAUAGAAAGGUACUACUUGAUUGUUUUUUCUCAUUUUUCUUCAAAUUGACAGUCUUCAAAUUUAUUAGAGAGAGAGAGAGAGAGAGGCAAUCGGAGAAGAAAGAAAGUAGUUUCGUUUUUUUUUUUCCUUUUGUACAAAAAUCAACUUCCAUGUACCUUUUUCCUGUUCCAGAACCAUUAUGUAGCUUUUUUCUCUUUCACUUUUUUUUAUCAGAAAGAAUAAUGUUAUUGGUACCUGAUUCAAUUACAUGGCUUAUUCAGUUAGAUUGUUGAUUCAAUCACAAAUUAGAGUCAGUGGACUGAAUACUAUAUUUGCUUUUAUUGGUGAUAUUGAUCGGCUAUUCGGCUUUGAGAUAGAGAACUGAGUAUGUUUAAUUAGUGUAAAGGUUCUAUUGAUAUUUAGCCUUGCCUUAGCAUGGCUAACAUCAAUUGCUUGAUAAAGACAUGAAAUGUGGCGGCUGUUACUUUCUUGCUUCAUGGCACAUAAGCUGGGGUUAGCUGGCCAUUGGUCUGAAUUUGACUGUGCUUUUAGGUUUUUGUUUGCUUGGUUUCAAUCAAGUAUAACUAUUAUCUUUUUCGUUAAUAUGGCUGAGCAAUUAGCACAAGUUGUUGAACUAGGAUUCCUUUCUGUCAUAUAGUAUCAAGGCCUUUUGUGAGUGACUAUAUAUUGUACUUGGAUAUCAGUAAUCUCUGCUAUUACUGAGAAUGUAGACUAUUGAAUGUUAUUAUCUCUAAUAAUUUUAUGGGAAAUUAUUUGUAAAGACUAAAGAAAAAUAACAUGGUAUGAAGGUCAAGGAUUAUAGGAAACUAUUUCUUCUUUCACGUUUUAACUGAUUUGUAUAAUCCUAUCUCAGUAUUUUGGUCUACUUUAAUCUAACAGGUGAUGCCAGUAUAUUAUGUUUCCGGUAGUUUUUGAUUAGCUAGAUGUGAAUCUGAUAAACUAAGUUCAACUCAUAUGAAACACUUCGCUGUACAUACAAUUGAAAUACGACCCUUUCCACUUCUUUUUACAGGCUUUGUUGGUAGUGGUUCAAAACCAUGUAGUUUUUUUUUUUUUGUCAAUGAAUUUGUGCUUUCAUUUGGAUUGUUGUAUGCAGUCUAAUAUGAGCGCGUUGAAAGCAAGUAUUGAAAGUGCGUGAGAAAUUUUUGUUCACUUAUGGUUACAGAGAUCGCACUACCCAUAUGUAAUUGUAGUGUAGGUUGCAAAUAAACCAACAGCUACUGUUCAUAGGGUUUGAUGGCAUUUCAAGCAGUGGUAAAUGGAGGAAUUUUGUAACUAAAGUUUAUAUGUGAAACACCCAACUCCAUGGAGCUCAUCAGGUAGUAAACCAUCAACAGCCGGGAUAGGGAAAUGAUCUUUAAUUGUUGCGGCAUUAAGAUCCCAUUGUUACUGCAACGCUAUCUACUAUCCUAGACUACUCGGCAAAGGCAUCAAGACCUUCCUAGACUACUGAAUCACCUAUUACCGAAACGAAAACAAGAAGUCAUCAUACAUGAAAAUGCACAAAAUGAAUAUGAACGCCCAAAUUCAGGAAAUCCAAUUUGCAGGUCAUGAACUACAUAAUAGAUCAGAUUCUAAUAGACAACGAAAAAAUGACCAGUCAGAAAUCCAGAAUAAACAUGAGAUAAUCGCAGUCCCAGUACCAUGAGAUAAAACUACUUCUAGUCCCAGUAAUCACAUCUAAAAGCCAAUAAGUAAAAGUUACCCUCCCUCCUAGUAAAUGUGCUUCAAGCCCAGGCCAUGCUUGCCGCGAACGCAGCCGGGCCUGACAACCAAGUAGGGCGACCUCUUCGAGUUCUGCAUCUUUGCAAAUGUCCUCUUCCCCAAUUUCCUCAUCCUCUCCCUCCCAAACUUGUCGCUCACCGACCACGGCACCAGCUCGUCAUCCAGCCCGUACCCGUCGUCUUCCUCCUCGUCACCGCUGACGUCAUCGUCGCCAAGUCCGCCGCGGUCGUCGAAAUCGGGAGGGGACUGGAAAGGCAGAUCGAGAAGGCGAACGAGGCGGGUCUGACGACGGCGGGCUCGGGUCGGGUCGGUCACGGGCGAAACGACUGGGGAGUCGAAUGAAGCGAUGGCGGGAACAGUGGGCCCGGAGUGGUGUGGUGGGUCGGAGUCGGAGCGGUGGUCGGGGCUAGAGAAGGAGUCGGUGUCGGAGUCGGAGAUGUCGAUGAAUUCCCAGAGGGAUUCUUGAUCGGAGUCUUGAUCGAAUUGAAGGAAUUCGAAAUCUUCGAAAGUGGUGAGGGCAGUUUCCAUGGUUGGUUUUCUG